rnacentral:lncRNA from 1 species
UCAUAUGAAUGAAGUUUACUCACUUCAACAGAAAGGACAGCAGGAGUAUCCCGUAUAUUACUUUCAAGGUAAAAUGAUGAGUCCUAAACUAAUUGAGUUGCAGCAUUUGAAAUAUUUGGACCUUUCUUCCAUUAACUUCACUGGGACCCAGCUUCCAGAUUUCAUUGGUUCUCUUUCCAAUUUAAGACACCUCGAUCUCUGGUAUGCUUCUUUUGGUGGUCGAAUUCCAACUCAGAUUGGAAACCUUACUCACUUGCAAUAUCUUGAUCUCAGAUCCAAUCACUUUGCUAAUGUAGAAAAUAUCAAUUCAUGGCUACCUCAUCUUUCUUCUUUAACAUAUUUGGACCUGAGUUACAACAAUCUUAGUAAUGUUCCUGACUGGUUGGAAAUAGUUAGUAAGCUCCCUAAACUUACUAACUUGUCUCUGUCUUAUUGUAGUCUUCCUUCUCUUCUAAUUCAUUCCAGUACUCUUUUUAACAUAAAUUCUUCUAAAUCUCUUGCUCAUGUUGAUCUCAGUGAUAACCAACUCACUUCUUCCAUAUUUCUUUGGUUGUCCAAAUACAAUGCCAGCCUUGUUCAUCUUGAUCUCAAAUACAAUAACUUUGCUAAUGUAGAAAAUCUGAAUUCAUGGCUGCCUCAUCUUUCUGCUUUAACAUAUUUGGACCUAAGUUACAGCAAUCUCAGUAAUGUUCCUGACUGGAUCGAAGCAGUUAAUAAUCUCCCUAAACUUACAAACUUGUCUCUGUCUUAUUGCAGUCUUCCUUCUCCUCUAAUUCAUUCCAGUACUCUUUUUAACAUAAAUUCUUCUAAAUCUCUUGCUCAUGUUGAUCUCAGUGACAACCAACUCACAUCUUCUUCCACAUUUCUUUGGUUGUCCAAAUACAAUGCCAGCCUUGUUCAUCUUGAUCUCAAAUACAAUAACUUUGCUAAUGUAGAAAAUCUGAAUUCAUGGCUGCCUCAUCUUUCUGCUUUAACAUAUUUGGACCUGAGUUACAGCAAUCUCAGUAAUGUUCCUGACUGGAUGGAAGCAGUUAAUAAGCAUCCUAAACUUACAAAUUUGUCUCUGUCUAAUUGUGGUCUUCCUUCUCCUCUAAUUCAUUCCAGUACUCUUUUUAACAUAAAUUCUUCUAAAUCUCUUGCUCAUGUUGAUCUCAGUUACAACCAACUCACUUCUUCCAUAUUUCUUUGGUUGUCCAAAUAUAAUUCCAGCCUUGUUCAUCUUGACCUCUCUUACAACCAGUUAACUGGCUUAUUUCCCGAUGUCAUUGGAAACAUGAGCUCUCUUGCAUAUCUAGAUCUCUCUUCUAACCAAUUUAAAGGGGUGAUUUCAGAAAGUCAUUUCUCGGGUCUCUCCAGAUUAAGAUCUUUGUCUCUGUCCUCUACCUCACUAACUUUAAACUUCCAUUCUAAAUGGGUUCCUCCCUUCCAAUUGGAUGUCAUAUUCUUGAGGUCUUGCAAGAUGGGUCCACAUUUUCCAAAUUGGCUUCAAACUCAGAAAAGUUAUCGGACGCUUGAUAUUUCUAAUGCUGGAAUUUCUGAUAUCCUUCCAAGUUGGUUUUGGGAAAGGCUGUCUCAUGCUCCUGAAAUUGGUUAUGUAGAUCUCUCCAACAACCAAAUUAGAGGAACAAUUCCAAACUCGCAAAUCAAUUUUGUAUGUUUCUCUCGUCAACUAAAUUUGAGUUGGAACCAAUUGGAAGGUCAAGUCCCUCCAUUCCUAUUGAAAGCUUCGUCAUCUCUCUUUCUCUCCCACAAUAAAUUUUCAGGGUUGUUUUCUUUCUUGCUUCCAGUUAACGCAAGUCAUUUAAGAUUGCUUGAUCUCUCGAGCAACCAUUUACAUGGAGAACUUCCCGAUUGCUGGACUCAUUUCAAAAAUCUUUUAAUUCUUGAUUUGAGUGACAACCUUUUUUCUGGGAGAAUUCCUGCCACAAUGGGCUCUUUAUCUUCAAUUCAAACAUUGAACCUAAACACUAAUGGACUUGUGGGAGAAUUGCCUUCAUCUUUGAAGAACUGUACAAGUCUCAUAGUUUUUGAUGUUGGAGAAAAUAAAUUAUCAGGUUUGAUACCUGAAUGGUUAGGGGUUGGACUUCCAAAUUUGACUAUCCUUAUCCUCCGUUCUAAUCACUUCUAUGGAAGCAUUCCAUCACAAUUGUGUAAUAUGGGAAGCAUUCAAAUUCUGGAUUUCUCGAUGAAUAACAUCUCCGGAAGUAUACCCAAAUGUCUCAACAAUUUGACUAAUUUGGCUCUAAGAGGAAGUUCAAGUCUAACUAUCACUCACCUAUUUAAGGCAACCUCCACUGAUAUUGCUGUCAGUAUUUUUGAUUAUGAAGACGAAGCAUCCUUGAUAUGGAAUGGAAUAAUGUCCAAAUACAAAAGUACCCUGGGGCUUGUAAAGAGUAUCCAUCUGUCAAGUAAUCGAUUAACGGGGGAGAUUCCUAGUGAAGUCACUGAUCUUGUGGGGCUGGUUUCUUUAAACCUAUCAAGAAAUAACUUAACAGGUCAAAUAACUCCAAAAAUAGGAAAGUUGCAGUCUUUAGAUUUGCUUGAUUUGUCAAACAACCAAAUACAUGGUACAAUUCCAACAAGUCUCAUUGGAAUAUCUGGCCUUGGUAAGUUGGACCUGUCCAACAACAACCUAUCUGGAAAAAUUCCCAUCGGGUCUCAACUUCAACCCUAUGACGCCACUGUUUUUGCUGGAAAUCCUCUCCUUUGUGGAAUUCCACUUGAACAUAUGUGCUCUCCUAAGGAAACAACACUGGAGGAGCAACCAGUGGUAGACAAUCAAGAUGAAGAUGAUGACGGGUUUAUAACACCUGGAUUUUACAUGAGUUUGGGGCUUGGAUUUAUCAUUGGAUUCUGGGGAGUUUGUGGGAGUUUGAUAUUCAACAGGUCAUGGAGAUACAUGUACUUCAAACUCUUGAAUGGUUUAAAUGAUUGGCUUUAUAUCAAGGUGGCAUUGUUCAUGCAACGAAGAAUGCUCGAUGAAUAAGCUGUAAGUAUACUGUCACAUAAUGAAUAAUACUGCAAUUAACAUACAUGUCCUCCUCUCUUUUAAACUCCCGGCUAACGGCUAACGCCUGUAAUUUACUUGAAUUUUUGUAGCUCGUCCAUCGGCUUGUGUGGUACGACAUGCUAACCCCUUCGGCUUUUGGGUUGAGAAGGAGCCUGAAGGACAAUAGCUUUUAAGUUAUGGUGGAAUUUCUCCAAAUUCAUGAGUGGGAAAUGUAUUUGGUUCAUUGUCGAGUUGUAAUUUUACACAAAUAUUUAUGGUUUUAGUUUCAAUUUUUCCCAAUUUGUUAUGAAUUAAUGGAUGAAUAGACUGCGUUCCAAAUUGAAAGCCAGGAUUGAAGAGCUGUGUACAAGAGACUAAAAAGAGUGGCACUAAACGAAGACCAAAAAGAGUGCCACUAAACAAUGGACAUGAAUUAAAAUUUCAAAACUACAUUGAACUUGUUAAACAAAUUCAAAAAUAAGUGAGACGACCAGUUUGUGUAAUCUCAUACAAGCUUGUGAUAAACGAACAAGUUUGGCUCAUGAAAACAAAGGCAAAAUUAUUAUUAUUUUUAUUUAUUUGUUGCCUUAACAUACCAAACAGAAGCCCCCAAAAUCCAACUCCGGCUAAUUACCCCAACAAAAGAAGAUUAAAUUAUGAAGAAGGGAAAAAAUAAUUAUGUUUGGGUCCAAAUAAAUGAGAAUUGGAACUCUUGGUAGCCUGUUAGCAUCUGGUCAAAAUUGUUCCAGCCUGUGGCUGAUGAGAGUUUUGUUCGAGCCGUUUCCACUCUGGAUGUACUCCUGUAUGCACGAGAGGUAAGAGGAGUAAAAGGGAAUGUAAUGCUGAGUAAGUGCUCUACAGUUUAUUGUUUGUGGCUUGUUUUGAUCCUUCAGUAGAACGAUGCAGAAGCAGAUAAAACAGUGUAUUCAAAUAUUGAUCAAACAUUCAGGAUUGGUACAAUACUAGUGGAAUUAAGCUUGUCUGGGUGCGGGAAUAUCACUAAUCAAAUAGCUAAUGCACAGCUAACUUGACUGAAAAGGGAAGGGAGGAAAUAACGAUGUCCAUAUCAAUUCCUCUCACUUAGUAAAAUAAGAACGUGAUAGAAACAGAACAGCCAAUUAUGAAUAACCAGGAAUACGAAAAAAAAUUCUAAUGCAUAAUAUCAAUCAGCCCAUGAAAAAAAAAGAGAUUUUGGAAAACCACAUGUAGGAGACAGGAAAACAGAUUAUACUUUCCAACUUUCGCUCCACAACUAUAUGCUUUUACGGAUAUCAUAUGGUAAAGAGGAAUGUUGAAAAAACAAUUUCUUUUCGGGUUGCAUAGGUAAGUUUCACAGACCCACCGGGAUUAGCACUCGCCCUCCACCCUUGGUCUUAAGGAACAUGGCAUGUCAUUAGGUUCAAAAGCUAGUUGAAAGGAGAAACAUGUAAAGCAUUUGUAACCUUACCAAAAGAAACGAAAAUACCUUAGCACAGAUUUACUUAUGUGACAAUAGAUUAUGUAUCAGGAAAAAAACAAUGGUAGAAGCUUUCGGAAGGGAACAAAAAAGUAAGAAGAAAGAGAACAUACAAGCAUAUCUUCUGAAAGAACUGUUUCCAUUAAUGGAAAAUGUUACAGGCCUCCUUUCCUGACCCAAAGAUAGGAUCUCUUGCAUCCUUUCAGGCCAGUCUGAAUUUAACCUCCGAGCAAAAUCUUCAACCUCCCUGAACAACGAUUUAAGAAAAUAUGUAACAUUAGCAAGAACCAAGUUUUGUCUCUAUAAAUUGCGUAUUUACAUGCAGAACCAUGGUGGAGGAUGCAACUUGAAAUUCCAGUUACAUCCUUAUCAGAAAAUAAAAUAAACACUGACGAGAGAAAAAGACUUGCAGAACCAGAAGAGUGGGCGACCGGAACCAUGUUUCACAACAGAUGCUUAAUGGUGAUGACCAGAAUGAGAGCUCUUUUUCUUUAUAAACAUAAACAAAUAUUUAUUUAAAAUGUCCAAACAACUAUUGCACACAGAAAAUCAAAAACCAACAUCUCUCAAAGCCACCAUAAAGAGCUAGCAAAGGCAAAACAUUAUCCCCAAUGUUUACUCAUUUUUAUCACAGACCAACUUUUUUAAGCAACCUUUUUCAUCUUCUUAGCUGGGUGAGGAGUGGAUUUGAACAUGGGACAGUUUAAAAAAGAAGUGGAGAAAUACCACUACAUUAAUAGCUAUUUAGUUUUUAAGCAAACUCUGCAACAUUGAAAAACAAAUGACAAUUUGAAAUUCUUUUGCAGUUAUCAAAUUUCAUCUUCUAAUUGCAUAUCUUCAAUUUCAGAACUGCGUUCACAAAAAUAAAAUAAAAAAAGCAACGAAGUUGCACCAUAAUGAGAUCCACCAUUCUGUUUCCUUAAGCUUUCCAUAACUAAAGUCAUCAUCGACAAAGUUAUUACCACUGAGUUCAAUUCAGUACUUUUUCUUCCACAUGUUGCUCAACGUGAUAUAUUUUUUUUUUUCAUCCACUAAAAUUAAAAAAGAUGAUAUUAUAUUGCAAAUCGUGUAAUAACCCAAAAUAGUUGCAGACAAACCUAUCAAUUUUUUCCUUCAAUGCCGGAUCAAUCUCAUCAUCAAUAUCACCUUCAUCAAACCCAAUCAUAUCCUCCACCCUAUCAUCCUUUAGAUCUUGUAGCUUUAAUGUCAAACUAGAACUAGGCGUAAAUUUGUUGAGUUCAUCACUGGGGCAAGCAAAGUUAAGAUUGCUCGACACCUAAAACAUUUGGGCGAAAAGAAAAAUGAAGAAAAACUAGCUACCCAACAACUCAAGCAGAAAAGUACAAGUUCAAGACCGAAUUAGUGAUUCAAACCUCAUGGAUCUCAUUGGCCUCAUAUAGACACGUGCUUUUCUGCUGAUCUUUUCUCCUGCGAUUCUUCUUUUUGUUCUUGGAAGUUUUAAUUCCUUUGGAAUCUGUGAAACAUAAUUUCCUUACCUCCAAUGAGGCCUUCAAAAGGAAAUAAAGUAAAAAUAGACGACUAAGACACUACACUUCAAAUCCCAUUUAAAGGAAUCUUAAGUACUUCCAAGUACAGUAUAAUGUGGGCUAAUGCAAUCCUGAAAAAGAUUAGUAUCAAGUGUGCAUUGUGCAAUUUGCUCGUUGGAACUACAACCUACUCAAUGAUAAAUCCAAUUUCUCAAUUAACAAUAACCAUGCAGUCAAGGAAUAAGAGAGCAAUUACUCAGGUAUACCUCCAAUUUCUCCAUUAAUGAAUGACAAGAGAUCAUCAACUGAACGUUCAUCGUUUUGCUCUUCUUCGAGAUGACAAGAGAUCAUCAACUGAACGUUCAUCGUUUUGCUCUUCUUCGAGCUCGUCAUUCUGAAAAGUAUGGAAGGUUCAAUAAUGACUACCAAUAAGAAGGAUAUAUUAUUUAGCAUAGUAUAAAAGCCAGAAAACAUAUUAUGUAGUACGUUUUGAAUUUAGAUUCAUCAAAUACCAAACUCACCUUCAAUUUCUCUCUUUCCUGAAGUUCCCUCCUCUUUCUUGCAUAUAAUCGAUUCAAAAGUCGAAUGCGUGGAUCGUCAGUUGAAUUUUUCAAAGGCUCCAACUUCUCUUCCUGGAUGAUUUCUUAGUGGUGUUAAAAACAACAAAGAAACACCAAGUUUUUGCUAAGCAUACACAGAAAUCUCAAGCAUCGGAGACCUCUGUAAGAUCAUCAGGGAGAUGAAAUAUUUCACGUAUCUCCUCAGGUGUUUUCCCUUCAAUUAUUCGUGCAAGAGCACGACUAGUAAGAUCCACCAAUGGUUUUAAUUGGAGGCUGUCAGCUGCUGAAGUCAACUCACAGAGCAACUUUGCGUCCAUUCGGAUGUAUUUUUCAUCAAAAGCCUUGCAUUCCUACAUAAACGAGUGGUGCCGAGUCAUAUGAGCGUGCCAAGUUUACACCAGCAUCAGAGUAAACAUUUAAUCCAGUGUGCAGGUGGAGAUUAAUGUCCUCAAUAGCUCAAAUUUAUGCAAAACAGACAGAGGGCAUAGACUCAGAAAGAAGUAAAACAGAAUGACAUUCCAAAAACAUGUAGAACCUUGUUCGAGCGACCUGGUACUUGAUGAAAUCGGCAGUAAUCAAGAAUUAAGCUCAACAUUGCAGUACCGACUCUUUCAGGAAGAGAUAUUGCAUGGUUCUUGGAAGCUCCCAUCCCUUUCUGUAUAUUUUCUUUGCAUAUCAUAGGGCAAUACACGUGUUCGCUCCCUAAAUCCGCCAUGGCGCCUUGCGGGCAAGCCGGGGAUUUACUUCACAUAUGAGAUUGGUGGGUGCGGGCGUGCCACUACUAGAUGCCGCUAGUAGACGGGAUUUGAGUGAUUGAGGUUGCGCCUGAAUUUGCCCGAAUCAAGAGAUUGUGUCAUUUGAGUGGGAGUUGCUCAAAUUAAGGUUCUUUGUUUGCCUUAAAAAUAAGGACUUUACUUAUAUGGAGAGAUAGAACAAUAUGUAAAUGAUAAGGUUGCUUGGAAAUAUAAAUGACAGAGGAAAGUGACUAAAAUUGCAGAUUGCUUGUAAUUUAUAUGGCUGGAAAUGAGUACAUAACAGCUACAAAUGAGAUCGAUACCGCAAGUGAGCAGCAGAGCUAAUAAACUAGAUAAAAGAAGGCUUUUUGGUGAAGGUUUAUCCCGAAUGGGAUGAAGGUUUGGGCUGACUACAGCUUCGUUGAAGGCAAAUCUGGCUUGAGCAGAGUUUUGGCUUUUGUUUGUUUGUUUGAGUGUCCAUAAUCCUUGUGCAUCUGCUCCUUUUUAUAGAGGUCUGGAGGAAACCCUCCUGCUGAGGUUUUGUAUCUGCCCGAAAAAAGCUUGGGCAGCUUGUAUUCCAUUGCUUUAGACAGCUUGCAUGCUUUUCACUUGCCAACUUGCAUGGAGAAAUAAUAUUAAAAGGGGAACUUGCAUUUCCACCACAAGCUUUUAGCACAUGUUUUCCCACUUGUAAUAAACUAACAUUUAAAAGAAGCAAGUUGGAUUCUUUCACAUGUUCCUUGCCCGAAAGCUUGCUGAUGCUUUUCCAUCCACUUGCAAUACAUGCAUGUACCUUGAUUAAACAAAUGCUAGACAAACCUCCACCACCCAAACAAAUAGGAGAAACAAUAUUAUAGUGUCCAACCCCUCCACUUGCAUCUAAAUAUCUUUCCAAGUUAGCUUUCUUGCAUAUUAAUCCUCCAAAUGCCAUAUUUUACCCAAAUUGCCCAAAUAAGUAAAAAUGUGUAUAUUUUGAGUGCAAACAGUGCCCCCCAAGUUUUACAAAUUUGAGCAAAGUUUGUGAAACUUACAACCCCAAUGCUGCCAGGAUUGAUGUCGAAGGAAGAGGCACGUCUACAUCUUCAGUCCUUUCGUCGUUGAGAAACUUGGCAAGAUAUGUUCGCUCCCUAAAUCCGCCAUGGCGCCUUGCGGGCAAGCCGGGGAUUUACUUCACAUAUGAGAUUGGUGGGUGCGGGCGUGCCACUACUAGAUGCCGCUAGUAGACGGGAUUUGAGUGAUUGAGGUUGCGCCUGAAUUUGCCCGAAUCAAGAGAUUGUGUCAUUUGAGUGGGAGUUGCUCAAAUUAAGAUUCUUUGUUUGCCUUAAAAAUAAGGACUUUACUUAUAUGGAGAGAUAGAACAAUAUGUAAAUGAUAAGGUUGCUUGGAAAUAUAAAUGACAGAGGAAAGUGACUAAAAUUGCAGAUUGCUUGUAAUUUAUAUGGCUGGAAAUGAGUACAUAACAGCUACAAAUGAGAUCGAUACCGCAAGUGAGCAGCAGAGCUAAUAAACUAGAUAAAAGAAGGCUUUUUGGUGAAGGUUUAUCCCGAAUGGGAUGAAGGCUUGGGCUGACUACAGCUUCGUUGAAGGCAAAUCUGGCUUGAGCAGAGUUUUGGCUUUUGUUUGUUUGUUUGAGUGUCCAUAAUCCUUGUGCAUCUGCUCCUUUUUAUAGAGGUCUGGAGGAAACCCUCCUGCUGAGGUUUUGUAUCUGCCCGAAAGAAGCUUGGGCAACUUGUAUUCCAUUGCUUUAGACAGCUUGCAUGCUUUUCACUUGCCAACUUGCAUGGAGAAAUAAUAUUAAAAGGGGAACUUGCAUUUCCACCACAAGCUUUUAGCACAUGUUUUCCCACUUGUAAUAAACUAACAUUUAAAAGAAGCAAGUUGGCUUCUUUCACAUGUUCCUUGCUCGAAAGCUUGCUGAUGCUUUUCCAUCCACUUGCAAUACAUGCAUGUAUCUUGAUUAUACAAAUGCUAGACAAACCUCCACCACCCAAACAAAUAGGAGAAACAAUAUUAUAGUGUCCAACCCCUCCACUUGCAUCUAAAUAUCUUUCCAAGUUAGCUUUCUUGCAUAUUAAUCCUCCAAAUGCCAUAUUUUACCCAAAUUGCCCAAAUAAGUAAAAAUGGGUAUAUUUUGAGUGCAAACAGUGCCCCCCAAGUUUUACAAAUUUGAGCAAAGUUUGUGAAACUUACAACCCCAAUGCUGCCAGGAUUGAUGUCGAAGGAAGAGGCACGUCUACAUCUUCAGUCCUUUCGUCGUUGAGAAACUUGGCAAGAUGAGCAAGGCAAUUGGUAGUGUAACUAGCAUUGGAAAGAAUGUUGUCUGACUUGUGCAUCCUUCUUGUUGAUACCAAAAAACAUGGGAGCAACCUCACUGAUUACAUAGAUAAUAAAUUGGACAAAUGCUCGAAGUCGGGCAAACUGGAGAACAAGGAUAAAACAUAAAUAAACUUGGGCAACUAUUUAUUUUUUGUCUUUUUCUUUUGGCCUCUUUUCAUAUGUAAUAUAAUAUAUAAUACAAAUACAUAUAUAUAUAUAUAUAAUAUAGCCCACUCGGCAAAGAGAACAGAAAGAGACAAGAAGAAAGAGAAAGGAAGGAAAAGAAAAUAAAUAAAUAAAGAAAAAGGAAGAAAGAGAAGAGGACCCUUUCGGGCAAGAAGGGAACGGAAGAGACAGAAGAGAAAGAAAGGGGAAAGGAAAAGGGAGAGAGGGAAAGAAAUAAUAAAAAAGUAAGGAAAGAACCUUUCUUUCUUAGGCCGAGCCAAGUGAAGGACAGACCUUGAGAAAGGGACAAGGAACAGAAAGCAAGAGAAAAGAAAAAAGAAAAGGAAAAAGAAAGAGAUAGAUAGAGAGAAAAAGAUACCCACGUUCUCUAGCCUUUCCUUUUCUCCAAAAGAGAAGCUGUUUCUCUGUUCGAGGCACCACUUAAAGAUCAAGGUGCGGCAACCAAAAUCCAAGUCUGAGAGAGAGAGAGAGAGAGAGAGAGCAAUCCUUGUUCGUUCCCAAAUUUUGCCUCUUUGGAAUUAAGAGAAGUGGAAAGAUGCCUCUUAAGCUAGCCGACGCCACCAUCUCCACCUUCGAUUGUGUGUUUGACAAAUUCAAAGUAGAAGCUCUAAACAACAAAAUCAAUUUCAUCCUUUUCUUGGCUGACAAUGACCCUUCUACCUCUUGGUGCCCUGAUUGUGUGAGAUCUGAGCUUGUAAUCUACAAAAGGCUAGAAGCUAUACCAGAUGAUGUUGCACUGUUGAGGAAAUCAAACUCCUCUGGUGUUAUUUUGUUCAGAGCCCUCAUAGUCUUUCACACGCGAUCCUCAUCAGAUAGAGCAACCUUCUAGCUGACCAUAGUACCUCAGCUUUGAUUGAAGUAGGAGCAGGCCCUCCUCCUUGGUUCUGUUCAUGCAAAUUAAGCCUGAUUUGCAUCUUGCUGUUUGUGACCAAACCGAUCACCAGACUUUUUGUUCUUCCGGAGAGCACCCGAUGACCGUACUCUUUAAGGCAGGAAUUGGUGUAGAAGUGCCACGCCAAACUCGGCUAUUGGGCUCCGAAUAAUCAAUUUUAGGCUGGAGAUGGAGCUGGAGAUUUGGUAGAAUGGUUUUUGCAUGACCUCAGUUCUGAUCUUCACCACUGGAAUUUCAUCAGGGAGCAAAACAGCUUCCCUAAGCUGUAGUUGAUUCUUUGGGACGGAGUGAGAUGCAUAGUGCGCUAGCACACUCCCCUCCCUAACCAGCAAAAAUCCAGACUUUUCUUCCCAUACUGAGAGAUAAUUAGGGAAACUAGAAAUCCCCGAGAUUGGGGAAUGGAAGAAUAUCACCUGCAAUUGUUGCUUAUUGAUCCAUUCCAUUGAGGUCGGGAGCUAUACUAGACUUUGAUCCGCUGUUUGAUGUUCUUUGCCCGAGCUGCGGUUCCAAGACACCACCCAUGGAUUCGUUUUUGGAGUAACAAUACCACAUCGGGCUCAUGGGAGUUUGCAAUAACCCUGCUGUCGAAAGCAUUGUUGGAAUUAAGAUCGUUAUCACUUCCAACAUGAUGUUGCAGCGCAGGUUUUGGCUGGAAUUUGUUGGGAGGUAACGACGAGCAGCUGUGAGCUACGAUGUUGUUGGUUGACUUGUUUUUCACAGAAGCUUGCUCUGUCCACCAUUUAAGCAAUUUUUGGGCUAGGAAGCCAUUGACAGGUUUGUUGGGGGAGUCGGUGUAAUUUCCAGCAUCUCCUUCAGGGGCAGCUAUGGCACGAGCACUUCAAAUACGUUUGCCCGAUCAAACAUGGGGCCCCAUGUCUAAUUGACAACAUCUAAAUAAAUUGUAGCAGAGAAAAAGUCUUGCUCAUCGGGCAAGAUUAUAGCUCCAUCGGGCAAUAGCAACAUACUUUCAUCAAGCAUUCGGGCAAACUGCAAAAACAAUUCUGCACCCACCAUCCAACCUCCACGGUUUAAUCGUAGCCUCAAUGGUAGUCGUCGAAGUAGCCCGACCCUUGGUUGUAGGAGCUGGUGAGAGUUAGGGAGACAUGCAGAGUCUGUUGGUGGUGAACAGGGAAGACGUCACUUCCGUCGGGCAUGGUUAUGGUGGUCUCAUCGGGCACCACCAAUCGGGCAAGAUAACCCCCCUGCUCUUUUGCAAUAGCCAUUGAGAAGCUGUCUGAUAGAUUUUUGCACAGGAAAGCCAUGAUUUGGCUUUUUAUAAAACCUCCAAUUCCAAGAUUCUGGGUGAGAUUUUGUGGAAAAUGUAGUUUUAUUGUAUGGUUUUGGGUUCGGGCUAAAUACACCCAUUGGAUAAGAGAAAAGGUGGAAAGAAGGGUAAAAAUGGCUACUCACAAACUGCCCAACUCUUUAUAUUUUCUGUAAAAUUCCCCAGCAAGAAAACAAAAAGGGAAAGAAAGCAAGAAAAAACAAAGCAAGAAAGCAAAAUGUUUUUGUAAUUUUUGGAAUUUUUAAUUUUUAUAUCUUUUUCUUUGUAACAACACAAGAAACACACCAAGAAAACAGAGCCCUUUCGGGCAAACAGAAAAAGGAAAUUAAAGGCCUGUCAAGCAAGUUGGAAAAAGACAAAUAAAAAGAAAGACUUGUCAGACUUUCUUUAAAAAGAGUAAAACAUAAAAUGGACAAAAGCCCUUUCGGGCAAACCAACACCAAAGGAAGAAAUAUAAUCUUUUUAUUUUUCUUUGUUGUCCUUUUUUUUUUAAAAGCUAUACAUAUAAUAUAAUAAAAUAUACACCUACGAAAAGCCUUCGGGCAAAACACUUUUAUCAUAUAAUAUAAUAUAAUAAAUAUAGAUAUAUAGAUAUAAAAGUGUUUUGGGCAGCAGAAAGACAGGUGAGAGAGAGACAAGAAGGAAAAGAAAGGAAGAAAGAAAGAAAGAAAAAGAAAAGGAAAGAAAAAGGAAAAGGAGGAGAAGGGUACUGGAGAAAAAUGCACAAAAGAAUAACAUAAAAGAAAGCCAUUCGGGCAAAUUGGAUGAAGCCCCUUGGCUACUCAAGUGUUAUUUUUCUCUCAACACUCAAAUCUUUUUCUCUUUUUAAAAUUGAGUGUAGAGAGAUCAAACCCACCAUUUAAAUUGGCCAUGCUAUGUAGCUUGGGAACCAUAGGAGGUGGCCAUUCAUGUUUGAUCCCAAGCUUUGUCCUCAUUGAGAUCUCGAUGCGGACAACAUGCUUGUGUUGGCGGGGAAGAUUAUAGGAGCUAUUUUCUUCUUCUUCGGGCUCCACAUGAGGUGUGGGCUCAUGCCCCCCGAGCGUUGGUGUUUGGCCUACAACGGCUUGGACUUCUACAACCAUAUCCAUUUUCAUGGAUUUUUCCUUGGGUGGGGCCAUUGUUUGGCCUUCAUCAACAUGUAUGAUCUGUUCUUCCUUGGUUGUAGUAGGGUGAGUGUGCUUUGUAGAGGGGAUUUGACACAUUUGAUCUAUCAACUUUCCCAAAGUUUCUCCAAAAGUUGUAUAGCUUUCCUCCACCUUUUUAAAACACUUAGUCAUCUCUUCACCAUAUUCGAUGCUUGCCACAUGGAGUUUUGACACCUUCUCUAAUUUGCCCACAUCCUCUUUGUAGAGCUCUUCAUCCGAAUGAUCAUGAGUUGGCAUCUUAUAUAUUGGCUUUAUGUACUUAUUGGAAGUCUUUUGAUACUCAAAGCCAUUUGUUGGCCUAUCAUAGUAUUCAUGAAUAUGAUUGUCUUCAAAAGAAUAAUAACCUUCAUCAUAACCAUAAGUUGGCCAAUCUGUAAGAUCAUUAUUUAUUUGAUGGCCAUUAGUUGGCCGACAAUCAUGUUCCAUGGGACUUGAGUACUUUUCAGCCAUGUACCCAUAAGUUGGCAACUCAUAGGUUGGCUCUAUGUGAUAGCCAUAGCUUGGGCGCUCUUCCACACCAUCAUCUUCCGAAAAAGCAGAAAAAUCAUGAACAUAAGGAUUGUUCAUGAUCUAACUCCAUAUAAGGAUCCCACCGGGCGUGCCAAAAUAUGUUCGCUCCCUAAAUCCGCCAUGGCGCCUUGCGGGCAAGCCGGGGAUUUACUUCACAUAUGAGAUUGGUGGGUGCGGGCGUGCCACUACUAGAUGCCGCUAGUAGACGGGAUUUGAGUGAUUGAGGUUGCGCCUGAAUUUGCCCGAAUCAAGAGAUUGUGUCAUUUGAGUGGGAGUUGCUCAAAUUAAGGUUCUUUGUUUGCCUUAAAAAUAAGGACUUUACUUAUAUGGAGAGAUAGAACAAUAUGUAAAUGACAAGGUUGCUUGGAAAUGUAACUGACAGAGGAAAGUGACUAAUAUUGCAGAUUGCUUGUAAUUUAUAUGACUGGAAAUGAGUACAUAAAAGCUACAAAUGAAAUCGAUACUACAAGUGAGUAGCAGAGCUAAUAAACUAGAGAAAAGAAGGCUUUUUGGUGAAGGUUGAUCCCGAAAGGGAUGAAGGCUUGGUGCUGACUACAGCUUCGUUUGAAGGCAAAUCUGGCUUGAGCAGAGUUUUGGCUUUUGUUUGUUUGUUUGAGUGUCCAUAAUCCUUGUGCAGCUGCUCCUUUUUAUAGAGGUCUGGAGGAAACCCUCCUGCUGAGGUUUUGUAUCUGCCCGAAAGAAGCUUGGGCAGCUUGUAUUUCAUUGCUUUAGACAGCUUGCAUGCUUUUCACUUGCCAACUUGCAUGGAGAAAUAAUAUUAAAAGGGGAACUUGCAUUUCCACCACAAGCUUUUAGCACAUGUUUUCCCACUUGUAAUAAACUAACAUUUAAAAGAAGCAAGUUGGCUUCUUUCACAUGUUCCUUGCCCGAAAGCUUGCUGAUGCUUUUCCAUCCACUUGCAAUACAUGCAUGUAUCUUGAUUAAACAAAUGCUAGACAAACCUCCACCACCCAAACAAAUAGGAGAAACAAUAUUAUAGUGUCCAACCCCUCCACUUGCAUCUAAAUAUCUUUCCAAGUUAGCUUUCUUGCAUAUUAAUCCUCCAAAUGUCAUAUUUUACCCAAAUUGCCCAAAUAAGUAAAAAUGGGUAUAUUUUGAGUGCAAACAACAUGUCAACCUCCUGUACCACUUGUUGGAUUGAACCGUCGGUAGUCUGAAGCCAGAUAUAAGACUUCAUCAUCUGAGAAUGAGUUGGCACCGAUGUGGCUUUAGAAUUCCAACAUUACAAAGUACACGAAAAAUAUAAAACAGUUAAACAACCCACCCACCUUCACCCCCUCCAAAUAAACAAAAACAAAAAGAGAGAACAAAUUAACACUCAACAAGUAGAGGCGGCUACAAGCAUUCAAAAGAAACGAAAAACAGAAAACAAUCGAUUCGACUAUGGCUUGAAGAACAAAGAAAAGAAAACAUAAUGCAUUUAUCUAUUAAACACUAGACAAAGACGACAUAACAUAGUGGAAAAAAAGGAAGAAGGGGCAUAAAAAGAAUCACGAAGAACGCGUACGGAAAAGUGAUAAUACCUCAGGUUCAAUAACAGUCAUGUCACCUUCUGACAUUUGAACAAUCCCAAGUUCUGAGGCUUAAAAACUGGAGUGCAUCAGGCAAAAGAAAACAGCUUUAUGCUUCUUUUGCAGCAACUUGCUGAUACCCUGUUAAGUCAAACAAAAUUAUAAUUAGCAGCCCUUCUAUGCAAAUCCUUACCCAAAAUUAAAGUUUACACAAAUUUAACAUAAACCCAAGUUAGCUAGGGCAGUAAACCACCCUUUGCAAUCCCCAAGCCGUCGUUUAGAUUAGAUUAGAAUAUCGCUUUCAAAACAUAAACCCAGCUCUUACUUGCCAUGAAACAAUACAAGUUCCAAUUUUUCCUAACAAAUCUAUACUUCAUACAUAUAUAUUUCCACUAAACUUAAUUCCAUUUAUUCCCAAGUACAUGAAAAAGCAUUCUGGUGAUUAUAUUGCCCUAAAUCAAGUGAGAAAAAUUGCAAUUCAUAGGUAUUUUAGCUGAAUUUCUCGAUUAAACUAACUGUUAUUACCAGUAAAUGAUUGUUUUUCCUAAAGAUUUUAGUUCACCGAGCUCCGGAUUAAAGGGUACUUGGCAAUUUCAUUUUUCUAUUCAAUCAUUUCCAUUUUCCCGCACUUUCUGGGCAACCAAACAGGCAUACAGAAGAGAAAAAAAACAUGGUAAAGAAAAGCAAAAGGACAGACAAUUAAUUAACACGAAGGAGACAUACGAAAUGUACGGAUUCCAGGUAGGGGGAGCUUUGAAUUGCAGAGAUUUGGCGGUUGUCGGCGAAUCCCCAAAAAUGGAUAAAAUUGCGAAUAAAAUUUAGGAAAAAAAAAGAAAAAGAAACUCUCGUGUGACUGAAGUUGCGUCAAAAAUCAAAAGGUCUGCAAAUCACACGUCAGCGUUUCGUUAGGGUUUCCUGACCUCUUGUAUUUAUUUUGAUUUGAUUGAUUAGUGUUGUUUGUUUGUACAAUUCCUGGUGCGGGCCCACCUUAACCAACGGAUCAUAUUGAUCAUCAAUGUGACCUGGUAAUUAGCAGGCUUUGAUUGAAAAUGGUUCUUAUCAAUGAGGCCCGUACUCCCCUUGUAUAGUUGGACACUGAAUAUUGAGUUAAACCUCGUUGCAGUGAGAGGUUUUUGUGUGAGGCCAUCGCUGUUGGUGAGUCAUUUGUGUUGUGCGCAAGGUCUAAAAUUAUUCGACAGCCUGCUGCUAUUAUCACCAACUAGGUGAUCAAAAGUACGUCCAGUACUCUAAAAUUAUACAUGAGCAUCACUCAUGUCAAUCAUGCAUAAACACUCAUGAGCAUCACUCAUGUCAAUCAUACAUAAACAUUCAUGAACAUCAUUCAUGUCAACAUUCAUGAGCAUCACUUAUGUCAACAUCCAUGAGCAUCACUCAUGUCAAUCAACAUAAACAUUCAUGAACAUCACUCAUGACAAUCAGCUUUGAAAGUUUCAUUUACAGAGCUCCAACUUCAAGAGCUCCAGCUUCAAAAACUUCAUUUACAAAGCUCCAGCUUCAAAAACUUCAUUUACAAAAGCUCCAGCUUCAAAGCUUCACCUACAAAGCUUCAGUGCAUGGUUUACAAAGAUCGCCUCCGAACAACUGCCACUUCGGUCCAUACAUGGAUUGAAUUUGAAGUCUCCAGCCAAUAGCCUCUAUUGACUGAAGACUUGGGGGACUGCACUCUGUACCAUAUAUUGGGCUUCCACAACUAGGUCUCAUGAAAAAUACUUUGGGACUCUAGUCCAUUAUUUAUGUACUGAGGAGCGAACCCUUAUUCUAUAAAAAGGACUCCCUUACUUUCAUUAGAGAGCACACAUUAUUCAUGUACUGAGGAGCGAACCCUUAUUCUAUAAAAGGGACUCCCUCACUUUCAUUAGAGAGCACUCAUUAUUCAUGUACUGAGGAGAGAGCCCUUAUUUUAUAAAAGGAACUCCCUCACCUUCAUUAGAGAGCAUCUCCACCUGUUGAGCAACCGCCUCGCCCCGAGCAUCAACUCUUAGCCCAUCACUUAUGUAUUAAAGAGCAAGCCCUUAUUCUAUAAAAGGGACUCCCUCACCAUCAUUAGAGAGCAUCGCCGCCUAUUGAGCAACCGCCUCGCCGCGAGCAUCAACUAUAGCCCAUCAUUUAUGUAUUGAUGAGCGAGCCCUUAUUCUAUAAAAGGGACUCCCACACCUUCAACGCCACAAGCGGAGCCAACCAAGGCAACAUAAGCCACAAGCAGGGCAACCUCGCAACAUGAGCUACUUUUAGUUGAGCAUCAUUUCAGAUUGGGCACCGCCUCAUAUCGAGUAUUAGUUCUAGGCGACAUCUAGUUACUUCGGCCCACACGUGGACUAAAUUUCAAGUCUCCAGCCAAAAGACUCUCUUGACUGAAGACUUGGGGAACUACUGUUUGUACCAUACUUAGGGUAUCCAUAUUUAGAUCUCGUAUAAAUACUCGGGAGACUCAAAUGUAAUUAUGUAAUAAAUGGAGGGGCAAAUAUGUAAUAAGUGAGGAGCCCUUAUUCUAUAAAAUGGCUUCUUCACCCUCACAAACCGAAAGCUCUCAUCCUCACAAACAGAGAGCUCUCUCAAACUCUCUCUUUCUUUGGGGGACUCCCCCUCACCCUUGUAAUCCAUACGUACAGUUAGAGAGAAAUACAAUCAACAUCAGUGUGGACGUAGCCCAAACAUUUGGGUGAACCACAAUACAUCUUGUGUUCUUUACUUUCUUGCAGAUUCACGGUUGGAUUUACGUUGUUCCAAGACCCCUCCGGUUUUGUGCAUCAAAAUAAAUCAUAAUUCCCAUUUACGAAAUUUCAUAAUCACCCUGGAAUUUUCACCACAAACACAAUACAAUUUAUGUAUGUAUUUCACAUAUAAAACAUGAAUGCCACUUCAUUCACAAAAUAUGAAUUAAUACAACCACAAUGCAUUCCACAAUCCAUAUAACAAGAACUCAAGAAUAUUGCAUAUUGUAGAACAUGAUCAUUUGCUCUGAUACCAUUAAAGUUGUCACGCCCGAUCCCGACAUAUGUCCAAGAUCGAUACGUGACGUUACAAAAUACCCAUAUCACUCACACACCCCGCUUCUAGGAUAUGGACAAUGCACAACUCAAGAUUCAAAUUUCAUGAUAAUUUUUCUUAUACUUUAUGGUUGCAUCUAACCUCCUCGUUAGACUGUUUACGUACCCUCAAUAGGGAUCAAGCCAUUCGUAGUUCAACUUCGCUAUAACUCGACAUAUAACACAGUAUGUUCAAGCCAAAAUGCAUAACAUUCCUCAAUCAAACAUUUGGACUUGACAAGCAUGAAUUAUUCGAUUCAAACUACAUAACAACCCGCAUGACAAUCAAGGUUUCUAUUUCAUCCAUCAUAUAAAUCAUUAUGUUUCAACAUAAAAUUGCUAUUCAUAUCAUGUAAUAUAUCAAAGAAUCAACACAGCACAAUAGUAUCCUCUAGUCGCAUUAAUCAUUGAUCUAAUCAUAUUAAUAACAAUCAUAUUCAACAUCCUUCCACAAUCAUCUCAAGUAACCCAUUCCAUGAUAUCAAGGAGGCACGAUAUUAACAUUUAAUUAUGUUAAUCAAUCAAUCAAUCAAAUCACACCUCAAUGCACAAAAUUAAUAAAGGACUUCUACAUAGUUCUCUGCCUGGAUUUCAAGUAAUAACUUGAUAAUUCUAAUUUAUAUUCACAAGAUAUAUUAUGGGUACAUCCCAUUCAAUCGAAUCCAGGGAACAAGUCUAACUUAAGGAAAAGAGCAAAAGUAGGGAUAACGGACCACUCAACGUAAUCCAAAUCAGGAUACGAUUCCGAACCAUCACUCAAUGGAAUUGCGGAGUAGAAAGGAUUUUGGACCAUCUCUCAACGGAAUCUGAGUGGAUACGAUUCUGGACCAUCACUCAGCGGAAUCGCGGAGUACAAUGCAUAACAACCACUAAAUGAAACCCAAGUUGGAUACGAUUCCGGACCAUCACUCGACGGAAUCGCAAAAUAGAAGGGAUUCCGGACCAUCACUCAACGGAAUCCAAACAAGCAUAUGAUUCUCCCAUCAAAUGUACCAAGUACAACUAAUCCUCCUCACUUUUAGAAUGCAUAUGGUCCCCCAACGCGGAUUAACCAAGUAGGUAGUGACUCCCCAAAGUGUAUUAACCAAGCAGAGUCAUACCUACAAAACUGUUAGGCAAUGAUCACCUUAUGCGGAUUAACCAAGCAUGAUCACCCCUAAGUAUAAAUGGCCAUAAGGAUCACCCAACGCGGAUUAACCAAGCACGAUCCAUAAAUAGUAUGGUCCGCCAACGCGGAUAAACCAAGCAAGACCAGCCAUGCACCACGUCUACAUAGUGCAGUCUCAUCAUCACACCUUAUACAUAAUUAUACGCAUACAUACUAUCGAUUCCGCAUAUCAACCAGCAUUCAGUCAUAUGGAGCACAACACAAGGAAUUCCCUCAAUUACUAAUUCUACUAAAAAUCUAAUAAAGUACCUAACUCAUCUCCUGACUUUCAUCUCCAUCUCAUGCUAGGUAAUAGUGCAAAGUUCAAAUAAGUAUUCAGUUGGCAAUCAUAUCCAAAUAAUUAUCAAACAAUAUUUAGAUCCCAUAAUUGUCAUAACAUUCUUCAUAAUUAUCAUUCACAUUAUUAAAAGUUAAUUAAACACAUAUCUAUCACAAACAUCAUCAAUACACAAGCCAAAUCAUAUUUAAUUAGCAUAGGUCUAUGGCCAAAUAUAUAAAAUUCACAUUUCAAUAGAAAUCAUAUUUAUAAGACCAAUUCAUAUUCACAAAUGAUACUAAUAGUAGAAAUUAAGAUAAUAAUCAUAUUUCAUAUAUUCAAGUCGCUAUCUAACCAAUGUAGGCCCACUAGACUUCACUUAGUCCCUCAUGAUACUAAUUUUAGUAAUUAGGACGUUUCGAGACAUGUUGAUCAAAAGUCAACUUUUGGUCAAAGGUAGGGUCCACAAUUCUACACAAUUCAAUCCGGAAGAUCCACACCUUGGAUUUCGGAUAUGUAACUUUCCAAAGUCCACAUUAUGCUCAAAUAACAACAUGCUAAAAUCUUAACACGAUCCGACGAUUGGAUCUCCGCCAAUUAAAUUCAAGUGGCGAUCGACAUUUAAUUUUACAAACUUAGAAAUCCAAUUAGGGAAGAUCUGUAUGUCGGAUUCUCGAUCCGUAAGUUUCUAUGAUCCAAAAAUAUUAUGUUCUAUCACACAUUAAGAUUUGGUGACAAUCCAACGGUCGGAUCGUCGAAUCAUAUUUUUGACCUAACCACGUAUCGUAAUGAAAUUAGGUUCAAACAAUCAAAUCAUAUAAUAAGGAUAUCAAUUAUGAAAUCAGGGCAUCUAAUUGAACUUAAAAGGACAUCAUCGGCCCACUGGCCAGGCCGCCGCAGCACACGCCGUCGCGGGUGGCGGUCGGCCACCCCGACUUGUCGGAAAAUUCAACUAUUUUUAAAAAUUACUAAAAAUUAUAGAAAUGAAGAUCUCAAAGAGUAAAAAACUUUAUACCUAUGGCCAAGUUCAAUUUGGCCGGGAAACACUUCAAUUUCACUCAAACCCGCCGAAACCCUAGAAAAGGGUGUGCUUUGAUUCGGCUUCCAAUCGAACUCCGACGCCUCCAACACUACUUGAGCUUUGUUCCUGGGGUUGAGAGAAGUCUUUUGGUGGUGGUCAUGGAUGGUGAAACUUGUCGGAGCCACCGGGAAAAGGGAUAAAGCUGCCGGAACACCCGUGGGUUUGUGGCUUCGAACUGGAAAAAUGGGAAGGAAAUUGUGAAAUCUAACACUACCAGGAUGUAGGGCUCAUCAAAGGCUUUCCAUGGACACCAAGAUCACCCAAAACGGAGUUCGUAUGAAUAAGAUAUGGCCGGGUCAAAAAUGGUGGUUCGUAGGUCAAAAAAUGACCCAUUUCAGGUCCCUACUUUCCCCUCCUUCUCCUUCUCCUGAUUGGGCAGCUCCUAACCUUUUAAAAAUCUGAUUGGUUCCCUCCCUCUUCUAAUUGAUUGGUCCCUUAAUCCAAAUAUCUGAUUAGGCCUCUUUCCCAUAAAGUGGGAGUCUAAAUAAUUCCUAAAUUCUAUAGUAUCCCAACUUCAAACGCCCGUAACUAUAUCGUUAUAACCCGAACUCGUAAACGGCUUUUGCCUAUGCGUUCGUGAUCUCUAAAUCUAAUCAACAAUAUAAAUUGUGACCUUGAAUGGUCUACGGAUUUUAAAUAAUUAAUUUCCCAAAAAAUAAUAUAAAAACUCAAUAAUACCAAUACUUAGAUUAUAAUAAUGAAAUCCAGGAAUGGGAUUUCACAAUUUAUAUGUCUGUUCCUCCUGGUCUUCGGCGACAGUGGGAGAAUCUUGUGUGUCGCCUUCACAAGUCUCUUUAUGGUCUCAAGCAGGCUUCUCGCCAAUGGUUUGCCAAAUUCACUACUGCCAUUCUUUCCGCUGGCUUUCAACAAUCCAAAGUUGACUAUUCAUUGUUCACUAAAAAGUCUGGUACUUCUUUUACAGCCUUGCUCAUUUAUGUGUAUGAUAUUGUGAUUACAGGCAACGAUGUUUGUGCAAUUGAUUCUCUGAAGUCUUUUCUCCGUGAUCAUUUUCGGAUUAAAGACCUUGGUGAUUUAAAAUAUUUUUUGGGCAUUGAGGUUUCUCGUUCCAAACAAGGGAUUUAUAUUUCACAGCGCAAGUAUGCAUUAGAGAUUCUCAAGGAUUAUGAUUUUUUUUUAGCACAACCCAUUACUUUCCCUAUGGACGACACAAAAUUCUCUGAUAAGGGAGAACUUCUCAAGGAUCCUGAAAAGUAUCGCUGAUUAGUAGGACGGUUGAUCUAUCUCACAUAACUCGGUCGGACAUCACCUAUUAUGUGCAUGUUCUGAGUCGUUUUAUGCAUGAGCCAAGGAUACCUCAUAUGGAUGUUGCGCUUCGUGUUGUUCGUUAUUUGAAGGCUACUCCAGGUCAAGGCUUAUUAUUCCGUUCUGACAACCAAACCAAGUUAACUGCAUUUUGUGACUCUGAUUGAACAGGUUGUCCUAUCACUUGCCAUUCGACUACUGGGUAUUGUGUAUUCUUGGGCAAUUCUUUGGUUUCGUGGCGGGCAAAACGACAGGAAACUGUUUCACUUUCUUCAUCAGAAGCAGAAUAUAAGGCUAUGGCAAGUGCUUGUUGUGAGUUAAUUUGGCUUCGGUUUCUAUUGAAAGACUUGAACAUUCCUUUCGAUGGUCCUUCCGUUUUAUUUUGUGAUAAUCAAGCAGCAUUACAUAUAGCAGCUAAUCCUGUUUUUCAUGAGCGGACUCAUCACAUUGAGAUGGAUUGUCACUUUAUACGAGAUAAGAUUGCAGAUGGCACUAUAGAAACCAAGUAUGUUGGUACGGCACACCAGUUGGCGGAUUUGUUUACCAAGCCUCUCGGGAAAGACAAGUUUUCGAGUAUGUUACGCAAGUUGGGAGUUCUUGACAUCCACUCUCCAACUUGAGGGGGGGUGCUAGACAAGUAGAAACGUAGUUGGAAUCUAUGUAUAAUUGUAAUCCUAGUUAUAGUUGUAUUCCUAACUUGUGGGAUAAUUUCUUGCUGACCAAGUUAUGUAAUUGUAUAUAUUUGUGUUUCACGUAUCAAUGAAAUGCGCUUCAAACCCAUAUAUCUUUUUCUACAUAUUUUAAAUUGCAUACAAGCAAGCUUCCGCCAUUUAAUUGUUGAAAGUAUGCCAUUUCUUGCUUAAUGAACUUAGAUUUUCAUAAAUUUUCCUUCAGUUAUAUGGAUCCCCAAGCCUUCCGGCAGAAAUUCAGCAAUAAUAAACCUGGGUUUUGGUCACAUUCGCUAUUGAAGAUAAACCAACUUCGACAACCCGCUGCAGCGCAACCCACGAGGUCACCCACCUUCAGCCCUCGCGGUUUGAAGUUUCGAUCGCCACGAUGCCAGCCUUAUUCCACAAUAGCAGCAGCACUCCAGAGACCCGUCGCUGCAACCCAUGAAGCUUCAACCCGCGGUUCGUACCACCAGACCCCAGCCGCAACCACAUUUGAAUCCCUCGGCAGCCGUCCCCCGAGCACAGCUUUCCCCGCGACGCAACUGCAGCUCAACCCACGACCAGUUUCGGUCACGAGCUUCGAGUUCAACCUUUGGUGGUCUCGCGUUUCCCAGAUCUUCAGUCAUGAACAAACGAUGGUCUUUGUGCAGCCCGAAAAGGCGGAGAUCGACGAGGAUAAGGAAAGAAAUGGAUGAAGGGAUAAGGAAGGAAAGAGAGAGUUGUGUGGCUGUGCGACCGUUUGGAUGAGAGAGACGGAAACAACAAUAGAAAAGGCGCUGGCUGCUGCAACAAGAAGGCUGGGUCCAAACUUGAGCCUAGUGGCCGUCCAGCACAAAAGGGAGAAGGUGCUGCAAUGGUUAAGCGGCGUGGGCCUCCUCUCCUCUUGGCCUUGAGCUAUUAAAAAUAAAAAAUAAAAAUCAGGGAGGCAACAAAGAAAUUGAAUAAAACAAAGAUAUGUGGCCUUAUAAAAGAAGGCUCAAAUGUACACCAGAAGAAGGAAGGCAGAGAAUUUUUGAAAUUUGUGUUCCUUCGGUGACUCGGGAAAUUAAGACACCUUCUUUAGCAACUCUCCUUAUUCGGAGAUUUCGACAGACUCCACUAUAUGCUACUACAUUUCGAUAGUCAUAAGUUUCGUAAUUACUCAAUGACUUGGAUUUUGUAAGUCCCAACUAAUAAACUUUCCUCACUCGAGAACUUGGGAGAGAACUAUUUGUAUUAUACUUGACCAAUCCUGAAACUAUCGUGCAUUGGUCAACUUCCUACCUUCAAGGACCCACUGAAGGGUUCGUGCUGAGGCACUCCUGCCGAAGCACAAGAGUUUCUCUCCAAUUAGAAUGCCAAUUUAGUUCCUGAAUUAUCACAUGAGUGAAAAUUAGGUCCCUAACUUCUUCUUUUUUCAGAAAAAUUAGUCUUUGAAUUAUAAAACUCGGUCAAUUACAUCCCUAAUAUUAGAUUUGAAGCUACGAUAUUCAAUUUUCCAUCAACUUAAGUCAUGGUACAUGCAUGUGAUACACAUUUGAGGGUAGAUUGGUAAUUUUACAUAAAGAAUAGUGUUUGGUAAUUUUACUUAAGUUGAUGAAAAUUGAAUAAAAAAAGCUUUGAAUAUAAUAGUAGAGAUGAAAUUAGUAAUUAACCGAAAAAUAAUUCAAGCACCUAAUUUUUACUAAGAUAACAAUUCAGGGACAUUUUAUCCUAAAUCAAUUGCAUCUUUUGGGUUUCUCACCACUCCUUGAAACAUCAAUUCAUUUAUGCACUUCCAAAUUCUCCAAAGAACAAAAACCACCUCCUACAUAAUCUCCUCUCUCCGCUGCUCAUCCUUACAUCGCAUACCAAUAUACUCCAACACGCACGAAAAUCAAUCCCCACAAACGCCGUUGCAUCCAGUUGUAAUGAGCAGCAAUACCAAAUGACACGACUAAAUUUACACCCAAAAAAUAGGUGUUCUUCCAUUUCCUCAGCACACCCACAAAGGACACAUGAAUUGUCCACUCUCAUCCUCCUACGAAUUAGAUUGCACCGAACAGCCAUAGAGUUGUUACAACACCUCCAAAUAAAAAAAACUUCAUUUAUUUGGCACAUGUAAUCUCCAUAUAUUCGGAUUAUUGUUUAAGUGUCGAUUAACGUGUUUAUUUCUUAUUGGUGACACAUAAUUUGGUUUGAAAUUGACUUAUAAAUUUGGUUAAUCUAGCAUUACUCACUAGACACAGUCAGACUCAUUCACAAUCUAACAAAUGUCCCUAACUUAAGCCAUUUGUCUCCCCAAUAUACUUGGGUGUAGAAAACUGAUUAUAGCAGUAUGCUUCUAUUGAACUUGAACUCAAUGUUCUAAACCUUCUUCCCAUAAUUUAGAUUAGAUUAGAAUAUUGCUCAAAUUAGAAAAUUUAGAUUAGAUUAGAAUAUUGCUCAAAUUAACAUUCUUCCCAUAAUUUAGAUUAGAUUAGAAUAUUGCUCAAAUUAGAAAAUUUAGAUUAGAUUAGAAUAUUGCUCAAAUUAGAAAAGCUAGAUGUAGCCCCAAACUUAAUCCGCAUGAUGAACAUGCAAAGUAUGAUUACGUUGUAAACACUUAUUUAAAUAAUAUUGAUCAUUCUUGCUAUAAUAUCUCACCUACUGAAGCGUGCACAUUGCCUCGCUUUUAAAAAUAUUAACUUUCAUCCAGAUUUAGUGGUUGACUAGAAAGGAUAAUACUUUCGAAAGUUGUUGCUUUAAUAAAAUUAUUUUACACUAAGAUUUCCACACCUUGGUGAAUCAAAAAAGUAGUUUGGCGGAAAGCAAAUUUUUUAAUCAAAAAAGUAGUUUGGCGGAAAGCAAAUUUGUUAAACACUCGCCUUUGUUUUGGUUGCUUGUAUUUUAUCAAAACUUAGUGGGUGGGCAAUGCAUAAUUCAAUAUUAUAAUGCAUAUAGAUUAUUGGGCGAACUAGAAAAAGCAGUAAAUUAGGUGGAAAGAAAAUUUGUUAAGGACUCACCUAUAUCUGGUGCAUAAAAAAACCUCAUUUUAUCAAUCAUGUUGUCUAGUGAAAUUAUUGUAUAGCUUAGUGCUUGAUGUAGUUUAUCAAGUGGAAUUAUUCUGCUUUCGUAGCUGAUUGUGCUUCUUCUUGGUCUUAAUUUGACUCUAAUGAACAUGGUUGAACUUGAAGGAAUGUACAGCUUCAAAGUGCUUUACCCUAGGAUUUCAGUACCUUGAUGAAUAAAAAAAAUAGUUUGUUGGAAAGCAAAUUAGGUAAAGACUCACCUAUAUGUGGUGCAUCAAAAAGUUUCAAUUUAUCAAUUAUAAUGUCUACUGAAUUAUUGUAUAGCGGGCAUUUCUAAUGGGGACGCUAAAUGGUGUCUCCACAACCUUAUAGCCUCUAAAUAUAUGGACAAAGGGUUUUCAAUAGGCUUCUAAUGAGCUGGACUAAAGGUUGUUACAGUAUCCUAGUGUAUAGAGACUCGCCGGAUACCUCAAAAAAAAUCUCAAAUGUAAAGACCGCAUAGGGACUCAAAUAGUACGCCCAAAUGUUGAUUUUGAGUGGGAAACAAACCUCACCCACGUGAUAAUGUUGCACAGAAGCUUCUCUCACCACCAAACUGACGCAACAUCACUCAUGGACCCUUACCGCACUUGUGUCAUUUUCUUUUCUUUUCUUUUUUUUUUGUUGAACCAUUGAGAAACCAACGGUUGAGUUUUUUUUUUUUUUUUUUUUUCUUGUUUUUAUUAGCAACCACAAUACUCUAACGAAAUUAACAAUGAUUUUUUUUUAAUAUUUUAGUCCCUACAUUUAAAGAUUCUAUUAUAAGGUCUCCCAUUGAAGAUGCUCUUGGUACUCGAUGAACUUUAUCAAGUGGAAUUACUUUGCUUUCCUUAGUAAUUGUACUUGGUCUUAAUUUGACUCUAAUGAACAUGGUUGAACGUACUGCUUUUAUUACUACACAUGAAUCCCUGCAUUGGAUGCAUUGAGAAGAUUUUACAUCAGUGUGGGGAUCAGGUUUGUUGUUGAAUUUUGGGAUGUUUGUGGCACAUUGAUAUUCAACAGGUCAUGGAGAUAUUCAUACUUCAAGUACUGCAAUGUUGUAAACGAUGGGGUUUAGGAAAGGGUGGAGUUGACAGAUAAUACUUUGAUGUUGUUUUUGUGGAUGCAAAUUUCUUCCUCCUUGAUUUUGGACAAAAUUGCACCUACAAAACAAUUAACAUCUUAGGUCAAGGCCAAGAGCCUCAAGGGCCCAUGAUGAAUGGGGGGCUUUGGCCGAAGAACCUCCGAUGCCAAAGUUAGAAUUUAGAGAGAAAAAGUGUUUGAGAAUUCUAGAGAAUUUUAGCAAGAGUUGGAACUAGUUUUUGGGAGAGAAUGGUGAGCUAUAUAUAGGGAUACGGGCGGCCCUAUUAGGAGAAUAGAGACCGGUCAUUUAGGUAUUUUUGGUUGUAAAUUGUGGUUGAUUAGCCAUUAAUAGUUUAAUUAGGCAAUAAAUCUAUUAAUGGACUAAUUGACAUAUUUUGAAAGAAAUUAUUUGGGGAGUUAUGGAAUGAUUAAAAUAAUUAGCUAAUUGAUUAGCUAAAAAUGGAAAAAUGAGGUAGAAAAUAUAUGGAAUGAAAUAGGUUUUGGGAGUUACCUUGUAGAAGGGAUUUGAUGAGAUAGGUUUUGAAUUGUUACCUAUUUUGGGCACUUUUGAUUUAGUUGAAGGAUGAUUGCUCGCUGCUCGUGCAUAGGAAUCUCGUUGUACCUCAAGGGUAUUUUUAUCCUCUUUUAUCCAAAAAUCCACGUGUCGCAUUAUGAUUACUUUUGGCUCCACAGUUUUAGCAGCAUCUUUUUGGCUCAUGCAUAUCUUGGUGACACUCCUGCAUCUACCAUUCAGUUGGAGACGGAGAUUGGUGACUGCACUUUUAAAAUUAUGACGGACAACUACUAGUGUACUUAACUUGUAUUUGAUUUUGUGGCCUUGUCUCAAUGUCGACAAUUUGCGCACUAUAUUUUUACUUUUGAGGAAGCAGCAUAUGAAAGAUUCAUGCCAAAGGGUAAGGCAAAUACAUGUAAAAAUAUGAAGACAAAAAAUCACUAAUUCAAGUCAAUACAUUUUCUAUUUGCAUUGUAGAAAUUUUGAUUUUGUUCAUCACUUAUUGUCUCCUCUUGUAUGAAAAAGUUGUUCUUUCUAAUACCAUGGAAUUUUUUAUUUUGCAUUGUGAAAAUUUUGAUUUUGUUCCGCUUUUUACCGUGAAUUCGGCAACUAUUUUCGUCGAGUGAAGUAUUGUCACGUCCUGGACUCGAAAUGAGUGAAAGAAAUGAUCUCGGGCCCGUGUGUGAAUAAAAAUAAAAUAAAUAAAAAGAAACUAAAACAGGUUUGAAAACUAGCUCAUUUAAAAAUGAUGCAGAAGAAUAAAUAGGCUGGUAAGCUGAAAUGAAUGGAAAAUUGAUUUAUUUAAUAUACGAGUCAACUACACAAUAAAUCAGAAUUUACUAAAAUACAAUAAUCACCAUUCAACUUCACGUAAAUUUCACGAAUCCCUUAAUUCUCUAAAUUGAUUUGCAGCCUUAGAUGCUUGGAUUCGACUCCCUGAUCACUGAUGUGAAAAUUGUACUGUAAUCCGACUUAACUCAAGUUAUGAAAAUACAGUAAAGAAGUUGGAAGGCUACAAAGUUCCCUCUGUCUCACUUUCCUUCUUUUUCUUCGGAUCUGAAAACUAGGAAAACAAAUGUUGUUUUCCUCUUCAUUCUUUUCUCUUUCUUUGUGGUCCAAUCAAAAUCCUUCAUAUGUGACCCCAUGUCAUCCUUCAUAUGUGGCUAGCUAUCAAUUUGUCACGUGGCCAAGUCAACCAUUUGUCGUUGCCAAAUGUCAAUCAUUUGGUCAUCCUCUAAACUAACAAAUAUUCCGAAAGAUACUAUCAUAUCACCACUAGUUUCAUCCUACUAUUUCCGGAUCAUCAAUUGUUCUCAAUCAAAAUAAUAUUUUUUUCCGAUAUCUUAGUCGUCCGAAAUAACGACUACUUGUGAAACAUUAAUAAUUUCAGGGUUUCACAACCUUCAUCUACUCUUCACGAUCUUCAAGUUGGUAUACUUUGUUCCUGCAUUAAUAGUCGUUUUGGAGUCGGAUGUUUAGAAACCUAUAAAGCUGGUUUUGGCCGGUGAUUUUGGUCAGUUGCCGUCUAGAAUUGAUUGUCGUGAUAGUUAUAAAAGUUAAUCCUUAUGUUGAGUUCUAUAUGCCUGUACAAUUUGGUGUGUCAGAAAAUUGGGUUUCUAGUUUCAUAAUCAUAUCAACACUAAAUCAGGCCCAGAAAGGUGGCGUUAGAAAAAUCUGUAUGUCCCUCAAAACUUGUAGAAGGAACCUUCCUUAAAAAUCACCAUCUUGACCGGCUUAUAGAACAACUAAGCCCAAAAUUUCAAACUGACAGCACUGCGCAGUCAACCUUCUUUUCUUUGCUACAGUCAAAUGGCAUGGAAUAAAAAUCUUGAAUUUUUACACUAUUAACUUGAAAGAUCACAAACACACAUAAUUACUUCAAAUUCCUUUUUUUGAUAACUUUUUUCCCUACAAACGAAAUAUAGAAUAAAGUAUUAAAAUUAUACCAAAAUAGUUAAUAAAUUAUAUCUAAGACUAUGGUAAAAAUAUAGAAUAAUGUUGACUCAUCAGCAAGUAUUGAAAUAAUAGUUUAACACAUUUUUAUUUGGCCUAUCGAUUCACCAAACAUAUACAUACACAUAACUAGAGACAGCAAGAGAGAGAAUAGUGGGAAUCAUUCAUCCCACAGUCCCACGCAUGGAUUCUCCCCAAUUCAACGAAAGUCCUCUUCCUUAUGUACACAAAAUAACAACAAACACGUUUUUGAGUAAUUAUAUAUCUGCCUGCCCCUUUUACUUUUGACUUUAAAGAAAGCGGCCCAUGCGAUGUACGAUUCAUGCCUAACUCUAAAGGCAAAUACAUUAUUCUAACAAACUAUUAAAACUUAAUAGAGGUAAUUUGGAUUUCAGAGAAUUUUAAUGGAUUUUUUUUAAGUGAUAAAUUUGAAAAAAAUUUAAUAGAUUCAUAAUUUUACGUGGAUUUUGACAAAUGUAUAUGGAUUCCUAUUAUAGAUUUUUAUGGAUUUGAAUGGAUUUCUUUCAUGGAUUUCUUAGGAUGCUAGUUGACUCCUACAACAUAAAAUGAAUUUCUUUCGAGUACACAAUAUGAAAAGAACAUAAACUGAAAGGAACAUAAACAUAUAUCUAUUGAUAUAGAAUACAAACCAAUCAAAUAUGUAAAUAGAAUGGGUCAUUGAGAAUAUUGAUCCAAGAGUUUGAAUAAUUGUAAAUGAUAGCUUCUGCUUUAGAACAUCAUAUCCAUUCAAGAAUGAUGAUUUCAAGUUUAAGAACAGGAUAUCCAAUCAUGAAUAAUAAUAUAUGUGAAAGAAUAUCAAAUGACAAUCGAAAUUGAGUAGGGACAUAUUUGGGCUGCAAAAUCCUGGGAUAAAAACAUUUUAACCAUGACAAAAAAAAAAAAAAACAUUUGAACUCAAACAAAAACAUGGUCACUAAUUUGCGGGAAAAAAAGGCUUAAAUCAAAAGUGCAAAUGGGAAAAGCCCAACUUAGAAAAAUCAGAAGUGCAAAUGAGAGAAUCUCAAUUCGGAAAAAGCACGAGUAUGAAGCAAAACAACAUACAACUAUAAUCCAAAUUAAAAAAAAAAAAAAUCAUGGUCCAAUUGUUACUCAUCUUCCCAGAGGAACAAACCAAGAGCAUGAAUUCAGAAAAAUACAUAAACAAUGCGAAAAACGGGGAGUCUACCGGGAAAUGCUCUAAAGUCUAAACUCAUGGUAGGAUUGUCCACUUUCUACUGUUUGGUGUGAAAAGAAAUCUUAGGGGGAGGGUAGGAUUGUCGAUACCAUUUGGGUAUUUAGAUCACCCACUCUCAAAUCCAUUAAAAUCCUUCAUUCACAAAAAUUCUAACAAAUGUUUGACAUUUCCACUACAUCUAGAUUUGUAUGGACUUUUAAAACUUUUGAUUGACUACCCAUGAAUUUGGAUAUAUUUUUUAAAUCCUCCUAAAUCUUAAUUUGACUACACCAUGAUUUUAAAAUCUUUUAAAAUCCACAUUUAAACUCCUAAUUGACUACACGCUGAUUUUAAAGUUUAUUAAAAUACUACUAAAUCCUAGUUUGACUACAUCCGAUUAGUUUCCCAACCAACAUUUAUUCACACCCAACACAUUACACUGUCAGGUGUUUUUCCAUACCACGAGUCCUGACCAUUUGAACUACACUUGCAGCUUUCCUUUUGCUCCUAAAUCAAAAUCCUGAAUCCACAGUUUUUCUUCUUCCUUCUUCAAUUGUCUUUUGGUUGAUUUAGUUCAAUUAAGAUGGAGGGUGACGGAAUCAAGUGCUUGAACAAACUCUGUCGUGCUUUAAUUGGGGUGCUAAUUUUACUACAAUGUGUUGUCAACCCUUCCCAUUCCCUUGGAUUCAAUAAUAUUUCUUCAGGAGGAGUGACGAGGUGCUUUGAGAGGGAAAGAGAAGCACUCCUUGCUUUCAAACAAGGCCUCGUGGAUCACUACAAUCUCCUCUCUUCGUGGGGAAGAGAAGAUCACAAGCAAGAUUGUUGCAAAUGGGUAGACGUCCACUGCAGCAACCGAACCAACCAUGUUACUCAACUUCAUCUUGGACGGGAAAGUCUCGUGCAUGUCGUACAGCGUGUCCCGCCUCCCCCGGUUCUCAGGGAUGAAACCAGAAAUUUAACUAAGAGGGGGCACCUUAAAAAAUUUGAGCUCAUUUUUUUGACAAAUAAAGUUAGUUCUUUUACAAAUGUUGAAAAAAUUAAUUACAAAAUGCCUAAUUUUAUUACUCUAUUGUCUAAUUUUGUUUUUAAUUGUUGACAAUGUAAUGCUCAUUUGUACUAAUUAACCAAAUACAUGUAACUCAAUAAGGUUUAGACAUUAGUGUGUGAAAAAAAUAUACAAGACGGAUGAGCAUUUGAAAACUAAAAAAAGAUUUUCACUAUUUUAAUAUAAUUAAUUGAAUAAUCUGCCAAGCAAAAAAAAUAGGAAUGAUUAAUUGAAUAAUUUGUCCUGAGAGACCACGUGUCGUGAGCCGUUCCUGCUGCGACUCAGCGCUUUGUUCGCAGAGAUGAGCGAUAGGAUCGUCCCCGUGGCGGUCGACUGUAAGCAGAGCAUGUUCUACGGGACCACCGUCCGUGGGGUCAAGUUCUGGGACCCCUACUUCUUCAUGAACCCGAGGCCGACGUACGAGGCCACGUUUCUGGACCGGCAGCCGGACGACAAGUUUCUAAUUCCACAAAAUACAAAAAGACUUAAAAAAUGUAAACAGAAUGAAACAAUCAACGCGGAAUUGUGUUGAUUGUUGCAGGCUUUGUCAUUAUUUUGGAGAGAAGAGUCAACGUCUAAUUACUACACCUACCUACAGAAAAGUAGGUGGUCCACUCACACAUGUUCCAUACUUGACCAUCUGAAUCAAGACAACUCAGUGUGUGGAUCGUAUUGUGAACUAUUACGUAGUCACCCAGCCUUAUAAUACACUCGCAUCUUUCCUUGUGCUCCUAAAUCAAUACUGAUUGUACACUUCUUCUUCUUCAUUCUUCAAUCAUCUUUGCCUUGAUUUUGUUGAAUUAAGAUGGAGAAUGACGGAAUCAGGUGCUUGAAGAAACUCUUUCACACUUCCAUUGUGGUUCUACUUUUUCUACAAUGUUUCAACCCUUCCCUAUCCUCUGGAUUCUAUAAUGUUUCUUUCGGUUUCGGAGCAAUUGGCCACCGGGUGGUGACGAGGUGCAUAGAGAGUGAAGGGGAAGCACUCCUUUCUUUCAAACAAGGUCUGAUUGAUGACUACAAUCUCCUCUCCUCCUGGGGAAGAGAAGAACACAAGCAAGAUUGUUGCAAAUGGCUUGGCAUCCACUGCAGCAACCGAACCAACCAUGUUGCUCAACUUGAUCUUGGAUGGAAUCAUAUGAAUGAAGUUUACUCACUUCAACAGAAAGAACAGCAGGAGUAUCCCGAAUAUUACUUUCAAGGUAAAAUGAUGAGUCCUAAACUAAUUGAGUUGAAGCAUUUGAAAUAUUUGGACUUUUCUUCCGUUAACUUCACUGGGACCCAGCUUCCAGAUUUCAUUGGUUCUCUUUCCAAUUUAAGACACCUCGGUCUCUGGGAUGCUUCUUUUGGUGGUCGAAUUCCAACUCAGAUCGGAAACCUUACCCACUUGCAAUAUCUUGAUCUCAGAUCCAAUCACUUUGCUAAUAUAGAAAACCUGAAUUCAUGGUUGCCUCGUCUUUCUUCUUUAAUAUAUUUGGACCUGAGUUUCAACAAUCUUAGUAAUGUUCCUGACUGGUUGGAAAUAGUUAGUAAGCUCCCUAAACUUACAAACUUGUCUCUGUCUUCUUGCAGUCUUCCAUCUCCUCUAAUUCAUUCCAGUACUCUUUUUAACAUAAAUUCUUCUAAAUCUCUUGCUCAUGUUGAUCUCAGUUACAACCAACUCACAUCUUCUUCCAUAUUUCUUUGGUUGUCCAAAUACAAUGCCAGCCUUGUUCAUCUUGAUCUCAAAUACAAUAACUUUGCUAAUGUAGAAAAUCUGAAUUCAUGGCUGCCUCAUCUUUCUGCUUUAACAUAUUUGGACCUGAGUUACAGCAAUCUCAGUAAUGUUCCUGACUGGAUGGAAGCAGUUAAUAAGCAUCCUAAACUUACAAACUUGUCUCUGUCUAAUUGUGGUCUUCCUUCUCCUCUAAUUCAUUCCAGUACUCUUUUUAACAUAAAUUCUUCUAAAUCUCUUGCUCAUGUUGAUCUCAGUUACAACCAACUCACUUCUUCCAUAUUUCUUUGGUUGUCCAAAUAUAAUUCCAGCCUUGUUCAUCUUGACCUCUCUUACAACCAGUUAACUGGCUUAUUUCCCGAUGUCAUUGGAAACAUGAGCUCUCUUGCAUAUCUAGAUCUCUCUUCUAACCAAUUUGAAGGGGUGAUUUCAGAAAGUCAUUUCUCGGGUCUCUCCAGAUUAAGAUCUUUGUAUCUGUCCUCUACCUCACUAACUUUAAACUUCCAUUCUAAAUGGGUUCCUCCCUUCCAAUUGGAUUAUAUAAUCUUGGGGUCUUGCAAGAUGGGUCCACAUUUUCCAAAUUGGCUUCAAACUCAGAAAAGUUAUUGGAGCCUUGAUAUUUCUAAUGCAGGAAUUUCUGAUAUCCUUCCAAGUUGGUUUUGGGAAAGGCUGUCUCAUGCUCGUGAAAUUGGUUAUGUAGAUCUCUCCAACAACCAAAUCAGAGGAACAAUUCCAAACUCGCAAAUCAAUUUUGUAUGUUUCUCUCGUCAACUAAAUUUGAGUUGGAACCAAUUGGAAGGUCAAGUCCCUCCUUUCCUAUUGAAAGCCUCGUCAUCCCUCUUUCUCUCCCACAAUAAAUUUUCAGGGUUGUUUUCUUUCUUGCUUCCAGUUAACGCAAGUCAUUUAAGAUUGCUUGAUCUCUCGAGCAACCAUUUACAUGGAGAACUUCCCGAUUGCUGGACUCAUUUCAAAAAUCUUUUAAUUCUUGAUUUGAGUGACAACCGUUUUUUUGGGAGACUUCCUACCACAAUGGGCUCUUUAUUAUCAAUUCAAACAUUGAACCUAAACAAUAAUGGAUUUGUGGGAGAAUUGCCUUCAUCUUUGGAGAACUGUACAAGUCUCAUGGUUUUUGAUGUUGGAGAAAAUAAAUUAUCAGGUUUGAUACCUAAAUGGUUAGGGGUUGGACUUCCAAAUUUGACUAUCCUUAUCCUCCGUUCUAAUCACUUCUAUGGAAGCAUUCCAUCACAGUUGUGUAAUAUGGGAAGCAUUCAAAUUUUGGAUUUCUCGAUGAAUAACAUCUCCGGAAGUAUACCCAAAUGUCUCAACAGUUUGACUAAUUUGGCUCUAAGAGGAAGUUCAAGUCUAACUAUCAGUCAUUACUAUAAUGUAUCCUCGAGUGGUCUCGCUUUUCUGUAUGACGACGAGGCAUCCUUGAUAUGGAAAGGCAUAAUGUCCAAAUACAAAAGUACUUUGGGGCUUGUAAAGAGUAUUCAUCUAUCAAGUAACCGAUUAACGGGGGAGAUUCCUAGUGAAAUCACUGAUCUUGUGGGGUUAGUUUUUUUAAACCUGUCAAGAAACAACUUAACAGGUCAAAUAACUCCAAAAAUCGGGAAGUUGCAAUCUUUAGAUUUGCUUGAUUUGUCAAACAACCAAAUACAUGGUACAAUUCCAACAAGUCUUUUCGGAAUAUCUGGCCUUGGUAAGUUGGACUUGUCCAACAACCACCUGUCUGGAAAAAUUCCCAUGGGGUCUCAGCUUCAAACCUAUGAGCCCUCUGUUUUUGCGGGAAAUCCUCUCCUUUGUGGAAUUCCACUUCAGACGUGUUUUCCUGAGGAAACAACGCCGGCAGAGCAACCAGUGGUUAAGAAUCAAGAUGAAGAUAAUGACGGGUUUAUAACAACUGGAUUUUACGUGAGUUUGGGGCUUGGAUUUGUCGUUGGAUUCUGGGGAGUUUGUGGGAGUUUGAUAUUGACAGGUCAUGGAGAUACACAUACUUCAAGCUCUUGAAUGGUUUAAAUGAUUGGCUUUAUGUCAAGGUGGCAUUGCUCAAGCAACGAAGAAUGCUCGAUGAAUAAGCUGUAAGUAUACUGUCGCAUAAUGAAUAAUACUGCAAUUAACAUACAUGUCCUCCUCUCUUUUUAAACUCCCGGCUAACGGCUAACGCCUGUAAUUUACUUGAAUUUUUGUAGCUCGUCCAUCGGCUUCUUUGGUACGACAUGCUAACCCUUUCGGCUUUCGGUUUGAGAAGGAGCCUGAAGAAGAAGAAUGCAAUAACUUUUAAGUUGUGGUGGAAUUUCUCCAAAUUCAUGAGUGGGAAAUGUAUUUGGUUCAUUGUCGAGUUGUAAUUUUACACAAGUAUUUAUGGUUUUAGUUUCAAUUUUUCCCAAUUUGUUAUGAAUUAAUGGAUGAAUAGACUGCGUUCCAAAUUGAAAGCCAGGAUUGAAGAGCUGUGUGCAAGAGACUAAAAAGAGUGGCACUAAACGAAGACCAAAAAGAGUGCCACUAAACAAUGGACAUGAAUUAAAAUUUCAAAACUACAUUGAACUUGUUAAACAAAUUCAAAAAUAAGUGAGACGACCAGUUUGUGUAAUCUCAUACAAGCUUGUGAUAAACGAACAAGUUUGGCUCAUGAAAACAAAGGCAAAAUUAUUUUUUUUUUUAUUUAUUUGUUGCCCUAACAUACCAAACAGUAGCCCCCAAAAUCCGACUCCAGCUAAUUACCCCAACAAAAUAAGAAGAUUAAAUUAUGAAGAAAGGAAAAAAUAAUUAUGCUUGGGUCCAAAUAAAUGAGAAUUGGAACUCUUGGUAGCCUGUUAGCAUCUGGUCAAAAUUGUUCCAGCCUAUGGCUGAUAAGAGUUUUGUUCGAGCCGUUUCCACUCUGGAUGUACUCCUGUAUGCACGAGAGGUAAGAUGAGUAAAAGGGAAUGUAAUGCUGAAUAAGUGCUCUAGUUUAUUGUUUGUGGCUUGUUCUGAUCCUUCAGUAGAACGAUGCAGAAGCAGAUAAAAUAGUGUAUUCGAAUAUUGAUCAAACAUUCAGGAUUGGUACAAUACUAGUGGAAUUAAGCUUGUCUGAGUGAGGGAAUAUCACUAAUCAAAUAGCUAAUGCACAGCUAACUUGACUGAAAAGGGAAGGGAGGAAAUAACGAUAUCCAUAUCAAUUCCCCUCACUUGGUAAAAUAAGAACGUGACAGAAACAGAACAGCCAAUUAUGAAUAACCAGGAAUACGAAAAGAAAUUCUAAUGCAUAAUAUCAAUCAGCCCAUGAAAGAAAAAAAAAAGAGAUUUUGGAAAACCACAUGUAGGAGACAGGGAAACAGAUUAUACUUUCCAACUUUCGCUCCACAACUAUAUGCUUUUACGGAUAUCAUAUAGUAAAGAGGAAUGUUGAAAAACAAUUUCUUUUCGGGUUGCAUAGGUAAGUUUCACAGACCCACCGGGAUUAGCAUUCGCCCUCCACCCUUGGUCUUAAGGAAAAUGGCAUGUCAUUAGGUUCAAAAGCUAGUUGAAAGGAGAAACAUGUAAAGCAUUUGUAACCUUACCAAAAGAAACGAAAAUACCUUAGCACAGAUUUACUUAUGUGACAAGAGAUUAUGUAUCAGGAAAAAAACAAUGGUAGAAGCUUUCGGAAGGAAACAAAAAAGUAAGAAGAAAGAGAUCAUACAAGCAUAUCUUCUGAAAGAACUGUUUCCAUUAAUGGAAAAUGGUACAGGCCUCCUUUCCUGACCCAAAGAUAGGAUCUCUUGCAUCCUUUCAGGCCAGUCUGAAUUUAACCUCCGAGCAAAAUCUUCAACCUCCCUGAAUAACGAUUUAAGAAAAUAUGUAACAUUAGCAAGAACAAGUUUUGUCCCUAUAAAUUGCGUAUUUACAUGCAGAACCAUGGUGGAGGAUGCAACUUGAAAUUCCAGUUACAUCCUUAUCAGAAAAUAAAAUAAUACCGACGAGAGAAAAAGACUUGCAGAACCAGAAGAGUGGGCGGCCGGAACCAUGUUUCACAACAGAUGCUUAAUGGUGAUGACCAGAAUGAGAGCUAUUUUUCUUUAUAAACAUAAACAAAUAUUUAUUUAAUAUGUCCAAACAACUAUUGCACACAGAAAACUAAAAACCAACAUCUCUCAAAGCCACCAUAAAGAGCUAGCAAAGGCAAAACAAUAUCCCCAAUGUUUACUCAUUUUUAUCACAGACCAACUUUUUUAAGCAACCUUUUUCAUCUUCUUAGCUGGGUGAGGAGUGGAUUUGAACAUGGGACAGUUUAAAAAAGAAGUGGAGAAAUACCACUACAUUAAUAGCUAUUUAGUUUUUAAGCAAACUCUGCAACAUUGAAAACAAAUGACACUUUGAAAUUCUUUUGCAGGUAUCAAAUUUCAUCUUCUAAUUGCAUAUCUUCAAUUUCAUAAAAAUAAAAUAAAAAAUAAAACAAAAAUAAAGCAACGAAGUUGCACCAUAAUGAGAUCCACCAUUCUGUUUCCUUAAGCUUUCCAUAACUAAAGUCAUCAUCGACAAAGUUAUUACCACCGAGUUCAAUUCAGUACUUUUUCUUCCACAUGUUGCUCAACGUGAUAUAUAUAUUUUUUUUCAUCCACUAAAAUUAAAAAAGAUAAUAUUAUAUUGCAAACCGUGUAAUAACCCAAAAUAGUUGCAGACAAACCUAUCAAUUUUUUCCUUCAAUGCCGGAUCAAUCUCAUCGUCAAUAUCACCAUCAUCAAACCCAAUCAUAUCAUCCACCCUAUCAUCCUUUAGAUCUUGUAGCUUUAAUGUCAAACUAGAACUAGGCGUAAAUUUGUUGAGUUGAUCACUGGGGCAAGCAAAGUUAAGAUUGCUUGACACCUAAAACAUUUGGGCGAAAAGAAAAAUGAAGAAAAAUUAGCUACCCAACAACUCAAGCGGAAAUGUACAAGUUCAAGACCGAAUUAGUGAUUCAAACCUCAUGGAGCUCAUUGGCCUCAUAUAGACACGUGCUUUUCUGCUGAUCUUUUCUCCUGCGAUUCUUCUUUUUGUUCUUGGAAGUUUUAAUCCCUUUGGAAUCUGUGACACAUAAUUUCCUUACCUCCAAUGAGGCCUUCAAAAGGAAAUAAAGUAAAAAUAGUCGACUAAGACACUACACUUCAAAUCCCAUUUAAGGGAAUCUUAAGUACUUCCAAGUACAGUAUAAUGUGGGCUAAUGCAAUCCUGAAAAACAUUAGGAUCAAGUGUGCAUUGUGCAAUUUGCUCGUUGGAACUACAACCUACUCAAUGAUAAAUCCAAUUUCUCAAUUAACAAUAACUAUGCAGUCAAGGAAUAAGAGAGCAAUUACUCAGGUAUACCUCCAAUUUCUCCAUUAAUGAAUGACAAGAGUUCAUCAACUGAACGAUCAUCGUUUUGCUCUUCUUCGAGCUCGGCAUUCUGAAAAGUAUGGAAGGUUCAAUAAUGACUACUGUUGAUGCACAAAAUCAGCGAAGACUUUGGUACAACAGAAAGUGUCAGGUUUUGUGACCUUCGCUUGGUUGCUUCGGUCACUAGUGAGGAUAAGUACGUAAAUGAAUAGAGACAGAGAAACAAACACAGGAUGUACGUGGUUCACCCAGAUUGGCUACGUCCACGGAGUAGAGGAGUUCUUAUUAGUAGUGAAGGGCUUACACAAGUACAAAGGAUCAAGCUCUCAAUUUAGUGAGUUCUUGUGAAUGAUUUAACACAAAAUGGCAUUAGGCAAUAUUGUGGGGGAAUGACCCCUAUUUAUAGAAAAACUUGUAGCUUUGUCACAUUGACAUGUGUCAUGUUAUGAUUGGUUCUUGAUGUUGACACGUGCUGCGCUCUGAUUGGCUUCUAAUCUUGACACGUGUCGAGUAGUGAUUGGCCUCCUGGUCGGAGGGGAACUCUUCUGGGUCCUUGACAGUAUAGCGUUGGCCGGUGCUCGGUAGUUUCGGGAUUGGUCAAGUAUGGUACAAACAGUGCUCCCCUAAGUUCCCGAGUGAGGGAAACUCCUCGGUUGGGGACUUGCAAGAUCCAAUCCCUUGAGUAAUCACGAAACUUCUAAGUACCGAAGUGUGGUCUGAUCUUCAUCUGCCCUUCUCUGGAAGUACCUUUCCUCCAUCCGGGAAUGGUGUACUUUAGCUGAUGUUGACGCACAAGGUAAUGUAUCAAUUUCACUUGAAGCUUAGUUGUAGUUUCGGGCUUAGUCAAGUGUGAUACAAACCCUAUAGUAGGAGUCCCCCAAGUCGCCGAGCUAGGAGAUCUGCCGAAAGAGGUGACAGACAAGGUAAGCAGUCAAACUUCCAAGUAAGCAACCCAGGAUCAGAGGUUUGACGUCGGCUUCCGGUUGAUUGUUCUCAUUCUCCUUGUCUCUCAUUCAACUGCCAGGAUAAGGAGAAGCAAAUGGAUAAGAGAUGAUAUGAGAUACUUUUGCUUUUGAAGAAGUAACUUUCCACAGGCUUAUUCUUGAACUGUGCUGGAGGGUUUUCUGGUGCCCUUCAGAGUAUAAGGCCGACUCAAAAAUUUGAGGGUCAAAACAAGUCCAUCAAAUCUAGAGUACGUUCGACCUUGAUGAUAUGGGAUACUUUUUGCUGUUGACGGAAUAAUGAAUGUGGUAUGGAAAGGUGUCGUGCUGUAGUGAUCUGUUUCAGCUCACCGUUGAACCUUCUGCUUCAAUCUUUUGCAUGGCAGAAGUGGUGUGCAACCUUUGCAUUUAAAUGGUCCUUCAGAACAUUCCUUCAUAGUGACUCAUCCACGCUUGGCAGCUUCAGUGUAAAGAGCCAAUAUCUGAUCAACUGUCAUGAGGUAUUUGCCGGUGGAAUUCGUGACCUUGACAGCAGUUGAGGAUGAGUACUCGAGAGCAAUGCUAAGUAAGCAACCAGGCAAAGGCUCCAGGCAGUCAGUUCCAAAUUGGAGGUUUGAUUUCAGGUUCCGACUGACUGCUCUCUUUCUCCUUGUCCUGCAGGUGUGGACAAGGACAAAGACAAAGACAGGGAGAAAGCAUGAUAUGGGAUACUCUUGCUUUCGACCCUGAUGAUAUGAGAUACUCUUGUUCUUGGUGUGGCUUAUUUGCUGAGGUAUUAUCGGGGGGAAAAUAAAGCUGAGUAUUUCGAGAGGUUAUGUUGAGGGUGCCUUUUCGAAUGCGAGAAAGGGUUGAGCAUUUUUGCAGGUUUGCCUGUCCGUUGAGGAGGGAGGUCAAUGUAUAUAGGGAUUUCCCAAUAACAAGUAGUAAUGCUAUUCCUUUACCCUUCUUGGUCACAGCAAUGUAGUGGGAGCUGCCAGCUUCACGUGUUUUAAUUUUGUCAGAGCACUUUGAAAAAGUGGUAUGUGGUAUCUGGAAAGCUGAUAUUACGUGUGGAGAUUACAGACAAGCUUUAUCUAAGGAAAUCUGGCUCUCGAAGUUCUGAGAGUUGUGCCUCUUCGGUUUUCGAACAAGCAAUCCCGUCGAGGAUCUGACUCUCGAGAUUCGGAAAGCGGUGCUACUCCGGUUUUUGAGAAAGUAAUUAUGUUGGGAGUCUUUUCUCGAAUGUGAGUAAAGGUUGGUCGUUCUUGCCAACCUGUCUUGCCACAAAACACGGAGGUCGACACACAUAGGGACUUUCCAGUUGUCAAGCAGUGGUGCUGUUCCUUUACCCUUAUGGGUAAUAGUAGGGUAGCUGGCAACUUCGAAAUUCUCGUGCCUAAACUUUGUCAGAGAUCUUUGACAAAGUUAUAUGUGGUACCCGAGGAGUUGAUGGUGCAUAUGGAGAGCGGUGAUUGAACAGUAAGAUUCACGUGCUUUCUACUUCACCAGAAAUCUUCGACAGAUUGCCCGUAAUUUCCGCAAAGCUGAUUGUGCAUGUGACAGGUGCUGACGAGGCUGCAAAAGCAGGUGCUUCUUCGAUUUCUGAGAUCGGCCCUCGUGGUCUCUGAGCAGCCCAGCUUUUGAGAAAGCAUUCGCCUCUUCGAUUUCUGAGAUCGGCCCUCGUGGUCUCUGAGCAGCCCAGCUUUUGAGAAAGCAAACGCCUCUUCGAUUUCUGAAGCUCCGUCGAGUGCAGAUUUUUAUAGAGGCUGGCAUUAAGUUCCACAGCACACUUGAAUCUCUACCAGUAGAAGCUCAUUUCUUGCACUUCUAAGAUCUUGAUUUGUCUGACCUCUUCCUUCUUCAACACAUUUGAAAAUGUCUGGACCCUCCGACCGUCGUUUUGACUUGAACCUUGGAGAAGAGACAGCCACGCCUUCUCCAGACAACAUAUGGCGCCCAUCCUUCAUAUCCCCUACUGGUCCUCUUACCGUUGGGGAUUCUGUGAUGAAGAAUGAUAUGACCGCUGCAGUGGUGGCCAGGAACCUUCUCACUCCCAAAGAUAACAGACUACUUUCCAAACGGUCUGAUGAGUUGGCUGUUAAGGACUCUCUGGCUCUUAGUGUUCAGUGUGCAGGUUCUGUGUCUAAUAUGGCCCAACGCCUAUUUGCUAGAACCCGCCAAGUUGAAUCAUUGGCUGCUGAAGUGAUGAGUCUCAAACAGGAGAUUAGAGGGCUCAAGCAUGAGAAUAAGCAGUUGCACCGGCUCGCCCAUGACUAUGCUACAAACAUGAAGAGGAAGCUUGACCAGAUGAAGGAAUCUGAUGGUAAGGUUUUACUUGAUCAUCAGCGGUUUGUGGGUUUGUUCCAAAGGCAUUUAUUGCCUUCGUCCUCUGGGGCUGUACCUGGUAAUGAAGCUUCAAAUGAUGAACCUCCAAUGCCUCCUCCUUCUGGGGUUUUGUCAAGUACUGAGGCUCCGGAUAACCACCCUCCGGUGCUUUCUCUUUCUGGGGCUCUACCGACUGCUGAGACUUCCCCUAAGCAACCUUUGUGAAGGCUCCCUUUUGUUUGUUUAUUUUGACUCAUGUAUAUGUACAUAUUUGUGGCUUAUCGAAAAUAUUAAUAAAUAAGCUUUGCUUCAUUUCAACAUAUUGUGUUAAAUACACCAAAGCCUUCUUCAUAAAGUUCUUUGAAUUUUUGCUUUUGUUGAAACCUGUAUUGUUGAAGCUUUGUGAGUGAAGCAUGUAGUUUGAGGUAGUGUUCCCUUAAUUUCCCGAGUGAGGAAAACUUCUCGGUUGGAGACUUGAAAAAUCCAAGUCACUGAGUAGUCACGAACUUUUGAGUACCAAGGCGUAGUAGCAUAUGGUGGGAGUCCCCCAAGUCUCUAGUCGAGGGAGUUGACGAAUGAGGUGUCUUGCUAAUAGUCCAUGUCGUAAGUACCAAAACUUCAUUCUUUUGUUUUCUAAGUGGUAGCCCCGGACUUUUUCUUCAUAGAUUUUGUUUAUGAAGGUUGCUAGGCCCGAAUAAGUGGAAUUGCAGAAGGUGUAACCGUUGGUGCAUUAACAUCAUAAUGGAAGCAUCACAACAAUGAUGGAAGCAUCACAAUGAUGAAAGCAUCAUAAUGAUGAAAACACCAUAAUGAUGAAAACAUCAUAAUGAUGUUUCUUUGGUGGAAUUGUUUUUUCAUUUCCCCUAACAACCGGAAUUGUUUUUCAACAUAACACCAUCAUCUGUAGGUCGAAUCACAAAGUUGUCUUCAUGAAAGUUGUUCGUUAAUUCCUUAACUACAACAUAUCCAAAUUGGAGAGCCAUCGGAGCAGUACAACUCCAGAAAUCCAGGUAUGAUGAGUGACUGUUUAUCAUUUGUCUGUCAACCCGUCAGAUUUGUUGUGAGCUUUGAAACUCUAUUUUCUCUUGCUCAGAUCAGCAUGCUUUCUUCAUUGAAGUUGUUCCUCAGCUUGUGAACUACAACAUAUCCAAAUUUGAGAUCCCUCGGAGCUGUAUAACUCAAGAAACUCAGGUAUGAUGAAUGACUGGUUAUUAUUUUUCUGUCAACCCGUCAGAUUUGUUGUGAGCUUCGAAACUCCAUUUUCUCUUGUUCAGAUCGGUAUGCUUUCUUCAUUGAAGUUGUUCCUCAGCUUGUGAACUACAACAUAUCCAAAUUUGAGAUCCCUCGGAGCUGUAUAACUCAAGAAAUCAGGUAUGAUGAAUGACUGGUUAUUAUUUGUCUGUCAACCCGUCAGAUUUGUUGUGAGCUUCGAAACUCCAUUUUCUCUUGUUCAGAUCGGUAUGCUUUCUUCAUUGAAGUUGUUCCUCAUCGACUCUUUCAUAACAUAUCAAAAAUUCAGGAUGAACUAACGGUUAAAUAUUUCCAGAUCUUCGAAACAUCACAACAGCUUCGAAAUCUGCAAGAAGCCGACUAUCAUGUUUGGAGCUUCAACACUUUAAUUUCCGUCGCUCAAACAGAAAUGGUUCCUUCUUGAAAGUUGUUCAUAUGCUCAAGAACUAUAGGGUGUCCAAAAUUCAGCUCCAUUGGAGAAGAGCAGAGGUUGCAGAAAUUUGAUAGAUGAAAGGAGGCGGAAGAGGGAGAGAGAGAAAAAAAGUCUCUUGGGUUGGAUUUCUAUUUUGGGGCAGAUUCCAAUUUUUGUAGCACCUUCAUUAUUGAUGAAUUGCUUGUACUUUUGUCCAUUAUGAAAUUUUGGGACUUUGGCUUGUUGUUGGAUCUAUUAUAAUAUGUUUGGGAACAUAUAUAAGUGAAUAAAUAAGAAGGAAAAUUUUGGGCCCUUGUGGGUGUAAAACAAAAAAUGUUUAUGUUUACCCAAGUGUUUUUUGUACAAGUUCAAGGGCAUCUUGGGUUUUGUGAACAAAAUUUGUUUAUUUGGAGCAAGGUUUUGUGUUGUUGAAGCUUUGUAAGCUUUGUGUGAAGCUUUGGAGGUGAAGCUUUUCGGGUGAAGCUUGUUGGGUGAAGCUUUUUAGGUUUUGAAAGCUUUGUUGGGUGAAGCUUUUUAGGUGAAGCUUUUCGGUGUGUGAAGCUUUUUUGGGUGAAAGCUUUUUAGGUGAAGCUUUUCGGGUGAAGCUUUUUGGGUGAAGCUUUUUAGGUGAAGCUUUUUUGUGGUUGAAGCUUUUUAGGUGAAGCUUUGAUGGUGAAGCUUUUUGGGUGAAGCUUUUUAGGUGAAGCUUUGUGGGUGAAGCUUUGGAGGUGAAGCUUUUCGGGUGAAGCUUUUUGGAUGAAGCUGUUUUUUUUUUUUUUUUUUUUUUUUUUUUUUUUUUUUGGCGCUUGACACGGUCUUCAUUUGCUUGUUUUGUAGUGACUUGCUUUAUUGAGAAGGGUUCCGGCAUUGCCAAAAUGGCCUUUCAUUACAUAGGAUGCCGAACGGCUAUAGCUCAACACUUGUACAUCGUGAGUCUAUUUGUAGUAGUACUUCAAGUGAUCAGCGUUCCAUGGAUGGCCAAGGGUCUUGCCAUCGGAGCUUCUAAGUGUGUAAGAGCCAGGGCGACUGAUGCCAAUGACUUCAUACGGUCCAUCCCAGUUUGGACUAAGUGUGCCUUCACUCGGGACUCUGUCGCAGAGUAAUCUUUUCUUUAAGACCCAGUCUCCUAUUUUGAAAGAACGAGGCUUGACCCUAGAGUCAUAAUAGUUGGAGAUGCGCUGCUUGUAGGCGACAUUCCUCAAGUGAGCUUGGUUUCUGUGUUCCUCGACUAAAUCCAAGUUGAGGGUGAGUUGUUUGUCAUUUUCACUUUGAAUGUAGUUCUGGACUCGGAAUGUUGCUUGCUCGAGCUCAACAGGGACAACCGCCUCUGUGCCAAAGGCAAGUGAGAAUGGAGUUUCUCCUGUUGAAGUCCGAUAUGAAGUGCGAUAUGACCAAAGAACUUGGGGUACAAAUUCUGGCCAACAGCCUUUAGCUUUGUCCAAGCUGGUUUUCAAAGUGCGCUUGAUUAUUUUGUUGAUGGCCUCAACUUGUCCAUUAGACUGGGGAUGAGCUGGAGAGGCAAAGCAUAAGUUGAUGUUGAACUUAGAGCAGAACAACCUGAACUUCUUGUUGUCAAACUGUCGCCCAUUGUCAGUGACUAUCGCAUUGGGAAUGCCGAAUCUACAAAGGAUGUUCUUCCACACGAAGUCUUCUAUCUUUGCCUCAGUAAUGGUUGCCAAGGGUUCUACUUCGGCCCACUUUGUGAAGUAGUCCACUGCAACGACUGCGUAACAGACUUUGCCCUUCCCUGCCGGCAUUGGGCCGAUCAAAUCAAGUCCCCACUGGGCGAAGGGCCAAGGGCUGAUCAUAGGAGUAAGAGGCUCUGGAGGGGAAUGAGGAAUAGCCGCAUAUCGUUGACAUUUGUCACAUGAGCGGGAUACUUUGAUGGCAUCCUGGUGGAGUGUUGGCCAGUAAUAUCCUUGGCGAAAAGUCUUGUGUGCUAGGGACCGAGAUCCAGCAUGAUCUCCACAGACUCCCUCAUGUAUUUCCCGAAGGACGAUUUCCGCCUCGGCAGGCGUAAGACACCUUAAGUAUGGCAGGCUAAAACCUCGCUUAUAGAGUUGAUCAUUGAUGAUCAGGUAGCGGGUAGACUUGUAUCGAAUUUGCUUAGCCUGGACUUUAUCAUUUGGGAGGGUGCCAUGAGCAAGGAAAUUAUAGAUCGGGGUGAUCCAACUAUCCCCCUGUUGUAAGUUGCAUACUUCUGCGGCCAUGGUGCUUGGUGUUGCCAACAGUUCGACAUGAAUUUUUCUUCCAAUCUUGUCUUCCACAGCUGAGGCGAGGCGAGCCAGGGCGUCUGCAUGACUGUUUGCCGCUCGAGGAACUUGGGUGAUCUGGUAGUGGAAGUGCUUGAGCAAAAGUUGUGUUUGCGCAAGAUAUGCUGCCAUGGAGCUGUCCUUAGCAUCAAAGUUGUUGGUAACCUGGUUGACCACUAAUUGGGAGUCACUGAAAAUAUCAAUUUGUUUAACCCCGAGGUGUUUGGCCAAACGUAAUCCUGCUAGAAGGGCUUCAUACUCGGCCUCAUUGUUUGAUGCCUUGAAUUUGAAACGAAGAGCAUACUCCAUUGCUACUUUGUCGGGCGUAGUCAAGACUAGUCCCGCUCCACAGCCCUGUUGGUUGGAUGAGCCAUCAACAUACAGACUCCAUGCUGAGGUCGUUGAUUCUACCUUCUGAGCUUCCGAUGGUAAUGAAGCUACUGCUUCAGGUGUAGAAGCAAUGUCAACAGGAUAUGUGAAGUCGGCGAAUGAAAUCUGCUACUGCUUGGCCCUUCUCAGCUGGCUUUGGUUGGUAGGAGAUGUCAAACUCACCCAACGCUAUUGCCCAUUUGAUCAUUCGCCCUGAAGUGUCAGGACUUUGGAGUAUCUGUCGAAGAGGAUAAUUGGUAAGCACGAUGAUGGAGUGCGCUUGGAAGUAAGGGCGGAGUUUUCGAGCAGACAUGACCAAUGCCAGAGCCAAUUUCUCAAUGUUAGAGUACCGUGUCUCCGCAUCUUGUAAGGCUUUGCUAGCGUAGUAGACAGGUCGCUCAAUAUUCCCAUCCUUUCGAAUGAGAACGGAACUUACGGCUGAAGCUGAUACCGAUAGGUAGAUAAUGAGAAUGUCUCCUACCUCGGGCUUGGAGAGUAGAGGGGCUUUACUCAUGUACUCCUUGAGGUUUUUGAAUGCCUCGGCACAUUCAUCAGUCCAUGUAAUGUACUUCCUACUUCCCUUAAGUGCUUUAAAAAAAGGGAGCACAUUUGUCUGUGGCCUUAGAAAUGAACCUGGUUAAGGCUGCCACCUUGCCAGUAAGGCUCUGGAUGUCCUUUGAAGUUACCGGUUCCUUCAUGUCGAGGAUUGCUUUGAUCUUCUCGGGAUUAGCUUCAAUGCCUCGUUGGCUAAUCAUGAAACCUAAGAAUUUGCCAGAGCCUACGCCGAAGGCACAUUUGUUGGGGUUUAACCUCAUUCGAUACCUCUUCAAAAUAGUGAAAGUUUCAGAUAGGUUGGUGAUGUGUUGGUCAGCAUGUUUGCUCUUGACUAACAUAUCAUCAACGUAAACUUCCAUGCUCUUCCCAAUCUGCUCGGCGAACAUUGAGUUGACUAGUCUCUGAUAAGUCGCUCCUGCAUUCUUUAGGCCGAAAGGCAUGACUUUAUAGCAGUAUAGUCCUCUGUCGGUAGUGAAGGCUGUGUGUUCUUGAUCCGAAGGGUUCAUGAGGAUUUGGUUGUAUCCUGAGUAAGCAUCCAUGAAGCUCAGGAGUUCACACCCGGCCGUAGAGUCUAUAAGUCUGUCAAUAAGAGGAAGAGGGAAGCUAUCUUUCGGACACCCUUUGUUUAGGUCGGUGUAGUCAACACACAUUCUCCCACAAGACCUUUUGAAGCAAAAGACUUUCUUUGGUCGGAUUUUUCUUAACAAGGACCACAUUUGCUACCCAUGUCGGGUAAUUGACUUCGCGGACAAAGCCUAUGCCUUUGAGUUUUUCAACUUCUGCUUUCAUUGCCUCGUAUCGUUCAGCGUCAUAAGAUCUUCGCUUCUGUCUCACCGGCUUGAUCUUGGGGUCAAUACUCAAACGAUGACAGAUGACAUCGGGAGAGAUGCCUGGCAUGUCCUCGUAUGACCAGGCGAAGACUUCAGUGUUCUCUUUCAAAAAAGAUAUCAAUGCUAACCGAAGGGGUGGUGACAAUGUGGUGCCAAUCUUCACCAUGCGAUCUGGAUAAUCUCUUGAGAUAGGUACCUUCUCCAACUCUUCAGCAGGUUGGGCUUGCUGGGUGAAAGAGAGUCAUCUCGAGGAUCAUCGGGUUGAUUGUUGCUAUCAGGAAGAUCCAAGUUCGCUUCAUCUAGGCUGGUCUUUGUGACUUGGUCAUGUACAGACAGGGUUUCCUUGGGUCCGGGCAAGUGUUGUUGCUUAACUGAAGUGUUGUAACAUGAUCGUGCACUAAGCUGAUCUCCUCUGAUGUAGCCGUUGCCAUGGGGGGUUGGAAAUUUCAUCAACAGCAUAUGCGUGGAUACCAUAGCCUUGAGAUCAUUGAUGCCUGUGCGCCCAAAGAUGACAUUGUAUGCCGUUGGGCAGUCAACCACUAGGAAGUUAGUGGUAAUGGUAGCCGUGUAAGGGCCUGUACCAAUAGUAAAGGGUAAAUGUAUGCUCCCUAAGGGUUGCACGAUAUCACCGGAGAAGCUUAUCAGAGGAGAAAUCGAGCGAUCGAGCAAGUGUUCAGCUACACUGAGUGCCCUGAAAGCUUCGGCAAACAUGAUAUUGACCGAAGCCCCUGUGUCUACGAGGAUUCGUCGAACAUCAAAGUUGGCUAUGUGAGCCUCCACGAUCAAUGGGUCGUUAUGAGGGUAGAUGAUGCCUCUUUCUUCCUCAGGGUAGAAACAUAUCGGAUCCCAGUUAGGCUUUUGAUACUUCCCUCCCCUGAUGUCUUCCACGUGAAACACUUGGUGACCAGGCCUCAGAAUUCGUUCACUGUUUUUUCAUGGCCCUAUUGGAAGAUUCAGAUAUGGGUGUGCCGCCGCUUAUGGAAUAUAUGACAUUCACCUGGCGUUGGUUACGGUUAUCCCUUUGAGGGUGAAGGAAGGAAUUGAUCAAUUUUUCCUUCUCGUGCCAAAGCUUCAAUACGAUCACGGAGGAUGAUACAUUUCUCGCUAUCAUGGCCGUUAUGCUCAUGGUAGCAACAAAACAUGCCCGCGUUAUUCGGGGGCGUGUAAUCUGGGUGCCUCGGCUUUGGCUUUGGUAUCAGGUGAGCUAUGCUGGGGUAAAUGGCCGCGCAUGUGGCAUUCAAGGGCGUGUAUGUCUCAUACCUUGGGGUAGGGGGUAUCUUGACGCGGGUUUGACCCACUGCAUUGACUGCCUGGGGGCGAGCGUUAUUGUGGCGAUACCCUUGGUUAUCGGGAUAGUGUCCCUUACUCUUUUUACUGAAAUGGAGAGUGGUGAGGAUGGAAAUCCUUCCUCUUGCCUUGAAAUUGAUAUGUCUGUUGAUUCGGCGAAGCAUUAUGCAAGGCAUGGGGAGGUGCCACUGCUGUUUGGAAAGUCGAGGUCUUCUCAUUUAGGUGAGUCUGGCUUCCACCUCCCACUUGUUGAUAAAGGAUGGUUGUAGGGGGUUUCUCCUGAUAUGUCUUUGCCUCGGCGGAGGCAUGGUUAUAAGCCUGCGCCAUCACCUCAGAGUAAGUCUUCCAAGUAUUGGCAUUGAUCAUGUAUUUAAAGAAACAAUCACGUAGGCCUGCCGUGAAGGCUUUGAGGGCAGUCUUGUCGUCUGCCUCGGCACACCGGGAGUAUUCAUGGCUGAAGCGGCCAGCAUACAUACGUAAUGACUCGUCUGGCUUCUGGCGGAUAGUGUACAGGUCAUCUGCAGAGUGCAAGCGAUCGGUUUGGAAAAUGUGUUGGGAAACAAAUAGUUUCCUCAAUUCCUCAAAUGAGUCUACCGUCUCAGGUGUAAGACGACAAUACCAAUUUAGAGCUCCGCCAGAGAGGGUGGAGGGGAAGAGAAGACAUCGCUCUUCGUCGGUGUGCAUCCGGUAUGCCAUGGUGGACUCAAAGAGGUUAAGGUGCUCAAUCGGGUCCUCUUUUCCAGUAUAAAGUUGCAAGCCAAGCUUUUGCUUUGUCUUUGCUUGAAGGGGGGUGUUGAGGAUCCUCCUUGUAAGAGGGCCAGGCCUGGGUUGGUUCCAGUCAGGUAUUUCAGCCUGACGUUCAGCCUUCAACUUGUUUACUUCCUCAAGAAGUUGUAGGACAAGGGGGUCCUGAGCGGAGUUAUGUGCCACUGGAGCUUUCUUUCGUAAAUCUCCAUCUCCUCUUGGAAUUAGGAAGGUUUGAUCAAGGGCAUGUGAUUUUUUCCCUGGACUCGUUGUACUGGCUUCCAGGGUAUGUCUGUCGGAACACCUCUGAGUCCCCUGUACCCUCAUGUCUCUCUAGGACUUGUUGCCCCUUCCCCAAAUUGGUGGCCGGCUCGGGCCGUGGCAGGGGACCGAGUCUCUCAGAAAUCCUUGGGUCAUUGAUCUUUGAGCUUAUAUGGAUGGAAUUCUCUCGACGUUGCUUCAGGAAAUCCCGACAAUCGCGAAAGACGGCUUUCGAUCCUUCUGCCCCUUCAGCAAAGAGGUGUCUCCCUCCACUUCUCAUGGUUCGGGUCGAAGCAACUGGGUUAAGAGAAGCCUCAUGUUGAUUAUCAAGUCGAGGGGUAAUCUGUUCCCUAUCAGGGAUAUCUAUGUCGAAUGCAUGUGACCCUCCAUGUUGGAGGGCACCCAGUUGAUGGUUGACUUCCACGGGGGCAACAAGCUCGCGUGUCUGAGCUUGCCUAGCUUCGUGGAGUGUCUCGAAGAGCUUCUCAUAUUGCUCCUGGAGGACCUCAUUCCUCAUUGCUAUCUUGUUGUUCUGAGCUUCCAACUCAUCGACUUUAGCUUGAAGAAGAACUCGUUUUCCUUCCUUCUUUCGUUGUUUCGCACUAUGUGCAAGGGGGGUGUCAUUCUGUGUGCUGUGGCUUCCUUCGCUUCCCAUGUUGGAGAGGGAUGCCUGAUCAAAAGAAAGUGUACGAAUGAUAGAAACCAGCUUGACACAGCUGAAGAGAGUAGGAAUAAGUGUCGUUUCCCACAGACGGCGCCAAAUGUUGAUGCACAAAAUCAGCGAAGACUUUGGUACAACAGAAAGUGUCAGGUUUUGUGACCUUCGCUUGGUUGCUUCGGUCACUAGUGAGGAUAAGUACGUAAAUGAAUAGAGACAGAGAAGCAAACACAGGAUGUACGUGGUUCACCCAGAUUGGCUACGUCCACGGAGUAGAGGAGUUCUUAUUAGUAGUGAAGGGCUUACACAAGUACAAAGGAUCAAGCUCUCAAUUUAGUGAGUUCUUGUGAAUGAUUUAACACAAAAUGGCAUUAGGCAAUAUUGUGGGGGAAUGACCCCUAUUUAUAGAAAAACUUGUAGCUUUGUCACAUUGACAUGUGUCAUGUUAUGAUUGGUUCUUGAUGUCGACACGUGCUGCGCUCUGAUUGGCUUCUAAUCUUGACACGUGUCGAGUAGUGAUUGGCCUCCUGGUCGGAGGGGAACUCUUCUGGGUCCUUGACAGUAUAGCGUUGGCCGGUGCUCGGUAGUUUCGGGAUUGGUCAAGUAUGGUACAAACUACAAAAAAGAUUUUUAGCUGAAAGAGAAACUUUUGAUCGUUUGAAUUCAGAUUCAAUCAACUACUCAUUUCUCUUCUAGUUCCCCUUUCUGCUUAUAUUAAAGCGAAGCGGAUGUCGUUGAUGUCAAACCAUUUCCUGGAUAUUUUUGUGGUGUUAAAAACAACAAAGAAACACCAAGUUUUUGCUAAGCAUACACAGAUAUCUCAAGCAUCGGAGACCUCUGUAAGAUCAUCAGGGAGAUGAAAUAUUUCACGUAUCUCCUCAGGUGUUUUCCCUUCAAUUAUUCGUGCAAGAGCAUGACUAGUAAGAUCCACCAAUGGUUUUAAUUGGAGGCUGUCAGCAGCUGAAGUCAACUCACAGAGCAACUUGGUGUCCAUUCGGAUGUAUUUUUCAUCAAAAGCCUUGCAUUCCUACAUAAACGAGUGGUGCCGAGUCAUAUAAGCGUGCCGAGUUUACACCAGCAUCAGAGUAAACAUUUAAUCCAGUGUGCAGGUGGAGAUUAAUGUCCUCAAUAGCUCAAAUUUAUGCAAAACAGACAGAGGGCAUAGACUCAGAAAGAAGGAAAACAGAAUGACAUUCCAAAAACAUGUAGAACCUUGUUCGAGCGACCUGGUACUUGAUGAAACCGGCAGUAAUCAAGAAUUAAGCUCAACAUUGCAGUACUGACUCUUUCAGGAAGAGAUAUUGCAUGGUUCUUGGAAGCUCCCAUCCCUUUCUGUAUAUUUUCUUUGCAUAUCAUAGGGCAAUACAUGGCAACCUCUUGUUCCACUUGUUGGAUUGAACCGUCGGUAGUCUGAAGCCAGAUAUAAGACUUCAUCAUCUGAGAAUGAGUUGGCACCGAUGUGGCUUUAGAAUUCCAACAUUACAAAGUAAACGAAAAAUAUAAAACAGUUAAACAACCCACCCACCUUCACCCCCUCCAAAUAAACAAAAACAAAAAGAGAGAGCAAAUUAACACUCAACAAGUAGAGGCAGCUACAAGCAUUCAAAAGAAACGAAAAACAGAAAACAAUUGAUUCGACUAUGGCUUGAACAACAAAGAAAAGAAAACAUAAUGCAUUUAUCUAUUAAACACUAGACAAAGACGACAUAACAUAGUGGAAAAAAAGGAAGAAGGGGCAUAAAAAGAAUCACGAAGAAUGCGUACGGAAAAGUGAUAAUACCUCAGGUUUAAUAACAGUCAUGUCACCUUCUGACAUUUGAACAAUCCCAAGUUCUGAGGCUUAAAAACUGGAGUGCAUCAGGCAAAAGAAAACAGCUUUAUGCUUCUCAUGCAACAACUUGCUGAUACUCUGUUAAGUCAAACAAAAUUAUAAUUAGCAGCCCUUCUAUGCAAAUCCUUACCCAAAAUUAAAGUUUACACAAAUUUAACAUAAACCCAAGUUAGCCAGGGCAGUAAACCACCCUUUGCAAUCCCCACUCCGUCGUCUAGAUUAAAUUAGAAUAUCGCUCUCAAAACAUAAACCCAGCUCUUACUUGCCAUGAACAAUACAAGUUCCAAUUUUUCUUAACAAAUCUAUACUUACAUUUAUAUUUCUACUAAACUUAAUUCCAUUUAUUCCCAAGUCCAUGAAAAAGCAUUCUGGUGAUUAUACUGCUCUAAAUCAAGGGAGAAAAAUUGCAAUUCAUUGGUAUUUUAGUUGAAUUUCUCGAUUAAACUAACUGUUAUUACCAAUAAAUGAUUGUUUUUCCUAAAGAUUUUAGUUCACCGAGCUCCGGAUUAAAGGGUACUUAGGAAUUUCAUUUUUCUAUUCAAUCAUUUCCAUUUUUCCUGCACUUUCUGGGCACCAAACAGGCAUACAGAAGAGAAACAAAACAUGGUAAAGAAAAGAAAAAGGACAGACAAUUAAUUAACACGAAGGAGACAUACGAAAUGUACGGAUUCCAGGUAGGGGGAGCUUUGAAUUGCAGAGAUUUGGCGGUUGUCGGCGAAUCCCAAAAAUGGAUAAAAUUGCGAAUAAAUUUUAGAAAAAAAAAAAAAAAGAGAAAAAAAGCAACUCUUGUGUGACUGAAAUUGCGUCAAAAAUCAAAAGGUCUGCAAAUCACACGUCAGCGUUUCGUUAGGGUUUCCUGACCUCUUGUAUUUAUUUUGAUUUGAUUGAUUAGUGUUGUUUGUUUGUACACUUCCUGGUGCGGGCCCACCUUAAUAAACGGAUCAUAUUGAUCAUCAAUGUGAGCUGGUAAUUAGCAGCCCUUGAUUGAAAAUGGUUCUUAUCAAUGAGGCCCGUACGCCCCUUACAUAGUUGGACACCGAGAGCAACCCUCCCCAGACAAUAUAUUAUGCUAUUCACCCAUUUAACAGUAAUUGUUCUUACUGAACAGUAAUCAUCUUUACCGUUACACUUCAAUAACCCUGGUAAUAGGUAAUAAAAUAAUAAUAAUUUUUUUAUUUAUAAAAUAAUACUAAGAUAAUUAAAAAAGACAAAGCAAAAGCAGCAUCUGACUUUCUCUCUCUCUCUAUGUUGAAAUGAAGACCACAAACACAAAGCUUAUCCUCCUCCACCCCCAAGCAAUCCACAAACGGCGGAAGCCACCGCCUGUGGCUCCUCUUCUUCUUCACCUUCUUCACCCUCACUCUCAUCAGCACCACCAUCCCCCAAACCCUCCCCACCUCCGUACUCCCCCUCCCGCUCGCAGUCCUAGAUGCACUUCUUCACUACGCCAUUUCAUCAUCAAACACCUCGUCAGCACCCCACAUGCCCCCGUCGGAACUCACCUCCAUAUCCUCCGCCCUCACCCGCCUCUGCGCACCCAACUGCAAUUUCCUCGUUUUCGGCCUCACCGAUCCAGAACCUGACAGAAAAAAAGAUUAAAAAAGGCGUCUGACAUCAACUGACGUUAGAACCACCUUAGGCGCCUGGGCCGGCACGAAUCCACGGGCCUGGCGCUCGGCCCUGCUAGGGCUCCCUCGCCAGCCAACGCUAAAAUUCCUCUCUUUGGCAAUCAGGCCCUGUGCUGAAGCCUGUCCAUAGAGCAAAAGCUCCCGCUGGAGCUGCUCUGAAUAUUGAGUUAAACUUGUCGCAGUGAAUAUUGAAUUAAAUCUUUUAAUCGUAUCAAUUCAUCGCAGUGUUCGAAAAAACGGCCUAGGCGGAUUGGAACCUUGUGCAAAACGGCUAGGCGGGCUAGGCGGCUGGGCGGUUUUUUUUUUUUUUUUUUUUUUUUUGAAAUUAAAAAAAAAAACUUAGAUUAAGCCUAAUUCUAACAUUUGACUCAUUUAGCAUUCAAACAUUUGACUCGUUGUUAAUUUUAUCCUAUGAAAACUUGUUCUGAAGUAUACCAUAUUAUUAUGAUUCGCAGAUGUGAACUUGUUUUUGAGAACUGCUUUGUUCUAGAAGAAAAUGUUCUCGGGCAGGAAGGAAAAAGUGUAGUGAUGCUUUUAUUACAACUUUGUUAUUGGAAGGAAAGAUCAUUUGGAUUGGUUGCAUGUUAAAAUUCGCAGCAAGAAUUGAUAUGUUAGUUAACUUAUAACCUGAUUUCUCAUCUGUCAUAUGGCUUCUGAGCUGCUGUUUAGUAUUAGGGCGAUCAAAAUUUACCAUUAGCGAAGACUUUCACCAUGGGACUUAUUCAUGUAUUGCUGGAACUGCUCAACCAGACUUGUUCUAGUAAUAUAUGAUGCCAACAGUUUUGUUGCGCCACUGGCCUCCCAGAUUAUCACCUAAAGAAAAUAGACGACUUUAUGAAUUACUUCAUUUAUUGAAAGAAAUAUUUCUUUUGUACAUUUUCUACCUAUUUUGUAAGAGUCACUAUGCACUUAUUCAUAGGAUAUACAAAAAAAUUACCUAAAUCCACCUAGGCCGCCUAGGCUCCCGCCUAGGCGCUAGCCCGCCGCCCGACUAGCGCCUAAUUUUUUUUAGAACCUUGAUUCAUCGUACAUUAUGCACUUAAAAAUUAUUUUAAAUAUUUUAUUUAAAAUUAAACACAAAUAGUACCAGAUAAAAAUUGACAGUAUGAUUUAUGAUGAACGAACAAGAUUAAAGAAUUUCCUGAAUCCUCACAAAGAGGAUUAGAAGAAAAUCCUCAUUCGUAUGAGCCACCUAGUCUGGACUCUGAACAGAAAAAAUUUUCCUUCAUAGGACAUAUUCUCUUAUAAGUCACAUCACUAAUACAUCACGUAGUCAGUUGAUAAGUGUUUAAUCAGUCAUUACUUUUAUUAUCCUUUUCUUCACUAUUUUGUUGUUUCUUUUAUAUUUGAGUCGCUUUUUACAAUUUGUAAGUCAAUUGGAGUAAAGAGAGAAAAAGGAAGAAUUUUCAAGAGAUUUGAAGCAAGAUUUGUCAAAGUGCUAGAAUGUUGCUGGUGGAAUGUCACGAAGAUUAAUUUGCCGAGACUAGAUCAGGAAGAAUUUGAUGGCGUGCCAUAUGGAUGGAAUCUGGAUCUAGUUUUUGGAGGCUUUUACCUUUUGUGAUCCCGAUGUAUGAAACAAAAAUGAUUGUUGUUUUAGUAACUGCUGCUCAGUGUGAAGUUUCUUCGCGAACAUUGGAGAAUUAAAUAAACUAAUUCAAAUUGUUAAAUUGGGUUUAAGAGUUAAUGCUGCUGAAGUUAAAGAUUGGAAAAUGCUCUUUGAUGAACAGAUAGGAAUAACAAUGCUGAUGCGGAAUUGAAGUAAUCCUAAUCAUCGAACUCGUUGGGCCUCAACUAACUACCUUUUGGUGUGGGCUUUGGUCAUGGAUGAGUUCAUGCUCAUGUACUCUAAUUUAAAUUUGGCCCAUUGGCUUUCUAUAUGCAUAUUAGGGUUUUUAUUUUAUUUUUUUAUUACAAACGAUAUUACUCAUAAAAAAAAAAGUGUUUAUCCACCAGAGAGAAUCAACCACCUGUUGUAUAGAGUUUUUAAUUAGCUAAAGGGUGCAUACUUUACUUGCACACUGCAAUAUUUUACUUUAUUUGCUAAGACUUUAACGAUUGUUUGUUUCUAAGACUUGUGCUCAAUAUAUUGAGUACCAUGCGAAUUGGUAUCUGAAUUAUUACGCGAGUAGAAAUUAAGUCCUUAACACUCAUUUCUACUAUAAGAUUCAAAAUUAUUCUAUUUAUAUUAUUGAGGGGACUUUUAGGUUGAGUUGGACUUGAGUCUUGAUGGAAACCCUUGUACUUUCCUUGGUUCGUUCCAACACGAAGUCCCAAAAUACCAAAGAAUUAGCGCGUCUUAGGAAAUACUCUGCUUGUAAUAGUGGCACAAAAAUUGAAUGAUUAAGGCAAAUUAUGGCUUGCCUAAGAGAGACGUGGUGUGGAAGCUAAAAGCUUAUCAGUUUAGCAUGAGAUCAAACUUGUGCAUGGUUGCAUGGUUUUGAAAGAUGAAUCAUCUGGAUUUCCUAAGGGUCUAAGGGUGUUUAUACUGGCUAAGGAAGCUCAAAUGAAACCUCAAAUAACCCCUAAAACUCCAGGAAAGUGAUUUCCUAAGGAUUCAAGGCUUUCUGCACUUAGAGAAGAAUUUCCAUGCCUCGUGCAAUUUAGUCUUGAAUCCUCUCUACCUUGUCUCUCCUUUGCAUUGAGUUCAUCCUUCCCUUUUGUAGAUGCAGGGUCUCUUUCUAUCUUUCCUUAGGGAAUUCCUUGACUUCCUUGUUUCCUCUCGUUUUGGCUUAGUCUUCCUUUUUCUUUCCUUUGGCACAUCUAUGACCUUCCUUUUUGGUGCAACAUUGAGAACGUCAUUGCUCCCCUGAAGAUUGAGUCGCGCACUCUGCCCAUAGAGCCAUCUUCCCUGGUCAAUUAUCCACGGACGUUACUUUUAACAACGCUCUUCCUUGUUUUCCUUCCUCAUUUUUCUGUGUGAGCUAGGAAGAGAAAGAUCCAUUCUCUCCUCAUUAAGGAAUGCUUUGCACUAGGUUUUCACAUGAUCCUGAAGCUUUGGGUUCUUGUUUCUUCCUAAGUGGGUUGGUUUGCUUGUUAAGGGAAAGGGAAACUUGGUUUGUUCUCUCCUAGACCUACCUAUGUGGAACUCAAGAAUCAUGAGCUUGGACUUUUGGUGCUCCAAGAAGCUCAAAGUCUUCCACAAUUUUGGUUUCAUAUAGGUUCGAUAAUCUUUUGUAACCAUCCACACCACAAUCCACUUGUCAAGCCCCAAUAUGUGGCUUGGGCUCAUUUUAUCGUGUAGCAUGGUUAGCUUGACUUGUCUACAAUGACCACAUCAUACUUAUGCAUGGAUUUUCAUGGGCUUGUUGUGAUCAUGCAAACGUCCCGCUCACAGAUUAUUAUUUUAUUGGCGUGAUGUGAUUGUAAAUACGCUUCCUUCUUGAUUUCGCACCUUUGCAUGUGUUUAAGCUUGGAUUGGGGCAUUUUUAUGACAAUCGGGCUUUGAGAUGUGAUUGAGCUUGUAUGUGAGAUUUUUGGGCCCUAACACAUAUUUUGUCACUUUAAGUCACAUGACUUACAUGUGAGACACUUCAUGUGUUGGUCGGCUGAGCACCUGAGCUUUGUUAGGCUAAUGUAUCAAGAAAACAUGCACCACAUAGAGCAAUUGAUGGAACAGAUUCAUUGUAAUCGUGACAUUUUAGACAAAAUAUUAUUGUUAUUGUAGCGUCCUGUAUUAAUAAUAUAAGGUCAUGUAUAUAUAAACUUCAAUAUAUCAUUAUCUUAUUAAAUAGAGACAUAACGGUGAUAAUAAACCUGUUUCAUAUAAAUCUUCCGCAACAUGACAUCCGAUGGCUGCCACGUGGACUGUAGGGUUCAUGUACGGUCGAUGAAAAGUGCGUGGUGGUUGAACUUGAAAACGUGAAGUGUCAGCAUGAUUGAGAUGGUGCCCACGGAGGCAUGUGAGUAGGUCACAGGGAGGAUCACAGCAAUGGUAUGAGUUGGAUUGAAUGAAUGACCGGCCAAUCCUUUGAGACAAAGGAUUUUUAGAGGAGUUUCAAACAAAAGCGUUCGUGGUCUCUCCCUCGGUCCUACUCAUUUGUGUGUUUUUAGCAAUGAUUCAUUCCUACUAUCUUUUUUUUCUUUUUUUUAUAUAAAUAGGGCAUGGAUAAUGUUGAUAUAUAUAUAAAGAUAGAUAAUAAUUCUAUUAAUCAAUGGUUUAAUCAAUUAUAUUCGUAUUAGUAAUAUAUUGGGAUACCAAAGUGUUUGGCCUUAGCUCAAAUGGAGAGAGAAUGUAUGACACUAAAUUAGAAUUACGGUAUGUGUUAAAAAUUAGAUUAUGGUAUGAUCAAGUUUCUUUUUCCUUCAAUAUACACAAUUUGAAUAAGUCCACGCACCUCAUGUAUUAAGUUUUUUUAUAUUCAGCAACUAUUGUUAAAAAAUAAUUGCAUAAAUCCAAACAUUUAUUUAUCCAGCCUUGAGGUAGAUCGACUGCUACUCCUCUGAUAGGAAAUAAUGAUACAUCAUUCUCAUACCGAUGACAAUUUCGAAUAGAUAAAUACUAAUUCUCCUUCUCUCAAUAUAUAGAAAAAAGGAAGUUUGUGUACCAAUAUCCGCCAUAAAGGGAUCAAGUCAUAACAUAGGAGAAGCUAUUAUCUUCAAUAUAAAGAAAAAGUCAAAUAAGUCCAUGCAUGGUGCAUGAUUUAAUAAAAAUUGUAAAAAUUAGGACCGGCACAAGAUUUAGAAUCAUUGCAAGAGAACUUGUAUAUGCUUAAAAAUAAUUAAGCUACUUCUUAUAUUGCCAAUUGAUUUUAUAAUAUAAUCCCAACGUUCUUCACUUCGUCUUUGAGUAAUUCAAACUUCAUUAGUACAUAAUUUAUUUGUUUUAUAGUGUAGCGACUUUUGCACAAUGCAUGCGCCUUUUAUUUUUCUAGCAUUAAGGCACAUACCAUCAUUAUCACAUACUUGUUGAACUUUUGUUGUCAUUUUAUUUUUAUUUAGUGGAGAAUUUUCACACAAUGACCAAAGUAAUUGAUGGUGGACAAACUCAGAAGCUAAUUUUAUCAAUUUUAAAUCUUAGAAAUCAAAAUGAAGAGUUAUUUAAAUCUCAAAAAUUAUUUUGAUUAAAAAACUAUCAAAAUAUAAAAAUGUAGCCGUUGCGUUCCAUUCUAUUGCAAAAUGCUCUACUUUUCUUUACUAGAAGUAGAAGACCCUCACCUGUCGUUUGAUGCUUUAUAGGCUGCCAUGAUGCCAUCCCUUUCUCAACGGUCCUCAAAACGGAGGUGAAUAGUCUGCCUUCCAUUUCCAUGCUUUACUCAUACACUCUUGUGAUGUAUGGUCACAGUUAAAUCACGUCAAUAUUUUAUAUUAAUUUUUUAUAAAAAUAAUUAAAAAAAAAUAAUAAAAAUAUAAAAUGUUAACAUGAUUUAACCGUAACCAUAUAUACAAAAAAUAACAAAGAAAAUAUGAAAAUAGGAUGACAGAUAAUCCACCUCACCUCGAAACACCCAAAUUUCCUCAAACCUCUACAAAAUUCAUAACUUUACUUUUUCUUUCUGUGGGCCGUGUUCUAAUUCACAACUAAAAUUUAGCAAAUGGGACGGUUUUAUACCGUUAAAUUAUCUCAUUGCCCAAAGUUGCCUUUUGCUUUAUAAAUCUAAUGCCUCGGUAAUAGGGUCUUCUUUUUUUUUUCCUCUUUUUAAACUUAUCGUUAUCAUCCAACACAUAUUUUUUUAUAGUUUAAAUGGGUGCUAUUAGUUUAUCUUCACUGGCCUGGAUAACAAGAUAGUCCGAUCUUUUAUUUAUUAAAUUGGCAUGUUAAGAAAGAUAGUAGUUUCUUGAUUCAAUCAUGACCGUCGAUUUUUCAUACUACUAAGUACUGCUAAAGAAAAAUUGUUAUAUUAUAGCAAAAUUAUGUAUCGUUAAUUCACAUGAUGAGAAAUGCAAAUACAUGUAUAAAGUAUCUUCGAUAUGAACACACAAAAUUUUAAUAUUAGAACAUCAUUCACGAGAAUCAAACUUAAAAUUAAUGAAACAUAAUAGAUCACAUUUAUAAACCAUAUGAUGUGUCACCAAUAUAAAAUAAAGGGUAAUGCUAUGGAGACCAAAAUUUUCAAACCAAAUUUGCAAACCAAAUGAUGUGAUUGCUGAUGAUUGAAUUAUUACUUAAACGUUGGUUAACGUACUUAUUUUCUAUUGGUGACAAGACAUUUGGUUUGUAAAUUUAAUUUAAAAUUUUGAUAUCUCUAACAUUAUCCAAUAUUAUUCUAGACUAAAAUAAUAAUUCAAUUAUCAAUAACUAAAUUAUAUAAUUUAUAAAAAACGGUUUAAGUAGACGGUAUCCUUAAAUAACUAAAAUGAAACUUAGCUUUAAAAGAUUGGAAAAGUGGAUUAAAAGGCAAGGAAUAAAUAAAAGCGAAGAAGAAAAGAAAAGGUGGAGGGAAAUAAGAUUAAAUUGUCCAACGGGUCUCUGGAAAGACAAAGACAACCCACCAUUCAUGACAUGGAUUGGUGACAGCGACGUUGUCCUCAUCUUUCCUGCACUCUCCAGAAACAUCUCUUGAUUAAUCCACAUAAAACAUCCAUUACCACUAAUUUACUAGAAAAAGGCAUAAAGGUUAAGGUUAAGCACACACCUUUUGAGAAUAGUUCCAAAUAAUUCACCUACCAAAACUUGAAAAGGAUGUAACUCAUGUAUAUUUUGUUUUUCUGCUAGGAUGUUUGAUUUUAUUUUCAACACAAGAAAUACAAAAGAAAAUCUGUCCGAUAUACUGAGACUGAUUUUUCUUUCGAAUGCUGUCGUCUUGUUUGAUUUGAAUAUUCUCUUUUUUAUCUUACAAUGUAGUAGAAGGAUUAUUUAUUUAAUAGAUUAUAUUGAAAAAAUUAAUUAGGUAUGAAAUUAUUUAGUCAUUUUAAAAUUAUUUAAUAAAUAGACGAAUUAUAUCUUUUAAUUAAAUAAUUCCUUUUUACAAUAAUGAUCAAACGGUUAAAUAAUUUCUAGUUUGGUUAAGUUUAACUGGUUCGAAGUUUUCAAUCAUCAAGAAUAAUUGAAGAGUGAAAUGAGAGUAGAGAAAGGUAAACCGCAAAGAUUCUAGCGAGAUCCUUUUUUUUUUUUUUUUAAUAUAUAUUUUAGGGGGAUAAAGAAUAAAGGGAAUAAAAUGCCUUUUCAUCAUUUCAUUUGUUUAGCAUACUUUAACAUACUUUAACAGCUCAGGCAGACAAACAAUUUUCCUUUAUAAAUCUCACUCCAUUUCUCACUCGAUCAUCCAAAAACCAAACCCUUGCAUUCUUUCAAGAGAGAGAAACCACACAACCCCCCAAACCAGAGAGUUCUAGAGAGAGAAACACAAGCCCAUGGAGGGUAAAGAAGAAGAUGUGAAGCUGGGAGCCAACAAAUUCCCAGAGAGGCAGCCCAUAGGGACCUCAGCACAGACAGACAAGGACUACAAGGAGCCACCGCCGGCGCCGCUGUUCGAGCCCGGCGAGCUCAAGUCCUGGUCUUUCUGGAGGGCUGGGAUUGCUGAGUUCAUGGCCACCUUCCUCUUCCUCUACAUCACUGUCCUCACUGUCAUGGGGGUUUCCAGGGCACCCAACAAGUGUGCCUCUGUGGGUGUUCAGGGCAUUGCCUGGGCCUUUGGUGGUACCAUCUUUGCCCUUGUUUAUUGUACUGCUGGUGUCUCAGGUAUACUUCUCCCUCUCUCUCUCUCUCUCUCCUGUUUUUUCUUUUGUUUCUUUGGCUUGAUCUGUUGCUUGCUAUGCUUCCUUUUAUUUUGGUGUUUUUUUGUAAGUUUUUGGUUAAGUAAGUGCAGAUAUGUACAAGAAUAUUUGGGUUUUGAGUUGUUUCUUAAGUUGAUGUUUGGUUCCCAGGAAAAUGAGGGAAAGAAAAGUAAUAGUGGAGAAAGAAAGUUUCUUUUUCUUUUACUUUAGCAUUCUGAGAGAACCAACUGGAGGAUUGGAGGACUUUACUGUUUUACUUGGGUGUGUGAAAAUUGAUGAAAAAUAAAUAAACCACUUACCAAAAAGAGAAGAAAAAAGUGAGAACUUUAGAUUAUUGGGAUUAACUGUAAGGGUUAUUUUUCUUAAACUCUUGUAUAGUUAGCAAUUUUUACUGCUGAAAAUCAGAGUAGUAGAGUAAAAAAAUUUGGAUUUGUUAAAGAUAUCAACUUUGUUACUGAUCUUCUUGUUGGAUUUACUGGUCUUUAUAACUUUACCUCACAAAUCCAAAUUUCUGGAAAAAUGAAAAUCUGCAUCUUUAUUUUGCAGUAAAAAUUUGAGAGUGUAUAAAUUAAGCCAAAAAUGAAUUCAAAUCAUAUGUUCCUCACCAAUUUUCAUAUUUCGUCGUAACAGUAUAUUAACCUUUGAUAUAUUGAUAAUUUGGACAGGUGGUCACAUAAAUCCAGCUGUGACAUUUGGUCUCUUCCUAGCAAGGAAGCUCUCCCUGACCAGAUCCGUGUUCUACAUCAUCAUGCAAAGCCUUGGGGCAAUGGCUGGUGCCGGGGUGGUGAAGGGGUUCCAACCGAAGCAGUAUGAGUUGCUCGGCGGUGGAGCUAAUGCGGUGAACCAUGGCUAUACCAAGGGUGACGGCCUAGGCGCUGAGAUUGUUGGCACUUUUGUUCUUGUGUACACUGUUUUCUCUGCCACUGAUGCCAAGAGAAAUGCCAGAGACUCUCAUGUCCCUGUAAGUAUAUCUCACCUUUGAUGAUUGAGUACUUGUUUACACACUGCGCUCAUAACUAUUUUCUGUAAAUGUUGUAACUAUGCAUCUGUCUACUUGUAUCAUUGUAAUGCCUUGGUUACUAAGGCAUAGAUUUCAUUGAGUUUUGAGUAUAUUGUGAUUGACUGUUUAGCUAACCGCCGCUCAAUCGUUGUUGCUAUUUGCAAUAUCUUUGGUUAAAAGUUAAUGUUUUAUGGCUCUGGUACAUGAUUACAAACUUUUUCUUUGUGCCAAAAUUACCAUGCCGAUUAGUCAAUCUUCUCUGUGAUUUAGAACACUUUAUCUACAAUAAGCAUCACACGAAACUCUUUCAUGUAGUAGCAACUGGUAUCCCUAUUGCAGCUAUGUCGAUAAACAUGUUCUUAUAUACGAAUGGAAAUGCAGAUCUUGGCUCCACUCCCCAUUGGGUUUGCUGUAUUUUUGGUGCAUUUGGCAACCAUCCCCAUCACCGGAACUGGCAUCAACCCUGCUAGGAGUCUGGGAGCUGCCAUCAUCUACAACAAGGGCCAUGCAUGGGAUGAUCAUGUGAGUAAAACUAAAUUGUUUACAUCAUGAAGUUGCAUCGAUCUAAAUGCACGGGAGAGGAUACAUGUCUUACAUCUUCAAUGAUUUUGUUGUGUUUGCAGUGGAUCUUCUGGGUCGGACCAUUCAUCGGAGCUGCACUUGCUGCACUCUACCAUCAGAUAGUCAUCAGAGCCAUCCCAUUCAAGACCAGGGAUUGACAUGGUAAUCCCCGUCGGGCCUUGUUCUCCCCGUCGGGCCUUGUUCUCCCCGUCGGGCCUUGUUCUGUCUAAAUGCUGCGAUUGUGUUUAUUUCGUUCGUUGUGUUUUAAUGUCGAGAGUGGAGUAUUUGGGGUGCUAAUGUGCAUAUUAGUUAUUUAUCCUGUUACAUUAAUGGAAAACUUUAUUUAAUUUAUUUAUACUUUGUUAUUAUGUUAAUCCUUACUUUUGCAUUGGAAGGCUUUAGGCAUUUGUUACCAAGUAAUUUGGGACUCGAAAGCUUUAUUUAAUUCAUGACUUGCGUAGCCACAUUUAUAACAAGAGACAAUGCGUCUCCUCUGUCUCGUUUGGAAAUGGAUCUUCAUCAAAUCUCUACUUAAUCUUUUUCAUCAAAUAAUCUGGAUUUUUGGUUACAAAUAGGGGUUUAUUUUAAAAGUUAUAAUAACUUUAACCGUUUGAUCAAAUGAAUUAUUUGAUCCAUAAAUAAUUCAUUUCCGUCUCAUUUCUAAUUUGUUGACACAUGGUCCGUAAUUGGUAAUUUUAACACUGUUACUUUACAUAGAAUUUGAUUGGAAAAAAAAACCUGAAAAAUUAAUGGUACGUAGACGGAACGGGAUGAAACGAAACGAAGGUGUAAUUUUUGAAAAAGACAUGGGGUAUAUUUGUCUUAAAAUGGUAAAACAUUGUGUUCCACAGACGUGGAACAAACCCGUUCCAGGGGGGAGGUGUGACGCAAAAACACCCAAAAUCUGUCUUGUGGAACAGCCCGUUCCACCCAUUUUUGACGCACCAAACGCGGGACGGAACGCCUCGUCCCGUUCCGUCCCGUCCCGUCCCACGUACCAAACGCACCCUAAAGGCACCACAGCUGAUGAAACCCUUCAGCAUCCUUCCCCACGGGAUGGAUCAAUUAGAUUAGAUAUUUUCAAUCUAUCACCGCAGCAACCAACCCCAACCCUUCAACAUCCUCCCCCAAUCGAUCGAUAUGAUAUUCUCAAAUUUCAAACUUCACACACUGUUUGCCAGCUGUGACUAGAUGGAUUGAUCACAUACCGAUCGAUUAGAUAUUCCAAAUUUCAAACUUCAAACUUCACAUGUAUUGACGAGAGUAAUUUGAAAAGAGAGAAAGGAAAGGAAAGAAAGCUUCGCCGCUGUGAGGAGCAUCGUCGGCAGCGAUGGGGUGGUGUCACUGGUGUGGUUGCAGUGGUCGGCGGCGAUAGGUUGUGUGGUUGCAGUGGCCAUCGGCGGUGUGAUUCUGUAGUUGCAAUGGAUAGUUAUUGAGUGGGUUUUUGUUUUCUUUAAUUUUUAAUUUUUCAAUUAUUUUAUAAAAAAUUACAGUGUUAACUUUGGUGUUAAAUUAAUAGACAAAUGUUAAAAAAUUAAGAAAGAGACACAAAGGAGACAUUAUAAAUUCAGAAAACAGAUCCCCGGCCCUUGAAAGCUUUAUUUAAUUAAUGACCUGGUUAACCACAUUUAAAUUGUUUAUAACAAAAUCAUGCUCAAACCGAGUUAAUAACAAGAGAAAAUGUUAUUGAUUCUCUAAAAAAGUUGUUACUUAAUUUCCUCAUUAUUUUCACAAGGGUUAGAUGGUUAGACAUUAGGGUUUGAUGAUUCGUUUUGUUUGAGAGGAAUGAAGAAAAGAAGAAAAAAAAUUAUAUGUUAAGUAAAUAGGUCGAAAAAAUUGUUAACGACCGUAUUUUUACUUUAAAAUCUAUUUUGGUCAUCAGUAGUUUCUAAAUUCUCUUCCAUAUGUUUUGUUUGUUCUUUUAUUGUGUCACCUAAGUUUUCUUUAAGUUCAUUCACAGUGGAUGAAUUUCAUACUUACUAUUAUAGUCUUGAAUAAAAUGAUAAAAAAAGGAACACAACAAAGUCGUUCGGGAUGUGACAAUCGAUUAUCACUCAUACUAUUCAACAAACCACGAUUGAAUUAAGCAUACGGUUGGGAAUGACAGAAUAUCAGAAUUAUGAUUCAGCAAAGGACAGCAUAACGAGCAAUGCCAAAUUUUGUCAAUUAGGAUCAAACAUUGUGACAGCUUACGAGCAUUUUCUUUUACUUUAAAAUCUUUUUUGGUCAUCAGUAAUUUCUAAAUUCUCUUCCAUAUGUUUUGCUUGUUCUUUUAUUGUGGCACCUAAGUUUUCUUUAAGUUCAUUCACAAUGGAUGAAUUUCAUACUUACUAUUAUAGUCUUGAAUAAAAUGAUAAAAAAAGGAACACAACAAAGUCGUUCGAGAUGUGACAAUCGAAUAUCACUCAUACCAUUCAACAGACCACAAUUGAAUUAAUGUACGGCUGGGAAUGACAUAAUAUCAAAAUUAUGAUUCAGCAAAGAACAACAGAACGAGCAAUGCCAAAUUUUGUCAAUUAGGACCGAACAUUGUGACAACUUAUGAGUAUUUUCAAAGGAGAUGUCAAAUUUCAAACGUAAAUUUAAAUUUGACAGCUUAUAUAACACUUUGACAUCUUUUAAAGUUUUGUUCUCCACCUAAUAUGUCAAAUUAAACUAUUAUUUUAUUAUAAUAAAUGUUUUUUUUAACAAACGAUAUUUAACAUUGAAGGGGAGGAGAGUGAGCUUAACCUUCCAAUGGGUUAACAAUAAUGUAGUUCAAAUUCGCCUUUGGUGAGAAUCGAACCUUAGUACUGUCACAUUCCAGGCUCGACUCUACUGUAGCACGAUAGCUUUGUGCCCCGACCACGCUCUCACAGUUUUGUUUCUGGGAACUCACACGAGAACUUUCCAGUGGGUCACCUAUCCUGGGAUUGCUCUUGCGCAAACUCGCUUAACUUCGGAGUUCCGAUAGAACCCGAAGCUAGUGAGUUCCCAAAAUGCCUCGUGCUAGAUAGAGAUGAGAAUAUACAUAUAAGACAUAGAGGAUCCUCACCCUUGGGCGAUGUGGGAUAUUACAAGAACUCUCGCUUACAAGUGAAGAGGAAUACCACCAGACCGUAGUAUUUAGUGGCAUUAUAAUAAAUGUUUUAAAACAAAAAACAAUUAUAAUAUUAGUAAAAUGCAUUUAAUAAUCAAUUAAUAAAAGAUUUGAAGGUGAUGUCAAUUUUGGCAACAAGAGUGAGGGCUGCCAAUUCAUGUCAUGCCGCUUUAGAUUUGGCUUUUCGUUAAAAAACAUUGUUGUUAGUUUUUUUAUUGUUAAUACUGAUUUGAACAUUUCUUUUAGAGAUGCUCUAAGAGUAUACGGUAGAUUUCAAUGGCUGAGCUUUGGUAAUUUGUAGUUGGAGUUAAUGCCGUUGAGUGGUGCACUUAUAAGAUUUUCAGGUAAUUCAGAUUAGGUUGCAUCUUUAGUUGAGAUUGAGAGCACCCUUUACACGAAUUUAAUUAUGGCAUUUUUCCCUUUCUAUUGUUGAUUUAACUGGAGGCAUUUUAUUUGAAGAUACCUUGGCAUAAACAAGAUCCUUAAACAUAUGUGUCGUGCUCUCUUUUUCCUAGUUCGACUUUUUCUGAGAUCCACUGCAAUGCAAUUUUUUUUUUUUAACAAACUAUAUUAUCUACAUUAACAGAGAAAGGACGUUAGCUAAGUCUUACAAUGGGUUAGCAAGGAAGUGGUACAAAUUCCAUUUUGAGAGAAUUGAACUUAAAACAUAUCACUUAUCGAUGACGGAGAAUACCAUUAAACUGUAGUAUUAAGUGACACAUUCAUAUGUUCUAUCAAAAGUUUUUUUUUUUUGAAGGCAGAAAAAUUGGGUACCAAUAGAGGGCACCCAAAAACAGACACAAAGCGCGGGCCUUUCAAUUCUUCCCAUACAAAAGCCCAAAUUCGAGUAACCCAAACUCUGCUGUCACCCUUUCUCCCACUUCUCCCUCGACAUUUUUCCAUCUCUCUCUGACGCCACCUCUACCAGGUAACACCGCCACUCAUCCUCCACUGCACUUGCUGAUUUUUCAGUCUCUAGCUAUUUUAUCGGAAUAAGUUCAAUUUUUGUUUUUUUUUUUUCUUUUCAUAUGGUUUCGAUCAGUGCAUAUCCAAUUCUCCGAAAUGAACCUUUCUGCUUUGAUUUGUGCAGCGAAGUUAAUAAAACCCAUAUAAUAUAAAGCUUCAAUUUUGAUUUGAGUUCCAGUCUUUGAAUUGUUUUCUUUCAAUUUGGUAGCUUGGUAGAGCAAUUUGCUAAAGUGGGUAGUUCCUGUUCCCCUCAAAUUUGCCGAAAGAUUUGAAAUUUUAGAUGAUGUUAGGAUUCUGGAUAUGGGAUUUGGUGGGUUUUGAUUAGUUUGGCAUCAAUUAGAUGGGUUUUGAGCAAUGAUGGAUUGAAUGGGCUUUUGCUGGUUUUUGUGUUUAGUUUAUCUUUGGGUUAUCUGUGAACUAGUUUUUCUUUUAGUACGAAAAUAAAAUUUAAUUGAUGGCAAGGGCAGUUUAAAUAGGGUUUUAGUAGACAAUGGAACUUGUUUUUCAUCAAAUUCUCCUUGUUAUGUAGUUUUUGUAAGUCAUCCAAGUUUGAAAGAUGAAUUCUUCUUUUAAUGAUUCAGUUCUGUGUUGAAAUCAAUUCCCGGUGUUAAUCUUCCUUUCGUUGUUCUUUGGAUUACAGAUUCUACUCGUUUUGCAAACUUUUAAAUCUUUAAUUUGUUGUAAUACUUGGUUGUUCUCUUGAUUCCGAAUAUUUUUAUUCUGUUAAUUUUUUUUUUGUUAUCGCUAGGAACAGCACUUAGUUUCUCUAGCAAUGGCUUAUGAAAUUUUUUCAUAAAUUGCCUUGCAUAAUUUAAUAAUCCUGUAAACUUUUUGAUUUAUAAUGUAUAUCUUGUUGGAAAAAAAAAUUCUCUCCAUUAAACUUUGAGUUUCUUCUCUUGGUGGUUAAUAACAGAUAAUACAAACUAUAGUCAACCAAACAGCUAUUACACUUCUGUGCUAAUCUACUGCUUUCUUGUUUCUAGGUAGAAAUUAAUCAUUGGUUGGAGAACCCAAGGGGAGGCAACUAUGUCGUUCAUGAAGGGAGAUUUACUUACGAGAACUAGAAAGCUGGUGAAGGGCCUGGCCAAGGCCGAGCCUGUUUGGCUCAAAGCCAUGGAAAAGUUUGCCCCUCUCUUUCUCACCAUUUUGUAAUUCUUGGAAUGCCUUUUCGUUUUACUUAUUUGUUAAAAACAUCAUGUAUUGUGAAUUUUUCAGGGCACCGCCUGUAACGUUUCCUCGUGCAAAUGCAAUUCAGAAAAUCACUCUCCCAGAGGAUGUUUACAUAAAGAAGUUUUUCCAGAAGCAUCCAGAUUCCAAACAUGAAGAUGCCAUCAAGUAUGGUUUAUCUUUGUUUUUUGGUAUAAUAUGAGUUGUUGUCUCGUUACUGUUGUUUGGUCUUGUCAUGAGUUUAUCCUUGGCUAGUAGAUGUGGUUGGUAAUUCAGGAUUGAACAUGUUGCGUGAAUCCGAAGACUUAAUAACUUCUUAUCAGAAAACGCAGGGCUUAUUAACUUAUCCGUCAUGUUUGAAUAGGAUUUCUUCUUUUGAUCCUCCUCCAGCCCGUAUAUUUGGUUUGCGGGUACUUGUGUUGAAGGAGCAAGGUGUUGCUGAGGAAGAAGCAAUGGCAGUAGCUGAUGUAUGUAUUUGGAUUUCCUGUCCCUAAAUGUGUGCUUUUCUAAGUUGUUUUCUGACUGAUGUUUCACGUUGUCUCCUAGAUGGAAUACCGGAUGGAGAGAAAAGAGAAGAAGAAGGCAUAUUCCCGCUUGAAGAAAAUUGCACGCCUUCAAGGGAAGAGGCCUCCUCCCAACCCAUAUCCCAGCGCUAUCAAGGAAAUACAAGCUGAGGAGAAGAAGUUUGUUCGUGACCGUUUUUACAAUCCCAAAAUUAUUCAACUUGUAAGGCAAUUGCAAGAGGACAAGGCAGCUGAAGCGCAGGAGAGAUUCAGAGCAGGAGGAGGUUCCGGGUAACUUAAAGUGCCGUCUUUUGAUAAUAAUUUAGUUCAGUUAGCUUCCUGAGAUUUUUACUGAUUUGCUCUAGCUUUUGAUCAAAUAUUAGCCUAGUGUAUUGGAAAUGAUUCUUAGGUACUUCUCAUUUGCAUCCAUUUAUGGUCAAUGAAAUGCUAUACAUUUGUGAAAAUCAUGGAAUAUGAAUGCUGCAUUUUCCGUUUUCCAGUUUGUGUAUUUUUAUGAACUGCUUAUCCUUCCAGACCACUGGUAACGUCUUUCGUAAUCCCAUACUCAAUAAUAGAUAUUUCCAGUGUUCGAAAUGUUAGCCACUUGGUUUUAAGAUGCGACUAACAACUCUUGGUCCAUCGGUACUUCUCUCUAACUAUUUUGCAGUAUGGCAAUUCAAUUGUUAUAGAGCUUCGGGUUCAUUUCUAAUAAAUCAUUAGGCAUGAAUCAUACCAUAUUUAUCGUAGACUUGCAUCCAAACUUGUUGAAGAUGGUAGAACUUCUAUGCUAGUAAAUAAGGGGGCAGUGUAGAACAUAUCAAUGGAGAAGAACCAUCUAACUGGGACGCCAAGGUGACUGUUUUCCAACCAAAUCACGUUAAGCCAUGUGAGCAAGUUAAAACACAUGACGUCGGGUAAUAGGCUUGACAUACCACCACCUUGGCGUCUUGGUUCGACUCUCAUGGUGAAUGGUUAGAUAUGACAAAGAAUCCAGCUAAUGAAUGUGUUUUGUAUGCGUUCCAUUAAUGUGUGAAGAUUGUGCAUCAGCAUGUCUUUUAUCAUUUCAUAAGCUGAUUCACCGUCGGAAACUAGUGCUUUUUUACAAGUGAUGAUAUUACCAAUCUAACGUUUUAGAUUGUCUUACAAAAGAACAUUUCUCCGAGCGAUAAAAGAUACACUCAUAAUAACAAUUCAUUUGAGAUUGACUCUGUUUGAAGUAAUAUUGCUUGUAAGCGAUUCAACUAAAAGUUUCUUUGCCAAACAUAAUUCAAAGCGUUCUAAAUUGCUAGAAAGCACUUUACUUCUCACAUCCCAUUUUACUUCUCACACACUCCCUGAUAAUUUCUGUUUGUUGAUCUUCAAUUUAUCCGAUCUAACGAUCUAAAAUUAAAAAGAUAUGUGAGAAGUAAAAUGAGAUGCAUGAAUAUCACACGAUAUCAAUUCCCACCAAAAAAUAUAAGCUGAUAAAUUACACCUUCAAUUACAAUCAACUUCUACCAGUUCAGAUUGAUAACAUUUUAAACUAUCUAACAAAAGAAUAUUUAUUCUAAAAAAAAGAGAAAAUAUUAUCAGCGAGAUAAUCAUAAAAGAGGAGAAUAACGAUUCAUUUGAGGUUGCAAAAUACUGCCCAUAAGCGACCCAACCAAAAGUUCUUUUACAAUAAACAAAGUUUAUUAAAAAUUGAUUCUACAACCCGUAAACGCUUUCAAGGUUUUGUUUUUUUUUUUGCAAACAUAGUUUAAAGCGUUUUUAAUUGCUAGAAAGCACUUUUAGCAAUUUCGGAAGUAGUCUCAAAUAGAUUGGAAACCAAAAGAGGUAUCAUUUGCUAGUGCUGAAAAUAGUAUGUAUUGGCAAUUGGUGUUAACCUAAUGGGUGAUUUUCCUCCUAAACAAUGAAUUUAACAACAUUAUCACACAUAACAAGGGUAAUAAACAUUUUCUAGGCAACCAAACAAGUCCUAAAAUUAAUUCCUUGCACGCAUUCAUAGAAGUUGAAACAUAUUAGAUAAGAUAGACCAAAAUAAAGGGGAAAAGUAUGGCCACCAAUAAAAAGCAGAGAUGAAAUAAACAUUUAACAAUACUAUCGGAUUCUCUUUGUGGGAUCGGAUGAUUAAUCAAUCAUAUCCGUUUAUCAUAUAUUAUACGAUAAAAAAUCACUUUGAAUUUUUUAUUUAAAAUUGAAGACAAAAAGUAUAUAAUGAAAAUUAGCCGCAUGAUAUACGAUAAUUGAUCUUCUAGAUCUUCACGAAGAGGAUCCGGAGAGGAUCCUCAUUCACUUUAAGGCUUCACCAACUCCAACCAACCCCCUAAAUAAAAGUAUUAACUUUGCUCGGAUUGAUGAUCUAACUUCCAACAGUAUUUAGCUCCCUCUAUGCUUCCUACAUUUAAUUUCUUGGGAGACAAUUUUCUUCACUACAAAGUCAAAUAGCAAAUCUAGAUGAGCUGCCAAGGCAAUGUGGUUGCUUAUUCGAAUUCAUUUGUUCGUAAAUUAGACUAGUUUAUGACAUUGUCUUGUCAAUCUAUUAUUUAGGCCCUUUACAAUGUGUAGAAAAAUUGAGUUUGACUCUAAUUUAAAGUCAAAAAUUUUGAGUUUGAUUUCAAUCUACUAGCAGAUGCUAUUUAAGUUAGUUGGUCAGAGUAAUGUGCUCAUCUACCAAGUUUAAAAUUAUCUACCAUUGAUUAAAUUCGAGUAUUUUUGAAUAUUGAAUUGUAAAAAAAAAAGAGUAUUUUUGCUCACCAACACAUUUAUCACUGUUAAAUAAAUUUAAAUUCAAGAUAUGUACAGUGAACAGACACAAAUUUUAAAAUUUAAAUAACUAUCCAUCACCAAAGUUGCACAUCAUCACACAUUAGAUUGUAAUGUUGGAAGAUUUUGCCAUACAACAAUGUUUGUCAUUGUUCAAUUCGACUGAUUCAAUAUUCUCUAUCGUUCUGUAUAUCUCUUAACUAUGUCUUGUGAUUUUGAGCAGAGAGGUUUUAGCAAAAAUAAUAAAAAUCUUUUAUACACACUUUGCUUGUGAGGAAUUGAAUUAUAUAAUAAAGCUGUAAACGCAUCAACAUCUCCGGUCCCAUGGGCAUUUUUGGGUGUGGGCAGCAAUUUAAUGCUCGCUUGAUCCUACAGCUAGCUAGCUGCAGGUCAAUUAUUUUGGCGGUAAUGCUUUGAAGACAAAAUUUACAAAUUAAAUGAUAUGUCACUAAUACAAAUAAACACGAUUAUCAAUACUUAAGUAGUAAAUCAAUUAUCAACUUCCAUGUUUUUAGUUUUCAAAAUUUUAUCUACAAAUUAAGUCCCUUAUCAUUACCCUUAUUUUGGUGACAAAUGAUAUUAAUCACUUAGUUAAAAGUCAAUAGAAAUCAAUCAUAUAUACUAAAACCCAGUUCGGGUGGGUACUGUUGAUGACCAGUGAGAUGACCGCUUUGCCCCUCAGUUUAUCCUUGCUUUCCUCCUUUGUGGUCUGCUUCAUACAAUAAAUUUACGGUUUUGCCCUUUUCCAUGCGUCUCUUAUCUUUGAUAUGUCCGCUUCGAGUAUGAGUAGGGAUGGGCGCGGUGCGGUUUGGUGCGGUUUUAAAGGCAAAACCGAAAUGAAACCAAACCGUUUGGUUCGGUGCAGUGCGGUUUCAAACGGUUUCGGUUCGGUUUUUGAGAAAAAAAUGUACAAUUUAAAAUAUACACUUAUUUACGCAUAAGACGGUCUUAUUUUUCUUAUAUAUUAAUUAAUGAACAUGCAGAAAAAACAGCAACAAGAAUGCAGUAAAAACAGCAACAACAUUGCAGCAAAACUGCAGCCAAAAACUGCGGAAAAAAAAAACUGCAGCCAAAAUUGCUAAUUCCUGGUCUUUAUCUAUGACUCUGCUAAUUCCUGAGAAGUGGUCUCUAUUUGCGACUCUGCUAAUUCAAUUACAUAACUCAAGCCAUGCUUCUGAUGAACAAAAAUCCUAUGAGAGUACCUCUAUCGUGACUCUGGGAUUUUGUUGCAAGUGUUUUUUAUACAGUUAUUUGGCUUCAUCAAUGAUCAGAGGCUUUUCUUAUAAUAAAUACCAAAUUUGUUGAACUCCAAUUUUCAUGAUACAUUAGUGGUUUUUGUUACAUUUAGGCAAGCACACAAGGCAAUGCCUAAAGAAAUUAAUAAUUUAGAACUUAAAUUGAUACUUUAAGAGAUGAACAUGAGUUUUGAGAGAGAGAUGAAGAUGAGUUUUGAGAGACAGAGAAAGAUAAAUGAAUAUAAUGACUUGAAUAGUGUAGUUGAAGUUGAACUAAUUAAAAGUUAAAACAUAACAUUCAAAAUAUAUGGUGCGGUUUCGGUUUUGGUAUGGUACGGUUUUGAAAAUCUAAAACCGAAACUAAACCGUUUUCUUUGUUGCGGUUUGGUUUCGAAACCGCAACCGUUUUAAAAUCGCAAAAUCAAACUGUUCGGUGCGGUCCGAUUUAAUUUGUGUUUCGAUUUCGGUUUUCGGUUCCAAAUGCCCACUCCUAAAUGUACGAGAGUUUUCUAUUUCGUUUAAACCUUUAUUUCUUCUGCUCAUUCUCUGAUCCGUGCCUUAUUCUCACUGUUUUUCUUUGAUAUUGUGGUGUUUUGAACCCAAAAUUUUUCGUAUUUUAAGUGAUAUACUACGAGGAAGACAUCCUCCAAACCCUCUACAUAAGCAUCGAGGUAAAUCCCGCUUCUGCUCUGCUGCACAAAUUAUUUGUUAUUUUCCGUAAUAUAUUUGAUUUCUAGAACUGUAAUUUCAGAUUAUUGCCCCUUUCGAUUUUUGUCAGUUUGGACCAAACCCUAACCGUUUGGUUUUGUGAUCAGUAGCACUCUUUGUUAUCUCACUUCAUAAAUCUCGGAUUUGGCAGGAAUUGGAACGGCGCUGUUAUUUUUUGGGUGUGUUAUCUCUGCUUCUGUUUAUCCCAAUUUUAAUAUGUAUUUGCAAUUGUUGGAUUAAAAAGGGUUUGUGAUUUGUGAAAAAAGAUGAGUCAAGCGACUCCAAUUUUUGAAAGUUAUCUGGUUUUGGUUUGUAUCGAAAACAGGGAACACUGAGAGGGAGAUGAUGACAUAAAGUAUUAAGUUUAAUUGUGAUUUAAAUUUUUUUAUGUUGUUAGCGGAUGAAUCCAUCUGUUGGUUGAAGUGAUAGGUGUAAAAAAAUGAAUAUGCCAAGGUGUAAAUAGUUGGAGGUUUAUGGUAUUUUGCAGGUUUUCUGUUGGUUCAUGGUUUUGGUAGUUUUGAUUUCGUGAGAGGCAUAGAGAGUAUACACUGAGACAAAUAGGUGGGAAGACAGAACAAGGGAAGGGGAAAAUGAGAGAGACACGGGUUGGGCCAUUUUUUUUUUAUAAUUGAUUUGGGGUUUUGUUUGGGUUUGGGGUUGUGAUGUUUCUGUAUUUAAUUUGGUAUUUCAUAGUUUGGGGUUGAGUCGUUAUUUUUUUGGACUUUAUGAUCUCAUUUGUGAUUAUCAAGUGCAUAAUGGUUAAUUGUAAUUUUCAAAUUUUUAUGCUAUUAGUAGUUAAAACUAGGGGAAUGGCUCCAAUUUUGUUAGUCAAUUAAUUUAUUUUUUUGUGUAUCUCAAGCUUCUAAUUGAUUUCCUGCAUCAUUGCUUAGUUUUAUUCACUGAGAUUUGAGUGGUUAAUUUUUUUUACCUUAUGACCUCAUUUGUGAUUAUCAAGUACAUAAUGGUUAAUUGUAAUUUUCAAUUCUUUAUGUUGUUAAUGGUUAAAAUUAGGGGAAUAGCUCCAAUUUUGUUGGUCAAUUAAUUUAAUUUAAUUUUUGAUAUAUCUCAAGCUUCUAAUUGAUUUCCUGCAUCAUUGCUUAGUUUUAUUCACUGAGAUUUGAGUGGCUAAUUUGGAUCAAACUCUAAUGAUUUUCCUUUUCAACAGUUGUGGUCCUCUGUUAGGAUUUUCCUGGAAAAGAGUAUAUUUUCCGUUUUGGUUGCUCAGUUGCUCAAUCACAAAUUUGCAAAUAGCUCUGGUGGUGCUAUUAUUUUUGGGUAUGUUUUCUGUCAUUUUUUCCCCUGUUUGAUCAUGCAUUUAUGAAUGUUGGAUUAAAAUGUGUUUAUUUUUGGGAAGAAAUGAGACGGCUAGUUAGAGUUUUAGAAACCUUUGUCUUUCUUGCUUUUUAUGGCAAUGAGAAGAAGGAAGAAAACAUUGAUCUUAAUUGUAAUUUUCAGUUCUUUACACUGUUAGUGCUGAAACCUCUGUUUUGUAGACAAAUAGCUGACAUGUGAACAUUUGCAAAUCCAUGUUAUUUUCUAAGUUGUUUUUUAUUUUCCAAUGUAUUUUUUUCUUCAUAUGAACCUGGAUGAAAUGAUUGUUGGUGGUUUUUAACCAGAUGCUUUGUUUCAAAAUGAUUAAUCCUAUUAAGAAUAAAUAAUUGCUUGGGGUAUAAAAUGUGUAUUGUUGAUGCUUUGGUCAAUCUGACCAUAAAAAUAGAGUGCAUUUUGGUUUCUUUGACUCUUUUGUUUGCUUUGUUUGUUGUUUGGACCUAAGCUUAAAAUACUUACACAAUACUUGACAAGAAAAAUAAUAUUUAGGAUUAGGUUAGUGUUUAUGCAAUGAUAACCAUAGACAAUUAAUUCUCUGGUGACUUAUUUCAUGCUUUAGUUUGGAAACUCUUGUUUUUGUCAUAUAUAGAAUACUAGCACGGCGUGCAAAUGCGUUAUCGAUUGACUUCUAAAUGGUGGUUAAUUUAGUUUAUAAAUUUGUAAUGCAUGUGUUCUCUAACCUUGAGCGACUGUACAUGAGGACAUAAGACGUCUUUUGGGUGAGAAAUCUGCUUCCUUGAUAUGGGCAGCGAGUCAGUUUGGUUCGACUCUUGAUCCGGAGCAGAGACUAACUGUUCUUCACAUCCAAGCUCGUCUUGUGAUAGGGUCCUUAGGUCUGUACAGAAUCUGAACAUAGAAAAGCACCCUAGGCAUUUUGUUUUGUUUUUCUCUGUACUUGAAUGAAAUACAAUCAGUAAUAUGUAAGAGAAUGGUCGGCUUCAAUGAAAUGUUUGCCUUGACAUUUUGUGCAGUAUAAUUUCAAAAUCAUACAACAUUCUACGGACUAACGUGACGGUAGGUAAAACUCCUCAUGCGAGUCUGGAAGCCCUCGCAUUGACAAUAAUCACACAAUGAAUGAACAGUCACAAGUGAAUAAAACGCAAGAAACCGUUGUCGCUAAAAGACCAAAUAUCAAUAAUAAUGUUCCAAUAGUAUUGCAUUAACAACACUUUAGCAUAAUUUCUAUGCAAAUACAUUUAAGUCAGUCAAUUAUUGUGUGAAUAAAUCUGUAAAGACCGAGUAGAAUAAAGUCGGUCAAUUAUUGAAGUAUCACAUGGAGUGUCGCAUGGGGUCCAAGUCAAGACAAUAGUUUCACUUGCAUCGUGGAAAUUUUGGUUUGUAAGUCCCUAUUGUUCUUAAUUUGUAAUUUAUUUUGAAGCGUGAUUAAGAUAAAUGACAAACGAAAGUGGAGAAGAAUCAUUAUUUUAUGGGAGUCAUUCAUCCUUCCUCUUAUCCUCCAAAACGACUUUUGACUGUUUGCAACUUGUUUGAAAAGAAAAAAAGUGAUGAUUCUUCAUUAACAACACUUUAGCAUAAUUUCUAUGCACAUACAUUUAAGUCGGCCAAUUAUUGUGUGAACAAAUUUGUAAAGACCCGAGUCGCGGUAGAAUAUAGUCAGUCAAUUAUUGAAGUAUAGCAUGGAGUGUCGCAUGGGGUCCAAGUCAAGACAAUAGUUCCACUUGCAUCGUGGAAAUUUUGGUUUGCAGGUUCCUUCUCAACUUGUAAUUUACUAUGAAGCGUGAUUAAGAUAAAUGACAAAUGAAAGUGGAGAAGAAUCAUCUAUUUUGUGGGAGUCAUUUAUCCUUUCUCUUAUCCUCCAAAACGACUUUUGACUGUUUGCAACUUGUUUGGAAAAAAAAAAAAUGUGAAUUUGUCUCUCAAAAGUUGAGGCCUUUUUUUGCGUAUUUUAGCCUGAUCUAAAUAACAUAAAUUAUGCAUUCUGACUAUUUGCAACUUGUUUGAAAUUAAAUGUAAAUUUGUUCUCUCAAAAGUUAAGAUGGUGUCUGUGCUUUUUAGCUUGGUUCAAAUAACAUGAAUUACGCGCAUAUACGUUGUUUUCUAAUUUCACAAAAAACAAAAAAACUUCUAAAACGUAAACAGAACGAACAAUCAACGCGGAAUUGUGUUGAUUGUUGCAGGCUUUGCCAUUGUUUUGGAGAGACGAGUCAUCCUCUAAUUACUACACCUACCUACAGAAAAGUAGCUGGUCCACUCACACAUGUUAAUUACUACACCUACCUACCUACAGACGAGUCAUCCACCUAUCUACCUACGGACGAGUCAUCCUUAUAAUACACUCGCAGCUUUCCUUUUGCUCCUAAAUCAAUUCUGAUUGUACACUUCUUCUUCUUCUUCAAUCUUCAAUCGUCUUUGCCUUGAUUUUGUUGAAUUAAGAUGGAGAACGACGGAACGGCGCUUGAAGAAACUCUUUCAUACUUCCAUUGUGGUGCUACUUUUUCUACAAUGUUUCAACCCUUCCCUAUCCUCUGGAUUCAAUCAUGUUUCUUUCGGUUUCGGAGCAAUUGCCCACCGGGUGGUGACGAGGUGCAUAGAGAGUGAAAGGGAAACACUCCUUUCUUUCAAACAAGGUCUGAUUGAUGACUACAAUCUCCUCUCCUCGUGGGGAAGAGAAGAACACAAGCAAGAUUGUUGCAAAUGGGUAGGCGUCCACUGCAGCAACCGAACCAACCAUGUUACUCAACUUCAUCUUGGAUGGUCUUCUAUGCGUCAAGCUUACUCACUUCAACACAAAGGUCACCUGGAAGAUACCGAAUAUUAUUUACAAGGUAAGAUGAUGAGUCCUAAACUGAUUGAGUUGCAGCAUUUGAAAUAUUUGGACCUUUCGUUGAUUAACUUCAAUGGAAGCCAAAUUCCAGAUUUCAUUGGUUUUCUUUCCAACUUAAGACACCUCGAUCUCUUUGUUGCUUAUUUUGGUGGUCGAAUUCCAACUCAGAUUGGAAACCUUACUCACUUGCAAUAUCUUAAUCUCAGCUACAAUAACUUUGCUAAUGUAGAAAAUCUGAAUUCAUGGCUGCCUCAUCUUUCUGCUUUAACAUAUUUGGACCUGACAUACAACAAUCUCAGUAAUGUUCCUGACUGGAUGGAAGCAGUUAAUAAACUCCCUAAACUUACAAACUUGUCUCUGUCUUAUUGCAGUCUUCCUUCUCGUCUAAUUCAUUCCAGUACUCUUUUUAACAUAAAUUCUUCUAAAUCUCUUGCUCAUGUUAAUCUCAGAUCCAACCAACUCUCAUUUUCUUCAUCUUCUUCCAUAUUUGUGUGGUUAUCCAAAUACAAUGCCGGCCUUGUUCAUCUUGACCUCUCUGAAAACCAAAUUGAAGGAGGGAUUCCGCAAUCUUUUUCCGGGUUAUGUAAUCAGCAAGAAUUGUACCUUUACAAUAACACUUUGAGUGGACAGUUUUCCUGGUUGGUUCAAAUAUUAAUGUCUGCAUGCCCUGAUCAGAACUCAUUAGAGACUCUGUCCCUCUCAAAGAAUCAUCUUUCUGGAUCAAUUCCUAAUCUCACAAACUUUUCAUCAUUGAAAGAAUUAUCUCUCGAUGACAAUCAAUUGAGUGGAACAAUACUUGAAAGCAUUGGGCAUAUGUCCACGCUUGAGGCUAUCUACCUUGGUAUGAAUGCUUUGGAAGGUGUGGUUUCGAAAAGCCACUUCUCCAACCUCUCCAGAUUAAGGAGUUUGGAUAUGUUCAAUACCUCACUAUCUUUAAGCUUCAGUUCUAAUUGGUCUCAUCCUUUCCAAUUAGAGUAUAUAAAAUUAUGGUCUUGUAAGGAGGGUCCACAUUUUCCAAAAUAGCUUCAAAAUCAGAAAAGUUAUAAGAGACUUGAUAUUUCUAAUGCCAGAAUUUCUGAUAUCCUUCAAAGUUGGUUUUGGAGCCUUCUGUCUCAUCAGGAUCUUAGAUCUAUUUCUAUAGAUUUUUCCCACAACCGAAUUAGAGGAACAAUUCCAAAUUCAAGAUUUGAGUUUUCCUCAUCUUCCUUUAGUCUAGUGAAUUUGAGUUAGAACUAAUUGGAAAGUCCAGUCCCUUCAUUCAUUUCCACAUCGAUAUCUUUAGAUCUCUCCAACAAUAAGUUUUUAGGGUUAAUUUCUUUCAUGUGUCCAAGGACUUCGAACAAGGUUAGUCAUAUAGCCUUUCUUGAUCUCUCAAGCAACAAUUUGUACGAACAACUUCCUAAUUGUUGGACACGUUUUGAAAAUCUUGCCUUUCUUGAUUUGAGUGAUAAUGCUCUUUUUGGAAAAAUUCCUACCACAAUGAGCUCUUUACCUUCUAUUCAAACACUAAAGUUAAACAAGAAUAGGUUUGUGGGGAAUUGACUUUAUCCUUGAAGAACUUUACCACACUCAGUGUUUUUAAUGCUAGAGAAAAUAACUUAUCAAGUUUGAUACCUGAAUGAUUAGGGGUUGAACUUCCAAAUUUGGCUAUCCUUAUCCUCCGUUCUAAUCACUUCUAUGGAAGCAUUCCACCACAAUUGUGUAAACCCAACCCCUAACCAUUCAGGUAUCAAACCUGAUAAGUUAUUUUCUCCAACAUCAAAAACACUGAGUGUGGUAAAGUUUUUCAAAGAUGAAGGCAAUUCCCCCACAAACCCAUUCUUGUUUAACUUCAGCGUUUGAAUAGAAGGUAAAUAGUCCGUUGUGGUAGGAAUUUUCCCAAAAAGAGCAUUAUCACUCAAAUCAAGAAAGCCAAGAUUUUCAAAACGUGUCCAACAAUUAGGAAGUUGUUUGUACAAAUUGUUGCUUGAGAGAUCAAGAAAGGCUAAAUGACUAACCUUGUUCAGAGUCUUUGGACACAUGAAAGAAACUAACCCUGAAAGCUUAUUGUUGGAGAGAUCUAGGGCUAUUGCUAUGGAAAGGAAUGAAGGGACUAGACUUUCCAAUCGGUUCCAUCUCAAAUUCACUAGACUAAAGGAAGAUGAGGGAAACUCAAAUCUUGAAUUUGGAAUUGUUCCUCUAAUUCGGUUGUUGGAAAGAUCUAUAGAAAUAGAUCUAGGAUCCUGAUGAGAUAGAAGACUCCAAAACCAACUUAGAAGGAUAUCAGAAAUUCCUGCAUUAGAAAUAUCAAGGCUCUUAUAACUUUUCUGAUUUUGAAGCCAUUUUGAAAAAUGUGGACCCACCUUACAAGACCUCAAUUUUAUAUACUCUAAUUGGAAAGGAUGAGUCCAAUUAGAACUGAAGCUUAAAGAUAGUGAGGUAUUAGACAUAUCCAAACUUCUUAAUCUGGAGAGAUUGGAGAAGUGGCUUUUCGAAACCACACCUUCCAAAGCAUUCAUACCAAGGUAGAUAGCCUCGAGCGUGGACAUAUGCCCAAUGCUCAACAAUUUGGCUAAAAAAGUAAGUUCAAGUAUAGCAUCCUUGAUAUGGAAAGGCAUUCUAUCCAAAUACAGAAGUACUAUGGGGCUUGUAAGUGUAUUCAUCUGUCAAGUAAUCGAUUAAUAGGGGAGAUUCCUAGGGAAAUCACUGAUCUUGUGAGGUUGGUUUCUUUAAACCUGUCAAGAAACAAUUUAACAUGUCAAAUAACUCCAACGAUCAGGAAGUUGGAGUCCUUAGAGUCCCUUGAUUUGUCAAGAAACCACAUAUAUGGUGGAAUACCAACAAGCCUUUUUCAAAUAUAUGGUCUUGGUGAUUUGGACUUGUCAAACAACAACUACAACAACAACAAAGCAUUUUCCCACUAAGUGGGACUCGGCUCCAAAGCCUUUUCAAACAACAACUAGUUUGGAAAAUUCCAAUUGGGACUCGGCUCCAAACCUAUGAUCCAUCUGAUUUUGCUGGAAAUACUCUACUUUGUGGAAUUCCACUUCAACAGUUGUGCUGUCCUGAGGAAACAAGUCCAGAGGAGCAACCAAUGUUUGGGGAUCAAGUUAAAGAUAAUGAUGGGCUUAUAACAACAUGAUUUUACUUGAGUUUGGCGCUUGGUUUUGUUGUUGGAUUUUUGGGAGUUUGUGGGAGUUUGAUAUUCAUCAGGUCAUGGAGAUACACAUGCUACAAGUUCUUGAAUUGUGUGUACGAUUGGCUUUUUGUGAGGGUGGCGUUGAUCAGGUGACGAAGAAUGAUUGAUGGGUAAAAUGUAAGUACUCUUGCACAUAAUGAAUAAUAUUAUUGCAGUUUUGAGUCUAUUAAAUUAUGACUAAUAUAUGUUGCGUUUGUUUUAAUCUUUUUAGCUCGUUCAUCUACCGUUGGCAAGCACUGCUCCCUUUAAACUAGAGAAGAAGGAGAUUGAAGAGUGCAAUUUGAAGUUAUAAUUUAGUGAAAGUGUUGUGUUUAAUUUAGUGGCCUUUUUGAGGCUAUUUACAGUGACCGUAUUCUUUAUGCCGACACCAAACUUUAAGUUCAUGUGGAAAUCUAUUUAUACGUUGAAUAACACACUAAUCUGUAAAUAUUUUUUUACAGAUAGUGUGCAAAUUUCUUUCUUUCAGACUGUGUAUGCUUAUGACGUGAUAAACAUAUUAGAAGUUUGCGAUUUAAUAUGUUACUCCCAAAUGUGAUUGUUAUUCUGUGAAUUCGCUAAAAUUUAAGGUUGUGUGUAUUGUUGUUUUUAAAACCCUUUGCUUAGUAAUACAUAAUUGAAUAUGAGCUCUUCCAUUUGAUAAUAUCUUAAACUGCUUAAGAUAUACAUCAUAAGCAACCAUGCUUACAAAUUUCAGCACUCUUAGAAACAACAUACACUAAUCUACAACGGUUUCUAAUCUUACUCAAGGCUUCAAAUACACUCGUGUGUCACAUGAUUUGAAACGUGCAAUUUAAUUACAAUGUAUUUGGAUUGCACAUUUCAAAUCUUGUGACACACAAGUGUGAGUGUUUUAGAUUGAUGAAUUUUAGUCAUCUAACGAGAUAUAAACUUGUUUCGUUCCAAGUGAGUAAUUAAGCAAAAAUAGUACUCAUGUGACCAGCAGGCAGCAAGGAUGUGAGGCAUCUGAUAUACAUGCAAUGGCUAAAGUUACUUACAAAACUAAACGAAACGUCGUCGUCUGUUAGCUGUGUUUGGGCCAAAAGCGUGGUCGUUUUGAUCAGAACAUUUCCGGGGCAAAAAGCAGAAGAGAAAGAUUGAAAUUCUAAAAAGAGAGAGUAAAAGACUGGGGCGAGGUCACGCUCCAGACCGCCGUCCACCGCCGUAGGCGAUCCGGCCAACUUGUUGACCUGCAGAGAUUCUAUAGCGAGGUCACGCUCGCGUUCUGGAGCGGCCUCCGCGACCUUCCGCCGAGUUCUCGUUCCUCCGCGUCCGCGGCCUCCUCAAUUUCCUCCGAUCCGUCGCCGAGUCCGAUUCCACCGUCAACCUCUUCUCUCAAACGCAAUUGCUCCCCGAGCUUCAAGGUAACCAGAAAAUUACAAAAUUCCUAGUACAUGGCGAGGAGGUUUGGGGAGAGAACGUGGUGGCUGCCUCAGUGAGUCACGUGGUUGCCGAAGUGACAAGGUUGUUGAAGGUUCAGCGCGGGAAAGUUUGGUUGAUUGGUGCAACGGCUAGCUAUGGAAGUUACUUGAAGUUUGUGGGGAGGUUUCCAUCUGUUGAAAAAAAAAAAAAAACUGGGACUUGCAGCUUCUGCCCAUCACUUCUCUCAGAGCUGCUUCCAUGGCUGAAUCAUAUCCCAGGUCCAGCUUGAUGGAGUCGUUUGUUCCAUUUGGUGGAUUCUUUUCAGCACCUUCUGACCUAAAGCUCCCACUCGCUGGGCUCUGCGGUAUUUGUAUGGAAAGUUUAGUUGAUUGGUGUAACGGCUAGCUAUGGAAGUUACUUGAAGUUUGUGGGAAGGUUUCCAUCUGUGGAAAAAAAACUGGGACUUGCAGCUUCUGCCCAUCACUUCUCUCAGAGCUGCUUCCAUGGCUGAAUCAUAUCCCAGGUCCAGCUUGAUGGAGUCGUUUGUUCCAUUUGGUGGAUUCUUUUCAGCACCUUCUGACCUAAAACUCCCACUCGCUGGGCUCUGCGGUAUUUGUAUGGUAGCCGAUGCAGCGGGAGUGGAGCAUCAUCGUUGGGCAGAGGAGAAGAAAACUGGAGACGAUGGAGACUGCCUGGCCAUCAUAGUAACUCGCUGCUGCUGACCAAUCACGAACCUUUGUUGGUUGUCUAAAGAACUUGACGUUUGACUGUCUCAAUGCUGACUUUUGAAGUUUCUGAUUUUGUAUUAUGGAAAUCGUAAUAAGAGCAUACGUAGGUUACAAAUAUAUAUGGGAGUUUGAGUGAGUUGCAAACUACACUCAACACUCAAGUUAUCUAUCCCAAAUCUCCUUGAAUCAUGCUAAACAGCCGGCAUAGGUAACAUAACUAAGCUCCUUGGAUUAAGGAGUUGACAACAAGAUAAGACCCUUAUACAAGUUGAUGAGAACAAGAAAAUAAAUGGCUAUUAACUAGGUAAAACACUAAUAAGGUUGACACAAACCCUAUUACCCAGAUAAUACUGAGAAACACUAAUCAUGAGGAACCUUAAGUAACCAGAGGUCUUUCAAUACUCCCCCUUAAGCUGGAUCCAGAAGUUUGAUGGAUCCAAGCUUGCUGAGAAGCUUUUGAAACUGAUGGGAGGCUAAUGGUUUGGUGAAUAAGUCUGCAAGUUGAUUGUAGCUCCUGCCAAAAUGAGUUUUGAUGACCUGUGAUUGUACUUGUGCACGAACAUAGUGACAAUCAACUUCAAUGUGCUUGGUUCUCUCGUGGAAGACGGGGUUGGAAGCAAUGUGCAUUGCUGCCUGGUUGUCACAGAAAAAGGGACAUGGAGUGAGGAGUGAAGACAUCUAAGUUACAUAGUAGACCUUUCAGCCAUAUUAGUUCACACGCAAUAGAUUCCAUGACUCAAUAUUCAGCCACAUCACUUGAUCUUACAACGACUGCUUGCUUUUUACUUUUCCAUGUAACAAGGUUGCCUCCCACAAACGUGCAAUACCCCAUUGUAGACUUACGAUCAAUAGAGUUGGCAACCCAAUUAGCAUCAAAUAACCUGUGAUCUAAGUGCUCUCAUUCUUCUUCAUGAUUAUGCCACGACCCACUGAACCUUUUAGGUACCGAAGUAUUCUUUUGACAAGAUUAAAAUGCUCUAUCGUGGGAGAGUGCAUAAAUUGGCUAGCAAUGCUUACUGAAUAGGCUAUGUGAGACCUUGUAAUAGUCAAAUAUAUCAACUUACCAACAAGUCGUUGAUAAUAGCUUAUGUUUAGAAGUGGUUGCCUCUUCAAGCUGAGUUUGAGCUUGAUGUCAAGAGGUGUAUGGACAUGUUUAGCAUCACUCAUGUUUGCUUCCUUGAGAAGAUCCAUGACAUAUUUCCGCUGGUUGAGAAAGAAACCCUUGUGAGAGGUUGCCAUUUCUAUUCCAAGACAAUAUCUCAGUAUUCCAAGAUCUUUGAUUGCAAAACGUUGUUGUAGUGAAUGCUUGAGCUUCUUUAUUUCUUCAGGGUUGUCUCCUGUAAUGAUCAAAUCAUCUACAUAUACAAGGACUACCAAUUUCCCAGCAGUUCUUGUGCACACGAACAAUGAGGAGUUUGCGUUGCUUCUUUUAAAACCAACACUUGUAAGGACUAAACUGAGCUUGGCAUACCAAGCUCUCGGUGACUGUUUAAGACCGUAAAUUGAUUUGUGCAAUUUACACACAACAUCAUGUUCAUGACUUUGAGGAUGACUUGGGGGUAAUCUCAUGUAGACUUCUUCUUCAAGAUCACCAUGUAAAAAGGCGUUCUUUACAUCUAUUUGAUACAUAGGCCACCCUUUGUUAACAACAACUGAAAUGAGUACUCUCACUGAGUUCAUCUUUGCAACAGGAGAAAAGGUUUCCUUGUAGUCCACAUCAAAUGUUUGAGUAAAUCCAUGAGCCACUAAUCUUGCCUUGUGUCUUUCUAUGGACCCGUCUGAGUUGAAUUUAACCUUGUAUAUCCAUUUACAACCUACUGUCUUAUUUCCUUUGGGUAGUGUCACAAUGCUCCAGGUUUUAUGUUGAUCAAGGGUAUGCAGUUCAUCUUGCAUAACUUGCUGCCAAACCUGUGAUUGAUUUGCUUCUUGAAAUGACUGAGGCUCAACAUGCUCAGAUACAUUACAAACAAAAGCAGUGUAUUUAGAUGACAAUUUUUGAUAGGACACAUAGUUGGACAGUGGAUGCCUUGGCUUGUAAGUGACAAAGUCUUGCAGUCUUGUUGGAUGAUGUCUUUCACGAAUGGGAUUUCGUUGAGGCGCAGCAGAAUGAGACUCGUAUGAAGAUUCCUCAGGUGCAACAUUAUGGAGAGAUUCAUCUUCAACAGAAGUGUUGGUGUCAUCACUUGAAUCUGGUUGGUCAGUUGCAGCGCGGGACUUUGUGUGAUGUGCAGACACCAUUGCAUUAGAUUGAGUGACUUCAGUGGCAAGUAUCUCAGUCCAUGGCAAUGGAAAAAGGUCCAAGAAACACUUCCCAUGACUUAUACUAUCCAGAGAUUUGCUGUAAUAAGGGUUAGUUUCAUGAAAUCUAACAUCCUUGGAAACAAUUAAUCUCUUAAGUUGUGGAUUGUAACAUUUGUAUCCUUUUUGUGUGGAUGAGUAACCAAGGAAAAUACAUUUGGUUGCCCUAGGAUCUAGUUUGUCUCGAUGCAAGGGCUGAACAUGGACAAAACAAAUGCAUCCAAAGACCUUAAGGCGUUGCAAGUCCACUUUUCUAUUUUUGACCAUUUCCAUUGGUGAUUUGAACCCCAAAACCCUGCUAGGUAACAUGUUGAUCAAGUAAGCUGCUGCCACAACACUUUGAGACCAAAAUCAUUUUGGUACAUUCAUUUGGAACAUCAAGGCCCUAGUUUUUUUAAGAAGAUCUCGAUUUUUUCUCUCAACAAUACCAUUUUGUUGGGGUGUGCCAACACAAGCAUGAUGCCAUUGUUGCUCAAAUAUUGAGUCAUGACUUGGGACAUCUAUUCGGUGCCAUUAUCAGACCUUAGAGUUUUGAUUUGAGAGGAAAAAUGAUUUUUAACAAGGUUAUGAAAGUCCUUAAACACUUCCAUCACUUCACUCUUUGAUUUUAACAAAUAUAACCAAGUGGCUCUUGAAUAAUCAUCAACAAAGGUUAUGAAAUAUUUGUAACCAUCAAAAGAUUCACUAGUUGGUCCCCAUAUAUCAGAGUGUACAAGUUUAAAAAGAUGAAAAGCUCUAGACAAAGAUGAACCUUGAGCUAGUCUAGUUGCCUUUGACAUAUGGCAAGUUUCACAGUGAAUUUGUUCUUUGCUUAGGUCGGGAAACAAGGUUGACAAAACAUGUUGAGAAAGGUGAGCUAGUCGCUGGUGCCACAAGGAAUGAUCUUGAUGGAGGCAUGGAUGAACUUAGACUUGGCUUGGAAUCCAUUGGGAGAGCUUUUCGAUAUGUAAUAGAGACCGUCUAGGUAAAACCCCUCACCAAUCGUCCUCUUGGUGACACAAUUCUGAAAAAUGACAUUUUCUGGUGAAGAAAUGGCUAAAUAGUUUAAGGAAUUUGUGAUUUUUCCCACUGAGAUAAGUUGGAAUGGAAAUGAAGGAACAUAUAAGGCCAUAGACUCUAUUUGGUCUGAUAUCAAGUGAAUUUUUCCCUUUCCUACAAUCCUAGCACCUUCACCAUUAGCUACAGACAUAUGUGAUGGUUUAUGAAGUUUCUAAAAUUUAUGCAAUUUUGACACUUGAUUAGUCAUAUGAUUUGUGGCACCUGAAUCUACAACCCAAAAAUCAUGCAACUUAUUGAUUGUAAGAGCAGUUUCGAAAGCAUUCACGAUACCUUUCAUGUCUUGUUGAGGUAAGCGAUCAGCAUCGACAAAAAAACUUGCAAACUUGCCCAACAAUGCAGUGGCACUUCCAUAUGGUCAACAACUCGAUCUUCCCUUCCCGUCUUCUAUUGGAGAUAGGCUGCAAACUUAUUUAUAAGAGUAGCAAGAUUUGUAGUGAACUGUUGGUAAGAAUUUGAACUGUUGAUAGAUGAAGAUGAUGCAGUGUUGGCAUGAGGAUAUGCUUGACUUGUCUUCUGUGCAAUCUUAUCCUUCAUGACUUCAGGCUUGAGCUUUGGAUGCAGGAUCCAACACUUAUCUCUCACAUGCUCGAUGUUGUCACAGUGUAAGCACUUCAGAUGAGGGUUUUUUCCUUUGUACCUUUUUUCAUGUCAGAUAAGCCCUAGCUUCAAUCACAUUGGUUUUUGUACCACUGUUCAUGACUUUUCUUCUCACUUCCUCACGUUAGAUGGUUAAACAAAUGCUAGUGAAGGAUGGUAGCUCAGGAUUCAUGAGGACAUGACUUCUCAAAUCCUCAUAUUCUGAGCUCAAGCUAGACAUCAAUUGAAAUUUUUUAUCUUCUUCAGUUCUUUUAAGAAUCACCUUGGGAUCAGUUGUAUGAGGUCUGUAGACAUCUAGCUCAUUCCACAUGCUUCUUAGAGAACCAAGAUGUUGAACAAAAGUUUUACCUUUUUGUUGAAUGUUGGAGAUAUCAUUCUUGAGUUGAAAGAUGCGUGCAAAGUUGUUUUAAUUACCAUACAUCUCCUUCACAAUUGUCCAGAGAGUGAGAGAUGACUCAGAAUAGCUGAAGAUUUCAGCAAUCUUCCUUUCCAUGGAAAUAAGCAACCAUGACAUGACCAAUUGAUCUUUACAAAGCCACCCUUCAUAUUUUGGAGAAGUAACUUCAAGAGCAGAAUGACUGCCAUUGAUGAAACCAAGUUUGGAUCUUCCACCAAGCGCAAGACUAACAACUCUUGCCCACGACACAUAAUUAAACUCAUUCAGUAACACUGAACUAAGUCGUUUAUUUGGAUUGAUAUCCAUUUUAGAGAUGCUAGCAGAAGGAGAAGCAAUGAUGCUUUCAUCCUCUAAAUUCUCAUCAGUUAUAUUUUUGCUGAAGGAAAAUCACAACAAGUGAGAUAUACAAAGAUAGACUCAGAAGGAUGCCCGCUCUAAUAUCAUGUUGACUUUUGAAGUUACUCAGAAGGAUGCCCGCUCUAAUACCAUGUUGACUUUUGAAGUUUCUGAUUUUGUAUUAUGGAAAUCAUAAUAAGAGCAUACGCAUGUUACAAAUAUAUAGGGGAGUUUGAGUGAGUUGCAAACUACACUCAACACUCAAGUUACCUAUCCCAAAUCUCCUUGAAUCAUGCUAAACAGGCGGCACAAGGAACAUAACUAAGCUCAUUGGAUUAAGGAGUUGACAACAAGAUAAGACCCCUAUACAAGUUGAUAAGAAUAAGAAGAAAAUAAACGGCUAUUAACUAGGUAAAACACUAAUAAGGUUGACACAAACCCUAUUACCUAGAUAAUACUAAGAAACCCUAAUCAUGAGGAACCCUAAGUAACCAGAGGUCUUUCAAUACUCAACUUGUACAAUUCCUUGUUGAAUAUGGGCCCACGAGAGAUGUGAAGAUGAUUGAUUGGCGUUUGAAAGCUGUCCCAUGAAAAUAGUGUUGAAAGCCCAACACCAACGCCAAUCCAAAACAAAGGCGACCCUACAUUUGUGGGUGGGGGAGGUACUGAGAUUUGUGGUUUGACACCAACUGAAGAUGUUUCUUGGGUACUCGAAGAAGAAAUGCUCGCAAAACAUUCCGCUUCUAACUUUGUUGGGAGGCGAGUGGCACUGAAGCGACCAUUGGCUCUGGAAUUCUGGUGAUUUUUGGAGUUUCUGAGAUUCGCAGAGCAUUGAAAGAGAGGGAACCGACUAGAGUCUAUCUUUUUUUUUUCUUCCAAAGAAUAUGUUGCCUUUGUAAUAAAAUUGACUUUCAUUAGUCAAGCCUUUAUUUUGAUGUGACUGAACUCGAAGUUGAAUGUUCGAGCUACCUACAUACCCUUCCAAAGAAGAGAUCAAGUCAGAACGUAGUUCAAAUAUGUUUUGUUUUUGUGCUGUACGCAGUUUAUGCUUAUGCGGGCCAGGAGCAUUUGGUGCCAUUUGCAGUUUCAACUCAUGCAGGCAAUAAACUCUUGGUGUGGAUUUGGUGCUGUUUGCAGUUUCAGCUCGUGUAGGCAAUGAGCGUUAGUUGUCGCCUUUUAGGCUCGUGCGGACGAUGAGCUCUUGGUGUAGAUUUGUCAAGCGAUCUUGGAGAGGUGUUCAUCGCAAUCUUUAUAGCAAGAAGUCUUGAUCGAGGGAUUGAAGAAGUCUUCGGGGAAGAAAUCGCGCAUCGUGAUGGGGAUGGACGAUCUUCGUGUCGAAAUUUCAUCAUCCUCAACACUUUCACGUUGCCUUGGAGGUUGACAAGAGCUUCUUUGCCCUAUUUUCGAUUGUUGAACUUGUGGACGACAAGUGUCACGCCCCGAUCCCGACAUACGUCCAAGAUCGACACGUGAUGUCAACAAAUACCCAUAUCUCAAAAGUCAACCCUCGGUCAACGGUAGGGUCCACAACUCUACAUAAUUCGAUCCGAAAGAUCAACCCAUCAGAUUUCAGAUCCGUAACUUCUUAAGGUCUCAUUAUACUCAUAAAACAUCAUACUAAAGUCUCACCAUAAUUCGACGGUUGGAUCUUCGCCAAUUGCUAGAAUUAGGUGGCGGUUAACAAUUAAUUUUACUAACUUAGAAAUCUAAUUCGGGAAAACCCAUACGUCGGAUUCCCGAUCCGUCAGCUCCAGCUAUCCUCAAAUAUUACGUUCUAUAACGCAUUAAAGUUUGGUGACGAUCCAACGGUCGAUUCAUAUUUUGAUCAAGUAAUGUAUCGUAAUGAAACGAAGUUCAAACAAUCAAACCACUUCAUAUGGAUAUCAAUUAUGAAUUCAGGGCAUUUAAUUGGACUUAGAAAGACAUCGUCGGCCCACUGGCCACGCGUCGCCGCCGAUGGUGGUCAGCAGCCACGACUCGCCGGAAAAUUCAACAAUUUCCAAAAUUUAUCAAAACUCAUAGAAUUGUAGAUCUCAAUGAGUAUAGCAAAUUUUGUACCUGUGACCAAGGCCAAUUUGGCCUGGAAACACUCCAAAUCACCACGCACCCGCCAGAACCCUAGAAAGAGUGUGCUCCAAUUCUUCCUCCUCGGUGUUCCACCACCCCUACAACUGAUUGGGAUUUGUUCAGGGGCUCAAUGGGAGUCUAAUGGUGGUAGAGAUAGAGGUAAUUUGCAUCAAAAAUUGGCGGAUUGUCACCAAGAACACCAUAGUGCUGCCGCACCCUACGAUGUGGUUUUUCACAAAAUCAAGGCCAAACAUCUUCAAUUUUUGGGUGUAAUAGGUAGAUGAAACGAUAAGGAAUGUCCCGAUGGUUAAGUGACGGGAUUUGCCGGAAAAACCUACGAAAUCCACCGGAAAGAUCAAGGGGAACCGGUAGAGUCGAAAUAAAGGGGGACGAGUUGAUGAUCUCAUGCCUUCCCCCACCCUAAUUUCCCCACCUUUCUUCUCUUGCUGAUUGGUUCUCCCCUCCUAUCCUUUAUUUCUAAUUGGUCCCUAAAAGAAACUGAUUGGUCUCUUUCUCAAUAUUGAUUGGGCCUCUUGUGGGAAUUUAUUUAACUUAAAAACUAUAGUAUAGUAAGACGACUUCAAAUGUCCGUAACUAUACCGUUAUAAUCCGGAUUCUCAAACGGCUUUCGCCUAUGCGCUCGUGGUUUCGAGAUCUAUUCGAAAACAUUAACUGUGACCUCGAAAGGUCUAUAGAUUUUAAUUAAUUAAUUUCCAAACUUCAAACUUUCUAAUUAGUUUAAUUAAAAUCUAAAUUCAAAUAAAUUGAUAUAAAUUCUCGAAAAAAUAAUAUACAAUCUUAAUAAUACCAAUACGUAGAUUAUAAUAGUGAAAUCCAGGAACGGGGUUUCACAACACGUAUGCUUUUUGUGCAGUUUCUUUGGAGUGACAUGAGUUCAUCCUUCAACUUCACUUGGCUUGACUGGUAUGGUUUUGGAGCAUGCCCCCAACGAUUGAGGUGAAGAUAUUGAGUUGGAAGAGCCAAAAGUGACGGUGGUAUGGUUUGACCCUAACACAUCGUUAAGAUCUAGCUUGAUGAUUCCUUUUUGGGCCAGCUUCAUGAUGAGAUCUUUUAGCACGAAGCACAUUUCCGUCAAUGACUGAUGAAGCGGUGGUACUUACAAUAUAUUGGGUUGCCGGUGCGAUUCAUCUCUUCCAGCCGUUUGCACUCGGGUAAAUCGAUCACCUUUUUGUUGAGCAAGUCCUUCAACAUGGCAACCACAUCAGAGUCGGGGAAUGGAUAAGUCUUCUUCUCAAGCUCCUUCAAAGUGCGUUUACGCCUUUCUUGGUCACUAAAAGCUUUGGUCCGAAUCACCUUGUCUCGUGUAAAGAUUUUAACGGAAGCUGCGUUGACCACCAUUGCUUUAUUGAAACCCUCACGAAUUUGUCCAUUUUCUGCCCAAAGACCUUGUCAUUUCUGUAGUUAGCAAUCGGUUAUUUCUUCUCAUGAUGGGCAAUGCUCAACUCAAUGUCGUGGGCGGGGGUGGCUAACUCCUCGAAGGUCCACGGUUUGAUGCCUUGAAGAAUGUAGUGUAAUCCCCAAUGCAUGCCUUGUACACACAUCUCCGAGAGUCUGUCUUUGCAGUCAAGACUUAGAGUGCGCCAUCGGUUGAUGUAGUCGACGAUUGGCUCAUCCUUCCAUUACUUUGUACUUGUGAGCUCCAUCAUGCUGACAAUGCGACGAGUACUGUAGAAACGGUUUAAAAACUCCCGCUGCAAUUACUCCCAGCUGUUGAUGGACUCGGGUUCUAGGUCCGUGUACCAAUCGAAUGCAUUCCCAUUCAGACAGCGGACAAACUACUUUGCGAGGUAGUCUUUCUCAGUCCCCGCAUUGUUGCAAGUCUCGACGAAAUAGGCGACGUACUGCUUUGGGUUUCCUUUUCCAUCAAAUUGCAUGAACUUAGGUGGCUAAUACCUCAUCGGCAUCCGCAAGCCAUCAAUCCGCCUGGUAUAUGGCUUCGCAUACAGCAGUGUAUCCCGCGAAGUGUCUCCUACCUGUGUUCUGAUGGUGUUCGCAAUCAUAUCCUGGAGCUGCUGGAUGGAAAGAGAGCCCAUCGAGGUAGCUUCAGUCUCCGGUUAAUGUGAUUGAUUUAGCUUUAUAGUUGUUUCUUGUGGUUAACACUAUGUUGAUCUAUCAUAAUAUAGUAUAUGGAGAAUCAAGUCUUGCCCUUAAUUUUGGGUAUAAUAAAUUGGUAUUGAAAUCACUAUUCACGAGGUUCGAACGUAAGACAUUCACUUACAAGUGAAGUUGAAGUACCAUUAGACCGUAAUACUAAGUGUCAUUUGAAAUUGAUCAUAAAUUAAAAUCUCAAUUGCUAAAUUAAUCAAAAUUAAAUAUUGACCACAUAAUAUCAAAGAUUGACAACAAUACAAUCACGUAUUGACGAUGUAUAAAAAAAUUGGUCAUUUUAGUAAUUAGAAUUUGAAAGAUGAUCAUUUUGAUCAAUUUUUCAAGUAACUUAACAAUUAAAAACAUAAGGAAAAAAAAAGAAUGAAACACGAGUAAUGAUAUGAAUGUAGUUUGUUUGUUUUGUUUUGUUUAUACUCCAUUUCUUCCAUGUAACUUCACUUCAAAUUCAUAAACAAUGAAGUUUCUUCAAUUUACAUUGUUAAAACUAGAAGAAUUGGGAAUAAGAAUUUUUUGGCCCAUCCUUGUCUACCAUUUUUAGACGAGGAAAUAUUGGAUGUCAUUGAAUAUAAGGCAUAAUGAUCUCUGAAAAUUUAAUUUACAUUCCAUUCGACGUAACUGCAAUGGUUAAAUUGAUGAAUUUUCACUUAUUUAGUAAGAUAUAAAUAAACUACAACCAAUUACCAAUUGAAACGUGUAAAAAUAAACGGAAACGUCGUCGUCUGUUAGCUAGGGUACCAAAAUGUCGUCGUUUUGGUCAGAACAUUUCCGGAGCAAAAGCCAGAGGAGAAAAAAAAAUCUCCAGUGUGAGAGUAAACAACUGAGGCGAUGUACUUGAAGAAGCCGCUAUGGAGCGAGGGGAUAACGCUGAAGCCCUCGUCGGAAUCUGAACCAGAGCCGCCGUCCACCGCCGUAGGCGAUCCGGUCAACUCGUUGACCCAGCAGAGAGUGUACCGCGAGGUCAUGCUCGCGCUCCGGAGCGGCCUCCGCGAUGUUCGCGCCGUGUUCUCCUUCCUUGUGUCUGCGGCCUCCACGACGUCCUCAAGUUCCUCUGAUCGGUCGCCGAGUCCGAUUCCACCAUCAACCUCUUCUCUCAGACACAACUCCCCGAGCUUCAGGGUAAUCAGAAAAUUACAAAAUUCCUAGUUUCUGCUUAAUAUUUUGUUUAAUUUUUCUGAAUGUUGAAAUUGAUUUAUUCAUCGUUUUACAGUCGUGGCGAUUCUGUUUGGGCACUCGCUGAAAGAUUCGGGCGAUGAGAUAGUGCGGAAUUUGGAUCACAUAUUCGGCGUCGAGCCGCUGAAGAUCACAAGCCCUUCAACCGAUUUCGAGGUCUCGCUUGCGCUUAGGGUUUUGGAGGGUUGCUGCCUGCUUCAUUCGGACAGCGCGGUUUUGGCUCAUCAGCACAAGGCCAUUCAGGUACUCAAUGUAGCUAAAUAGCUUAACCAAAAUUUAUGGAGGUUGGAUUUCUGAGAUGAGAACGCAGUUUCUGUAAUUGGGUAUUUGUAGGUUUUGAUGAAUAUAUUACCGACUAGCGGCGUGAUUGAGCAAGGAGCUUGUUUGGAUGCUUUGAUUGCUACUAUGUUGGACUCAUCAGCUAAUCAAAUGGUAAAGCUUCAAACUUCAGUUUCGCGUCAAAUUAAUGGUGUAUAAUUGAUUUGUAGAGAUUCUGUAUAAAGUUUUGAUUCAUUUCCCUCGAAAUCUCAUGAGAAGACGUGACAUAUGUUGAUGCUUAAAAUACAUCCCAAUUGAAUACACCCCUUAUUGUGAUUGGUUUCGAAGCGGUGAUGGGUUUUUUAUGAUUGAAUUGUUUUCUUGUGUGUAAUGUGUAGGAUUUUGAGGCUUUUCAUGGUAUUGAGGAAGUUGCAGAGCUCAUAAUGGGCAAGCAAGUUGAUGAGAAUCUCAGGUUUUGAUUUAUUUCUCUUUGCUUGCUUGAUUCUCGUUGUCUCUUUUCAAAAAAAAAAAUUCUCGUUGUCGUGAGUUGUGAUUUGAAGCUCCAUCUACUUAGUGUAGUUUUCAAAGGGUAAAGUCUUUUGAAUUAGUCCUCUUGAUAAAUUCUUUGGUAAAAAUGUUAAGUUUUUUGCAAAAAUAGGUUUGUGGUAGCCACACAGUUGCUGUGUGUGCUACUACUUCUUCAAAAUCAUCAUUAUCACAGGCAAUGCCAUUUUUCGACUUGUUCAUCGGACGAUUCUUAAUAGAAUCCCGUCUUUCCUUAUUUUCUAGGAUUUUAUUUAAACCAUGUUGUUUUGCUCAUUUUCAUGUUUGUCAAUUGAGUAACGAGGUCAUCUGCUAUGAAUGAAUUAGAGUUGAGGAUUCUGAACACUGGUGUGCCUAGGCUGGAUCCUUUCUUUGCUAAUAUAAUGCACACUGAAGAAAAACGUGUGUUGCUUUUGAUUAGGUUGAAAUGUGGAGAGUUCUUGCUGCUUCCGAUUGGUCAUGUAAAUGGGAGGGAUAGGCCACCCUUGGCGACUGUACAUGAGGACAUAUGAAGUCUUUUGGGUGAGAAAUCUGCUUCCUUGAUAUGGGCAGCCAGUCAAUUUUGUUUUGUUUUUCUCUGUAUUUCAAUGAAGUACAAUCAGUAAUUUGUAAGAAAAUGGUCGGCUUCAAUGAAAUGUUUGCCUUGACAUUUUGUGCAGUAUAAUUUCAAAAUCAUACAACAUUCUACGGACUAUCGUCACGGUAGCUAAAAUUCCUCAUGCGAGUCUGGAAGCCCACGCAUUAACAAUAAUCACACAAUAAACGAAAGGUCACAAGUGAAAAAAAUGCAAGGAACUGUUGUCGCUAAAAGACCAAAAAUCAAUAAUAAUAUUCCAAAAGUAUUGUAUUGAUCAAAUGACAGUGAUGAUUCUUUACUAACAACAAUUUAGCAUAAUUUCUAUGCAAAUACAUUUAAGUCGGUCAAUUAUUGUGUCUUCUAAUCUACUAACUCCAAGACUAAAUUUGUAAAGACCCCAGUCGCGUUGGAAUUAUUUGAUAUACCGGAAACUCUUGAUAACUUGGUGUCAAUAACCUUGAAGUAUCGCAUGGGGUCAAAGUCAAGACAAUAUUUCCACUUGCAUCGUGGAAAUUUUGGUUUGCGGGUACUAUUGUUCUCAACUUGUAAUUUACUCUGAAGCGUGAUUAAGACAAAUGACAAACGAAAGUAGAGAAGAAUCAUCUAUCUUGUGGGAGUCUUUCAUCCUUCCUUGUAUCCUCCAAAACAACUUUUGACUGUUUGCAACUUGUUUGGAAAAUAAAUGUGAAUUUGUCUCUCAAGAGUUGAGGUGUUUUCCUGUAUUUUAGCCUGGUCUAAAUAACGCGCAUUUUGACUAUUUGCAACUUGUUUAGAACAUAAAUGUAAAUUUGUUCUCUUAAGAGUUGAGACGAUUUCCGCGUUUUUUAGUGUGGUCCAAAUAACGUGAAUUGCACGCAUAUAUGUUGUUUUUUAAUUCCAAAAAAACAAAAAGACUUCUAAAACGUAAACAAUACAUAAAUGUAAUUCAAAGAAGCAGAUGUAUCGGUACAUAAGUUUCGGUACGAUAUAUCGAUACAUAAGUUUUGGCAUGAUGUAUCGGUACAUAAGUUUCGGUACGAUAUAUCGAUACAUAAGUUUUGGCAUGAUGUAUCGGUACAUAAGUUUUGGUAUGAUUGCAUCAGUACAUAAAUUUCGAUACGAAUGCAUCGGUACAUAAGUUUUGGUACGUUGUAUCAAUACAUAAUCGGUACGAUUGCAUCGAUACAUAAGUUUCGGUAAGAUGUAUUGGUACAAAGUUUUGGCAUGAUGUAUCAAUACAUAAGUUUCGGUACGAUUGCAUCAGUACAUAAGUUUCGGUACCGAUGCAUCGGUACAUAAGUUUCGGUACGAAUGCAUCGGUACAUAAAUUUCAGUACGAAUGUAUCGGUACAUAAGUUUCGGUACGAUUGCAUCGGUACAUAAGUUUCAGUACAAAUGCAUCGGUACAUAAAUUUCGGUACGAAUGUAUCAGUACAUAAGUUUCGGUACGAAUUUAUCAAUACAUAAGUUUCGGUACGAAUGUACCAGUACAUAAAUUUCGGUACGAUUGCAUCCGUACAUAAGUUUCGGUACAAAUGCAUCGGUACAUAAGUUUUAGCACGAUGUAUCGGUACAUAAGUUUCGGUGCGAUUGCAUCCGUACAUAAGUUUCGGUACGAUGUAUUGGCACAUAAGUUUCGGUACGAUUACAUCGAUACAUAAGUUUCGGUAAGAUGUAUUGGUACAAAGUUUUGGCACGAUGUAUCGGUACAUAAGUUUCGGUACGAUUUGCAUCAGUACAUAAGUUUCAGUACGAAUGCAUCGGUACAUAAAUUUCAGUACGAAUGUAUUGGUAUAUAAGUUUCUGUAUGAAUGUAUCGGUACAUAAGUUUCGGUAUGAUUGCAUCGGUACAUAAGUUUGAGUACAAAUGCAUCGAUACAUAAAUUUUGGUACGAAUGUAUCAGUACAUAAGUUUUGGUACGAAUGUAUCAGUACAUAAGUUUCGGUACGAUUGCAUCCGUACACAAUUUUCAGUACGAAUGCAUCGGUACAUAAGUUUUGGUGGAAUGUAUUGGUACUUAAGUUUCAGUACGAUUGCAAUGGUACAUAAGUUUCGAUACUAUGGCGAAGCAUCUGAAGCAUAACUGCACACUCACACGAUCUUUGUUGAAAGGUAGGAGCAUUCGGUAGAACCGGUGAACUAAAGUACAUAUGUAUUAAUAGACACCUCAUGGGGAAGAGAAGAACUCAAGCAAGAUGGUUGCAAAUGGCUUGGCGUCCACUGCAGCAACCGAACCAACCAUGUUACUUAACUUCAUCUUGGAUGGAAACAUAUGGGUAAAGUUUACUCACUUCAACAUAAAGGACAACAGGAAUAUCUCGAAUGUUAUUUGCAAGGUAAAAUGAUGAGUCCUAAAUUAAUUGAGUUUAGGACUCAUCAUUUUAAUGUUUGCAUGCCCUGAUCAGAACUCAUUAGAGACUCUGGACCUCUCAUCCAAUCAUCUUUCUGGAUCAAUUCCUAAUCUCACAAACUUUUCAUCAUUGAAAGAAUUAGUUCUCUAUGACAAUCAAUGGAGUGGAACAGUACCUGAAAGCAUUGGGCAUGUCUACGCUCGAGAGUAUCUACCUUGGUAUGAAUGCUUUGGAAGGUGUGGUUUCGGAAAGCCACUUCUCCAAUCCCUCCAGAUUAAGGAUUUUGGAUAUGUUUUAUACCUCACUAUCUUUAAGCUUCAGUUCUAAUUGGACUCCUCCUUUCCAAUUGGAAUUGAUACAUUUGAGCUCUUGCAUGAUGGGUCCGCAUUUUCCAAAAUGGCUUCAAACUCAAAAAAGUUAUCAGGACCUUGAUAAUUCUAAUGCAGGAAUUUCUGAUAUGUUGUUUUCUAAUUCCGCAAAAUACAAAAAGACUUCUAAAAUGUAAACAGUACAUAAAUGUAAUUCAAGGACGUAGAUGUAUCGGUACAUAAGUUUCGGCACGAUGUAUCGGUACAUAAGUUUCGGUAUGAUUGCAUCAGUACAUAAGUUUCGGUAUGAAUGCAUCGGUACAUAAAUUUCGGUACGAUGUAUCAGUACAUAAUCAGUACGAUUGCAUCGAUACAUAAGUUUCGGUAAGAUGUAUUGAUACAAAGUUUCGGCACGAUGUAUCAAUACAUAAGUUUCAGUACGAUUGCAUUAGUAUAUAAGUUUCGUUACAAAUGCAUCGGUACAUAAGUUUCGGUAUGAAUGUAUCGGUACAUAAGUUUCAGUACGAUUACAUCGAUACAUAAGUUUCAGUACAAAUGCAUCGGUACAUAAAUUUCGGUACAAAUGUAUCAAUACAUAAAUUUCGGUACGAAUGUAUCAGUACAUAAAUUUCGAUACAAAUGUAUCAGUACAUAAGUUUCGGUACGAAUGUAUCAGUACAUAAGUUUCGGUACUAAUGUAGCAGUACAUAAGUUUCGGUACGAUUGCAUCAGUACAUAAGUUUCGGUACGAAUGCAUCAGUACAUAAGUUUCGGUACGAUGUAUUGGUACAUAAGUUUCGGCACGAUGUAUCAGUACAUAAGUUUCGGUAUGAUUGCAUCCGUACAUAAGUUUCGGUACGAUGUAUCGGUACAUAAGUUUCGGUACGAUUGCAUCGAUAUAUAAGUUUCAGUAAGAUGUAUUGGUCCAAAGUUUCGACACGAUGUAUCGGUAUAUAAGUUUCGGUACGAUUGCAUCAAUACAUAAGUUUCGGUACGAAUGCAUCAGUACAUAAGUUUCGGUACGAAUACAUCGGUAUAUAAAAUUCAGUACGAAUGUAUCAGUACAUAGUUUCGAUACGAUUGCAUCGAUACAUAAGUUUUAGUACAAAUGCAUCGGUACAUAAAUUUCGGUACGCAUUUUCCAAAAUGGCUCCAAACUCAAAAAAGUUAUCAGGACCUUGAUAUUUCUAAUGCAGGAAUUUCUGAUAUCCUUCCAAGUUGGUUUUGGAGCCCUCUGUCUCAUCAGGAUCUUGGAUCUAUUUUUAUAGAUCUUUCCAACAACCGAAUUAGAGGAACAAUUCCAAAUUCAAGAUUUGAGUUUCCCUCAUCUUCCUUUAGUAAAGUGAAUUUGAGUUGGAACCGAUUGGAAAGUCCAGUCCCUUCAUUCCUUUCCAUAGCGAUAUCUCUAGAUAUCUCCAACAAUAAGCUUUCAGGGUUAAUUUCUUUCGUGUGUCCAAAGACUCCGAACAAGGUUAGUUGUUUAGCCUUUCUUGAUCUCUCAAGCAACAAUUUGUACGAACAACUUCCUAAUUGUUGGACACGUUUUGAAAAUCAUGCAUUUCUUGAUUUGAGUGAUAAUGCUCUUUUUGGAAAUAUACCCAAAUGCAUCAACAAUUUGGCUAAAAAAGGAAGUUCAAGUAUAACUGUCUAUCAUAUCUAUAAUAGCUCAAUUGUUGGACAAGGUUAUUUUGAGGAAGCAUCCUUGAUAUGGAAAAGCAAAAUGUCCAAAUACAAAAGUACUUUGGGGCUUGUAAAGAGUACUCAUAUGUCGAGUAACCGAUUAACGGGAGAGAUUCCUACGGAAAUCACUGAUCUUGUGGGGUUGGUUACCUUAAACCUAUCAAGAAACAAUUUAACAAGUCAAAUAACUCCAAUGAUCGGGAAAUUGGAGUCCUUACAGUCCCUUGAACUGUCAAGAAACCACAUAUAUGGCGGAAUACCAACAAGCCUUUUUCAAAUAUAUGAUCUUGGUGAUUUAGACUUGUCAAACAACAACCUGUCUUAAAAAAUUCUAAUGGGGACUCAGCUCCAAACCUAUGAUCCAUAUGAUUUUGUUGGAUAUCCUCUGCUUUGUGGAAUUCCACUUCAACAGUUAUGCUCUCCUGAGGAAUCAAGUCCAAAGGAGCAACCAAUGUUUAGGGAUCAAGUUAAAGAAAAUGAUGGGCUUAUACCACAGGGUUUUACUUGAGUUUGGUGCUUGGUUUUGUUAUUGGAUUUUGGGGAGUUUGUAGGACUUUGAUAUUCAUCAGGUCAUGGAGAUACACAUACAAGAAGUUCUUGAACUGUGUGUACGAUUGGCCUUAUGUGAGGGUGGCGUUGAUCAGGCGACGAGGAAUGAUUGAUGGGUAAACUAUAAGUACUCUUCCACAUAAUGAAUAAUAUUAUUACAGUUUUGAGUCUAUUAAUACGAUUGGCUAAGUGCACUUUUAUACAGAGAACUGCAGUAUAAUGAUAUGGCAUCAUUGCCAUCAUGGUUAAUAUCAUUUUGGUCUCUACAAUUGUCUUUAAAUUAUGACUAAUAUAUGUUGUGGGUUUUUUGAAUCUUUUUAGCUCGUGCAUCUACCAUUGGUAAGCAAUGCUCCCUUUAAACUGGAGAAGAAGGAGAUUGAAGAGUGCAAUUUGAAGUUAUAAUUUAGUGAAAGUGUUGUGUUUAAUUUAGUGGCCUUUUUGUUUUUGCAAUGACGUUACUUAGAUUAUCGUUGAGGGGUUAUAAAUUAGGUUCUUUUCAUCCUCCUUUACUAAGUGUACCAGUUGAUCCUUUUCAAUAAAUUUCUUUGAGAAACUUGCAAGAACUUACUAAUCAAUUAGUUACAGAGAGAACAAGCAGACAGAUAAUUCAAUAAAAGAUUGGAUACAUUAACAUUGAGAACAUCAUACAUUUAACAGAUAAUUCAAUCAAUAUAUCUCACAUCAUCAAUUGUUGAUUCUUUACAGUUCAAGUCUGAUCAGACCGCAUUAUCUUGACAACCGAGAAAAAACAAUUCGAAUUAUUAAAAUCUGAUUCGAGUAAGAGCUCACUACUGGUUUAAUUGACUAUCUCAUCAUUCAUUAAUUCUCAUUGCCACCUUCAGCCAACGUAAAAAAUGAGGGUUAUCGAGUGCACCAACUGGGCAAUUAGCAUGACAAACGUUGCAUGCAGCAUUGCAAUAACGUAAUGGAAACUUCAUUUUCGUACACAGCGCCCCCAAUAAUGCAUCGGUUCAGCUGCGCAAUGUUAGAAAAACAAAAUAAGGACCAUAUUUGUGGGUUCCAAUUCCAAAUCCAAUUGCCUUUAUAAAAACAACAUGAAAGUACAAACCAAAGACCCCAUUAAAUUUUUUCAGAUUCAUCAAAAACCCGAACAUAAAAGAACAAAGGUAUCGGAAGAGAACCAUGAGAUGAAAAAAAAAACACCUUUUCACCAAUUGAAUUAGAAGGUCCAGCUUCAGCAGCAGUCUCCAUCCCCAGUUGACCUAAACCAUGUAUCACUUCAAGUGCACUUGCAAAUCCCAUGAACACAGCAACUAGUAACCUUGCGAACAUAUAAGUUACUAAUUUCAAUACAAAAUUCGUUGUAUAAACACGAGAAGAAAAGCAAUGAAAUUUCAACAUAAUUAACAAAACACCAAAAACUCACCGAAAAACACAUGCAUGAGCUCUAAAAAGGUUUUAGAAAACAUGUUUUUGAGGCUAUUUACAGUGACCUUAUUCUUUAUGCCAACACCAAACUUUAAGUUCAUGUGGAAAUCUAUUUAUACGUCGAGUAGCACACAUCUGUAAAUAUUUUAUAUAGAUAGUGUGCAAAUUUUUUCUUUCAGUUUGUUGUAUGCUUAUGACGUGAUAAACAUAUUAAAAGUUUGCGAUUUAAUAUGAUUACUCACUCCCAAAUGUGAUUGUUAUUCUAUUAAUUCGCUAAAAUUUAAGGUUGUGUGUAUUGUUGUUUUUAAAACCUUUUGAUUAGUAAUACAAAAUUGAAUAUGAGCUCUUCCAUUUGGUAAUAUCUUAAACUGCUUAAAAUAUACAUCAUAAGCAACUAUGCUUACAAACUUCAGCACUGUUAGAAACAAUAGGCACUAAUCUACAAUGGUUUCUAAUCUUACUCAAAGCCUCAAAUGCACCCGUGUGUCACAUGAUUUGAAAUGUGCAAUUUAAUUAUGAUGUAUUUGAAUUGUUGUUUUCAAAUCUUGUGUCACACAAGUGUGAAUGUUUUAGAUUGAUGAAUUUUACUCAUCUAACGAGAUAUAAACUUGUUUCAUUCCAAGUGAGUAAUUAAGUAAAAAUAGUACUCAUGUGACCAGCAGGCAGCAAGGAUGUGAGACAUCUCAUAUGCAUGCAAUGGCUAUACUUACAAAACUAAACGAAAUGUCGUCGUCUGUUGGCUGUGUUAAGGCCAAAAGCGUGGUCGUUUUGAUCAGAACAUUUCCGGGGCAAAAAGCCAAGGAGAAAGAUUGAAAUUCUAAAGAGUGAGAGUAAAAGACUGGGGCGAUGUACAAGAAGAAGCCGCUAUGGGGCGAGGGAAUAACACCGAAGGCCUCGUCGGAAUCUGAACCAGACCGCCGUCCACCGCCGUCGGUUAUAUGCUAAAACCAAGUUAGCUAAAAUUCCUCAAGCGAGUCUAGAAACCCUCGCAUUAACAAUAAUCACACAAUAAACGAAUAGUCUCAAAUGAAUAAAACGCAAGGAACUGUUGUCGCUACAAGACCAAAGAUCAAUAAUAAUAUUCCAAUAGUAUUGUCUAAAUGACAGUGAUAUUCUUCAUUAACAACAAUUUAGCAUAAUUUCAAUGCAAAUAUGUUAAAGUCGGUCAAUUAUUGUGUGUCUUCUAAUCUAAUAACUCCAAGACUAAAUUUGUAAAGACCCCAGUCGCAGUGGAGUUAUUCGAAAUACGGAAAACUCUUGAGAACUUGCUUGAAGUAUCGCAUGGGGUCCAAGUCAAGACAAUACAUUUCUACUUGCAUCGUGUAAAUUUUGGUUUGCAGGUCCCCAUUGUUUUCAACUUGUAAUUUACUUUGAAACGUGAUUAAGGCAAAUGACAAACGAAAGUGGAGAAGAAUCAUCUAUGUUGUGGGAGUCAUUCAUCUUUCCUCUUAUUCUCCAAAACGACUUGUGACUGUUUGCAACUUGUCUAAAAAAUAAAUGUGAAUUUGUCUCUCAAGAGUUGAGGCGUUUUCCGUGUAUUUUAGUCUGGUCCAAAUAACGUGAAUUACACAUUCUGACUGUUUGCAACUUGUUUGGAAAAUAAAUGUAAAUUUGUUCUCUCAAGACGUUUUCUGCGUUUUUUAGCUUGAUCCAAAUAACGUGAAUUGCGUGCAUAUAUGUUGUUUUCUAAUUCCACAUAAAAAAAUAUAAUAAAAAAAAACCAAACAUACUUUUAGAACGUAAACAAAACGAAACAAUCAACGCGAAAUUGUGUUGUUUGUUGCAGGUUUUGUCAUUAUUUUGGAGACGAGUCAUCCUCUCAUUACUACACCUACCUACAAAAAAGUAGCUGGUCCACUCGCAGCUUUCCUUUUGAUCCUAAAUCAGUUCUUAUUAUAUAGUUUAUAAAUCAACUAACCUCUCCCAACGCACAUGAGACUUUUUUUUUAAUCACGUCUUUAAAAGUGUAUUGAUGCGCAUGCAAGAAACAUUUUUAUUAUCAUAGACACUACGUGCACCUAUAUCCCAAGUGCCGUUGAAACGACAUGUCAUUUGAAAUUGGCCGUACUUGUAAUUGCAUAGGAUCAUGAUUAUUGGCAUAAAAUUACUAUAACUCAAGUUCACUUCACAAUCACAAAUGAUCGUAAUUGCAUAGGAUCAUGAUCAUUUGGUAUUGGCAGUACUUGUAAUUGCAUAUGUAUGUUGAAACAACAUGUCAUUUGGUAUUUGCUGUUUUUUUUUAAUAAAAAAAACAAUAUUAUCUAUACUAAAAAAUAAAGGGUGGGCUUAGUCUAGCAAUAAUGUGGUUCAAAUUCGCUUUUGUCAAGAAUCGUACGUAAAACCUCUUACUUACAAGUGAAUAGGAAUACCACUAGACUGUACUAUUAAGUGACAAUAGUUGUUAAAAUGGAACAAUUUAACCAAAUAUUCAAAUAUGUUUUUCUAAUUGGCAAGAAUGGAAAUAGAAAACUUGGAAGCAAUUGUAAUUAACAAAAGGUUUGUGCAGAUGGAAUCUAACAGAAUUAGCUUUCUUACCACUGAUCAAUCCAAAAUAUUGUUAGGCAAAAGAGGAAGAAAAAUAAACGUAAAACCAAAAUGAAAUUAAAAUAUAAUGCAGAGCACCCAUCUCAACAUGUAAAGACAUGAUUGCCAAACCAGUUCACCUUCCAAAGCCAACCAAAAAAGAGAAGUAAAUUGUAUAUUCCACAUAUAUAUAUUAACAAUUUAGAGAGAGAAAUUACCAACCUGCAAACUGCAAACCACGUUCUGAUUCCUCCCCAUUCUUCAACAGAGCUGUCUCCAAAGGCCUCACCGUUAGCGGCUUAGCACUGCGAGUGAAAUAUUGUCAUCUGUUUGGUUGCUCAGGGCCUCACCGUUAGCGGCUCCAACUCCACAUCCAGGCACCGGUCAAAUUCGAACUCCCACCAUCUCAGUUACGCUUCUCUUCCUCUCUCUCUUCAAUCUCUUUCUCUCUCUACUCCCUAAACUCUUUCAUCUAUAAAAUUCUCAAAAUUCAACCUGCCUGAUGAAUUGAUUGAUGGUAAUUUUGAUUCAAUUUCAAACUUGUGAAGUUGCAGCUCCAAAAAGGGCAGCAACGCCUUGCCCUGCAACUCCAGCUCCAUCACCGACCACCUUCUUCAGCCUCCACCAACUUGUUAAUCAGGUUUGUGUUAAUCAGGUUUGAUAAAAUAAUGUUAAUCAAGAUUUUAUUAAUUUUUGGAUUAAAAUUUGGCACUUGGAGUGGAUUAUGGAGGUAAUUUUUGCUUCUUUGCUCAAUGUACUUCAAAGGCGUGUCGUCACUUUAGAAAGAUGAUCUGGUUUAGUGUUCUGGUCUUGAUCUUAAUGCAUCAUGCGUGUGCUGCUAUUGCCCCAACUUUUUGAACCUCAACUUGCUUAACUAGUAUGCAGUAAGUUUGGUCAUAGACUAAUGGAUUCACAAUUCAUCUCUUAUAUAUUGCAUAAGAAUAUCUGGGUCGCGUUUUCUGUGAGGUUUUAAACAAUCUAGCUUAUGUUUAUGUCAUGCGGAAUAUAUUUUUCUUAAUUGAAGCUUGCUGAAUGCUUGAUUGCGUUGUUGACUGCAGAAGUCGCCGUGUGACCCAUGCUUGACACACUGCUGCUUGCACUGGUGGCCCUUGUGCCAUGAGCACAUGGAGAUGAAGGGAUAAACCCCAAAGAUGUUGGGUUUAGUCACACUACAGUAUAGCACUGGUGAAUUGAAGGUAAGAUGCCUUAAAAAUAAGUUAUUUGAGUAUUAUAAAAUCAUACUUCUUCAGGUUUUUGUUAUAUGGAAACAUUACAUAUUUAUGGCAUCAACUUGUGUCCACCAGUGUUCUUUUUCUCAGCCGAGGAAAAUUGUUAGAAAUUGCAAAACUGUUGGGAUCUUUUGCUACCCUGUUUGAGUUCCCACAAAUGAAUCACAUUUUCUUGAAUCUUGCUCAUUGAGUGUUUGCAGCCAACCCUCUAAUUGUCAAUCUCUAUUUAUAUUCAAACUUGUACUUCUAUUCUUAAUACAUUCAAUUUAUCCUCAUAAACUAUUGCGGGAAUUAUAGUUCCCAGUGAUUGAUGUUGUGAAACAACUCUGCUGCUGUACUAGUUUUGUUUUCCUUCUCUUUUUUGUUUAUAAAGUUAACAAUUCUUAAAAAGAUACAACCCCUCGUUUAAAGCCACUACUGCUUCUCAAUGUCAAUCUUGUUUUUUCUAGCGGCCACAAUUGGUGAAAGGAAAUUUGCAACUGUUGUCCGUGGAUUAAAUUUUUAUUUUUAUUUUUUUUCUUGCUGCAGCUGCGGCUCCACUGUUAUUAACAGCCGUUAGCGGCGAUUGUUAGUCGCUGGGAGAAGGUGAAAUCUAUUGCUGAGCUACCUCAACUCUCUUCAGAACACAAGGCAGCCAGCAACCACUGAAAGCCAAUUGCCGUAUACACUCAAAAUGUUGCAGAGUGCAGGAAGUUAUGGAUUUUCUGAGUUCUGAAAGCGAAUUGAGAGUGCUGCAAAUCAGAAAUGAUGUUACACGAGGAUGUGUCUUCGGGGCCAAGGAAGCGAAGGACAACACAUUUUGUUGUGUAGUUAUUUUGUAAAGGCUGGUAGUAUUGCAUUCGUUUAUUCUUUUUCCUCAUUAUUGCAAUAAGAAGCCCAAGCUGAAGAGAAAUAACAGGUUGAGUGAUAUGAAUUAGGAUUUGUUGUUGUAGGUUCUUCUUGGUUGUGUCUCAUUUUUUGUCAUCCAUUUCAAAUGAGCCCAAAAAGAAGGGACAAGAAAUGGGAGUGUAAAGGAAAACUAGAACAAGAAAGAACACGUUCUAGUUUGGUUUUGUUGUUUCUUUGUUUUAGUUUGUAGUUAGAAGUUGAAAUCUGGUUAUAAGAAUUGUGAGUGUAAAGGAUAAGUGGCUUAAAUUCACCUGUUAUAUUUUUUUUGGAAUUGUUUCAUUGAUUUCUCAAAUUUUUCCUAAGAAUUGCUUAUAUUUAGCUUUGUACCUCGGUUCAGAAUUGCUUAGGUUUCUGCUACUUUGGUGUUGGAAUGAAGCAAAUAGCAUUUAAUAUUUUUUAUACAUCAUUGGUUUUUUUUUCUCUUCAUUAUCUUGCUUCUUAGUCUGACAUUGCACCAAACGCUUCACUAAAUCAGUCCAGCUUAGUCUAUUCUAAGCUAGUCCAGCUUAGUCUUAGAAGUUAGUCCAGUUCGAGAUAGUCUGGUGUAAUAAACAUACCCCAAAAGUAUUCAAGUGGGACAAACAUUACAUCAAUCACUUGAAUGAAAAGGAAUGAACUGAGUUUGAAUUACUUAAUUCUGAUGAAGAAAGUUUCUAUAAAAGGUAUAAAAAUAGUAAAGAAAAUGUCACUCCACUCAAUACAAAUUCAGUCAUAAAAAAAUUAUAAAUUAAACUCGUCAUUCGCGUGCCGAAUGUAUCACCAAAUAUCUUUUUAACUGAAUAGUUUUUUACUUCCAACUAGAAUUCUCCUUUUCAAUUGAAAUACGUAAGAUUGAGGUCCUACCAAGACUCGCAAGGCACCUGACAUUCUCGCUCCUUAAAAAAAAAUUGAAAUCGUUGAUUAAACCAACAUGGAGAACUCAAUCCACAGAUGACUCUUCCCUCCAUUAUCUCAUUAGACUGUUCUUUCCCAUUUUACCCCUCUUGUCAAGUCUCACUUUUAUUUACCAAUUGAGCUCCUCAUCUACUUUUUGUAGUAUAUGUAUAAUGUAUUUAGUAUUUGACGAGUUCCUUUCAAAUAGUUUUUUUUUUUUUUUUUUUUUUUUUUUUUUUUUUUCCAACCAUAUCAGAAUGACAGAAUGGGGUGGUGGAUUCUCGAAACUAGCUGUAGUGAAUGUUGAUACCAAAGUCUAAGCAUUGAGGUAAAACAUCACUUACAAAGCCACAACUUAUAUGAAAUGGGUUAAAAGUCACGCAGCGUCUUGAUCUAUGAAACGAAUGACAUGUGUUGAAAAAAAUUACUUGUCAUUCUUUUGUGGAAAGAGACGUCAUGAUGGUAAUGAACUCGUUCCAUGUAUUAGAGUACUAGAUUUUCAUCACCACAUACAUCAAUUUCCUCGUCACAAUCUUCAACAUUUGAGUUUAAAUCAGCAGUCCACAGAUGAGAUUGACCAAGCUUCUGCUUCAUUGCAAGUUUUCCCUUUCAGUUUCAGAAAGAGUUGUCAUUUUGGUUAAGUGAAUGACGAUAGGAACAUGACUGAGGGCAUUGAAGUUUAAAGCGGUAAAAUAGGAAAGAGAUGACCGAUGAGAUAAUGGAGGGAAAAGUCAUUCGUUGUUUGAGUUCUCCAUGUUGAUUUAAUAAACAAUUUCUAUAUAUUUUUUAUUUUUUUUUAUUUUUAAAGAAGUUGUUCCGAGCUAGAAUUGAUGAUGGGAUAAAAAUACCAAAUGCCUAGCGAGUCUUGUAAGCAAUUAUCAUAGCCUCAAACUCAUAAUUUGGAUCGUAAUCUUUGGAUUGAGGUCGGUGGUAGACUAAGAUAACUUAGUGGUUAACUCACUCAAUAAAUUGUUAAUUUUCUACGCCCCUCAUAUGAAGUCAUGAUAGAGAGCUCAGUGGUUGACUCCCCCAAUAAAUUGUUCAUUUUCUAUGCCCCAUAUAAAGUCAUGAUUGCUAUAUAUAUUUAGUCUUUGUAGUGUGUUGAUCUUUGGUCUUUGUAAAGUUAUUACUCUAGUUUUUCCAAGGAAUAUAAAGUAAGACACUCUCAAGUUUGAAAUACAUGCAAUAAUGCAUAACACCAUUCACUUUGUUUUUUCUUUAGUCUAUAACAAUAUUAGUUCACUCCGAUUCAGCACAUUACAGAUUCCGAACCUAUAUCAAAAGAACAAAAAACUAAGAUACAUGAAUUUUCUUUUCCUUUUUCCUACUUACAUAAAACCAGCAUGCAUAGUCUUGUUGCAUAGCCAACUGGGCAUACGCCUCUUUGUGGAUUGCAAGAUUUGAAAGAUUAAAUACAAUUAAAAUAAAAAAUCAACCAAAUCAAGGCAAAAAAAUAUGUAAUUUUGCGUCAAUAUUUCAACUAGUAAAAGUAUAGUCAAUACCUGGCCACUUGCAUUGAGCCAAGUCAAGCAGAUAUUGUGGGUUGGUUGGCCACUUUAACUUGCUUUUUCCAUGUCACUGUUUUAGCUACAAUUUGCUUCAACUAAUUGUGUACGUAUAUUCGAUGCAAGCUUGUUCGUGAAGUACUCAUACAUCCCCAUAUACUUGCACCUUCAUUGUGCUCCCAUCUUUUUUGAUAUUACAUUCCAUUAACAAACCCCAAAUAGUUGUGCUGCUUCUUGAUUAUUCAAUCGCCUCUACGUUGAUUUGAAUAUUAACAUGCACUUUUAUGCUUUGAUUGCGGUGCUAAUCUCAUUACAACAUUUCAACCCUUCUCUAUCCCUUGGAUUCGAUGAUAAAGUUUCUUCAGGAGAAGCACUUGGCCACGGUGAUGCUUCUGGCGGAGUGGUGAGGUGCAUAGAGAGGGAAAGGGAAGCACUCCUUGCUUUCAAACAAGGCCUCGUGGAUGAAUACAACCAACUCACUUCUUGGGGAUCUCCUUAUUGUUGCACAUGGGAAGGAGUUUUCUGCAGCAACCAAACCAAAGGUGAUCCUGUUAUCAAACUUGAUCUUCUACCAUAUGAUUUGCAAGGUAAGACGAUAAGCCCUAAACUGGUUGAGUUGCAGCAUUUGAAAUAAUUGAGCCUCUAUGGAAUUGACUUCAAUGGGAGCCAAUUUCCAGAUUUCAUUGGUUCCCUAUCCAAUUUAAGAUACCUCGAUCUCUCUGACGCUUCUUUUGGUGGUCGAAUUCCAAGUCAGCUUGGAAACCUUUCACACUUGCUACAACUCAAUCUUGCCUACAACCACUUUGCUACUAAUGUUGUGCAAAAUCUCAAUUCUUGGCUCCCUCGUCUUUCUUCAUUAACACAUUUGGAUUUGAGUUACAACAAUCUCAAUAGCACUUACGACUGGCUUGAAUCAAUUAAUAAGCUCCCUAAGCUAAGGGACUUUUCAUUAAGGGAUUGUUCUCUUCAUUCUCCUCCAAUGCCUUCCACUCUCUUUACCAUAAAUUCUUCUAAAUAUCUUGCUCAUGCUGAUUUCAGUUUGAACCGUCUCACAUCUUCUUCAAUAUUCGUAUGGUUGUCAGCCUACAGUACAAGCCUUAUUUAUCUUGACCUCAUUGGCAACAAUUUAACUGGUCUAAUUCCUGGUGUUAUUGGAAACAUGACCUCGCUUUCCUAUCUUGAUCUCUCUUUUAACCAAAUUGAAGGAUGGAAUCCGCAUUCUUUUGCUAGGUUAUGUAGUUUGCGAUCGUUGGUCCUCAGGAGCAACAGAAUGAGUGGACAAUUUUCCCAGUGGGUUCAAAUAUUAUUAUUAAUGUCUGCAUGCGCUCAAAACUCAUUAAAGUUUCUGGACCUCUCUUACAAUCAUCUUGUCGGGCCAUUUCCUAAUCUUAUAAAGUUUUUGUCGUUGAAAGAUUUAGAUCUCUCUGGCAAUCAAGUAAGUGGAAUAAUUCCUGAAACUAUUGGGAAAAUGUCUAAGCUCGAGAGUAUCGACCUUAGUACGAAUCAUUUGGAAGGGGUGAUUUCCGAAAGCCAUUUCUCACGACUUGCCAGAUUGAAAUAUUUGGAUUUGUCCUUUAACUCUCUAGAUUUAAACUUCCAUUCGGAUUGGAUUCCUCCUUUCCAAUUGGAUUAUAUAAUACUAGGUUCUUGCAAGGUAAGUCCAAAUUUUCCACAAUGGCUUCAAACUCAGAACUUUUAUUCUAGACUUGAUAUUUCAAAUGCUGGAAUUUUCGAUAUCCUUCCAAGUUGGGUUUGGGGAGGAAUGUCUCCUAAUUUGGCCUUCAUGAAUCUCUCACACAAUCAAAUUGGAGGACCAAUACUUGCAAAUUUGACAUUGGAGUUUGCAUAUUACCCUCAAUUACAUUUGAUUUCCAACAAAUUGGAAGGUCCAAUCCCUCAUUUCUAUCACAAGCGUCAUUCCUCGAUCUCUCAAAUAAUAAUUUUUCCGGGCCGAUUACUUGGUUGCGUGCACCUACCGCAUCAAGUUUAACCUUAAUCUUUCAAGUAACAAUCUCUAUGGACAACUUCCGAUUUCUUGACAUAUUUGGACAAUUUGGUCAUGCUCGAUUUGAGUUACAAUGCUCUUUCUGGAAAAAUUCCUGCCACAAUAGGCUCCUUAUUUCGGAUGGAAACGCUGAAGUUAAGAAGCAACAGGUUUUUGGGAGAAUGGCCUUGCUCCACUUGCCAAGUUUAUCAACGACAAAAGGACCGAAGAGGUAGAUGUGCCUCUUCCUUCAACAUCAUUCCUAGCAGCACUGGAGCCACCAAGGCCAUUGGAAAGUCAGGUUUGAGAAAGCUACAACAUAUGAACAGAUCAAGGCUGCACUUUACAACCAUUCAUACAAGUUUCUCAAUGGCUUUCCAAACCAUGCAUUAUUCCCAUUUGUUACAAGAGAAAACAUGACUUGGUGGCAAGGCUUUUUCCAGGUGAUCUUCAUGCUCAAUGUCUCUUAUGAUUAUUAUAUGCUCAAUCUUCUAGGAGAGCCUAUGAGAGUUGUAAAUUUCACAAACUUUGCUCAAAUUUGUAAAACUUGGGAGGCUUCUGUUUGCACCUAAUAUGUGCACCAUUUCACUUAUUUAGAUCAUUUGGGUAAAAUAUGACAUUUGAAGGAUUAAUGUGCAAGAAGGCUAACUUGGAAGAUAUUUAGCUAUCAAGUGGGAUAGUUUGGCAUUAAAAUAAUGUUUUUCCCUUUUUAUGUGGGUGGUGGAGGUUUGCCAAGAACUUUAUUUAAUCAAAACAAAUGUUUGCUUAUGGAUUGGAAGAUAACAUGCAGACAUGGACGUGGACAUAUGGAUGAAACAAGCCACCUUGCUUCUUUUAAAUGUUAGUUUAUUGCAAGUGGUGGAGACAUGUGGCGAAAACAUGUAGUAGAGAUACAAACUUGCUUAUUUUAAUAUUAUUUCAUAAUGCAAGCUGUAAAGGAGUUUCUUUCGGGCAAGUUCAAUAUUCUCAGCAAGGGCUCUUUCAGAUCUCUAUAUAAAGAAGCAGAGACAGAAAGAUUAAGGACACUCAAACAACCAAGCAAUCAACUCUACUCAAAUUAGCUCAUCAGCUUCCUUGUAGACAUUUAGCUUUAGCCAAGCAUCCAUUGCUUUCCUUGUUUAUUAGCUCUGCUGCUCACUAGUAGUAUCAAUCUCAUUUGUAGUUUAUAUACAACUCUUUUUCAGUCAUUUAAAUUAUAAGUGUUGGUACCAUAUAUUGGGCCUUGUCUUUGGGCCUCACCCCUAAGCCCAUGACAAAUGUAAAAGGGGAGGGAGCCCUUAUUCUAUAAAAUAGACUCGCCCUCACCCUCAUUGGGGAGGCCUCACAUCCAGAAAGAAACAAAGGGUCUCAGAUCCACCCCUCACAACAAUGGAGGGCAAUACCCUCUCAGCCAAACAGAGAGCAAAAUGGCAAAGGUUGCAUCCACGGAGAGCUCCUUUGCCAAUCUAUUGUAAUCCAUACAGUAAAUGGAAUCAACAUCAGUGUGGACGUAGCCCAAACAUUGGGGUGAACCAUGAUACAUCUUUGUGUUCUUGAGCGUUUGUGUAAUUCACGACCGGAUUUACGUUGGUCCAAGAUCCUCCGGAUUUUGUGCAUCAACAUUUGGCGCCGUCUGUGGGGAACGACACGAAAAGCUAUGUCGGUUAUCUUUCAUUUUUUUUAUCAAACCUCCACCGUGAAUCUGCACAACCCAAGAACCCAGAACCUCCCUCCUUGGGCUUUUUUCAGAAAACAUUCACUAAACUCCUAAACUCAACCACAGUUUCUUCUCCCCCUCUUUCUACCCCUUCGUUAAGUCUCUGAAGCAUUCGCUUCUUUGCGUGCUGCAGAGAACCUCCUGCUUCACUCACCUUCCCCGCUUCAAUCCCCACCGCAUCGCAUCGGGAUUAUCAGGUGCUCCCAUGGCUUCCACAUAGAAGGAUGCGCAUGUUGCUGCUACAAAAACCCUCGGACCCACAGAGAGAUGAGAGUAGAUCACAAUCGGAGAAUGGCUACCGCUCAAGCGACGCCCGACGGCGGCGGGCGCCAAGUAUUGGAGUCUAUGUACUCGAUGAUUGUGUUUGCAUCUCGAGCUCAUCUUUGUCUCUCCUCUAGAUUUCUAUUUCACCAUAGAGUUCGGCAAUCUAUUUAUUGAGCAUGUGUGUUUUCUUGGCAUUGUUGUGCUCCUGAACAAGAUCCUCCAGCUCUAAUUGCUCCUCAUCCUCACUUGUCCCACCUUUAAAGAUGGUUGCCUUCAACCCGGCAGCAUCCCCGCAGGAUUCUGGCCUGCUGGAAAGAUUGGCUAUUUCACUAUUUUUCUGCUCCAAAAUUUCUUCCAGGUCUCGUACUGCAAGAAUUAAAUCAGAAUUUGAUUCUUGCGUCUUCUGGAGCUGUAAACGGAGAUUGAAAUUCAGACUUUAGUUUCUCACAUUCCGCCUUGAAAGAAUCUCGUUCGCCUGCGUUGAGCUCUGCGACGCCGCCACCGUCGUCGACGUGUAUCGGCUGAUCCAGUACGACAUCUCUGGUGCUCCUUUCGGAUCUCGGCUCGCCAACCUCAACCACCAUGCUGGCUCUUUGAACUUCGCUUCUGACUCUGAUCUCUCCCGCACUGUCCUCAUCAUCCCUUUACACGAACUCAACAUCUCCUUCGUCACUGAAUACAAUACCCAGAAGCAGCCUCUGGGAGGUUUGCUGUUUUUGCUGUGGAUUUCAGCCAAGGUUGCAAGAUAGCCAACUGUGAAAUCCCGUUCCUGGAUUUCAUUAUUAUAAUCUACGUAUUGGUAUUACAGAGAUUUCAUAUUAUUUUUUUUGGGAAAUUAAUUAUUUAAAAUCCGUAGACCAUUCGAGGUCACAAUUUACAUUGUUGAAUAGAUUUCGAGACUACGAACGCAUAGGCAAAAACCGUUUGCGAGUUCGGAUUAUAACGGUACAAUUGCGGACAUCUGAAGUUGUGUUUCAAAACUAUAGAUUUUAAUUUUCUUUAAAACUCCCCGUGGGAAUGAUGACCCAAAAAAAAAAAAAGGGGAGGACCAACCCAAUUAUGUAUGGGAGAGUUAAGGGAGCCAAUUAGAAGGGAGGAAGGGAGCUAAUGAAAAGGAGAAGGGGAGGGCGUCGGAUUGGGCAGCGAGAAAGAGGAAAGAAUAGAGUGCAGGAGGGAAAGGAGGAAAAUGGGAGGACGAAUCAGGAAGAAGGAUAGGGAGGGAAAUGAGGGAGUGAGAAGACACACAAUCAACCCCCUCUUCCCUUGACCCAUUUCCAAACCGUGACCCGUUUUUAGAAUUUGGAAAACCGUGUGUUUUUCUGACGGUUUUAAGUCAUUUUUCAGGUGAAUUUAGGACCCCUCAUCACCACUAAACAUCAUCACAACCUUCCAUCGUUCCAUUCUAGCCAAAAUAGACAAGAAUUGGUUGAGAUUUCACGAAGAUUGAAAGUGUGGGUGUCGCGACCCCCUUGUUCGAAAUCCACCAAAUCUGAAACGAUUUGGAUCAAAUAGCAGCACCCCUAGACUUAUCUUGAGGUCUGGAGCAAGGCCCAAACAAUUUUAGGGGCGGCGGUGCACCGGAGGUGACGAAUCGAGAACACCAAUUUCUAGGGUUUCCAGCGAGUUUGAGGGAAAUUGGAGCUUUUCCCGGCCAAAUUGGACUUGGCCACAUGUAUAAAACUUGCUCUACUCAUUGAGAUCUUCAUUUCUGUAAAUUUUGGUAAUUUUUAAAAAUAGUUGAAUUUUCCGGCAAGUCGGGGCGGCGCGUGUGGCGGAGGCCUGGCUAGUGGGCUGACGAUGUUCUUUUAAGUUCAAAUAGAUGCCUUUAUUUCAUAAUUAAUAUCCGUAUGACGUAAUUUGAUUGUUUGGACUUAGUUUCAUUACGAUACCUUAGUUGGUCAAAAUAUGAAUCAACGAUCCGACCGUUGGAUCGUCACCAAACCGUAAUGUGUGAUAGAGCAUAAUAUUUGUGGGUCAUAGAAACUUACGGAUCGGGAGUCCGACAUAUGGAUCUUCCCUAAUGUUGUAAAAUUAAUCGUUAACCGUCACCUAAGUCUAGCAAUUGGCGGAGAUCCGACCGUUGGAUCGCGAUGAGAAUUUAGUAUAUGGUUCUAUGAUCAUAAUGUGGACUUUGGGAGGUUAUGGAUCGGAAAUCCGAUAUACGGAUCUUCCGGAUCGAAUUUGCAGGGUCGUGGACCUUACCAUUACCCGAGAGUUGACUUUUGGUCAAUAUGUCUCGAAAUGUUUUAAAUACUAAAUCUAGUACCACGGGAUACGAAGUUAAGUCUAACGGGGUCACAUUGGUUAGAGAGUGACUGGAAUAUAUGUGAUGUAAUUACUACCUUAAUUUCUUAUAUUAAUAUCAUUUGUGAAUAUGAUUUGGGUUAUAAAUGACAUUUAUAUUGAAAUGUGAAUUAUAUAUAUAUAUAUGCCAUAGACCUAUGUUUAUUAAAUGUAAAUUCUAUUGAAGUGUUUUCUAACCAUUGAUCUAUUUUCAUUAAGUAUGAUUUAACUUGUGCAUUGGAAAUAUGGUUUGUAUUGUAUAAUUGGAUUGAUGUAAUAAAAUGCGAGGGCUAAUAGUGGACCGUUAACCCAUUGUCAUGGGGUUUGUUGCUUCGAAACAUGUUUCACCCCUCGUGUCAUUAUUUCAUUCUCGUUUCGUUGAGUCUUUGUAACUUGAGUAACUUGAUUCAUGUCUUGGUUCAUUGAGUGGUGUUAUACAUUAUACUCCGCGAUUCUGUUGAGUGAUGGUCCGGAAUCAUGUCCUGGUUUGGAUUUCGUUGAGUGAUGGUCUGGAAUCCCUUCUACUCCGCGAUUAUGUUGAGUGAUGGUCCGAAAUCGUGUCCUGGUUUGGAUUCCGUUGAGUGAUGGUCCGGAAUCCCUUCUACUCCGUGAUUAUGUUGAGUGAUGGUCUGGAAUCGUAUCCUGGUUUGGAUUCCGUUGAGUGAUGGUCUGGAAUCCCUUCUACUUCGCGAUUCCAUUGAGUGAUGGUCCGGAAUCGUACCCUGGGUUGGAUUUCGUUGAGUGAUGGUUCGAAAUCCCCUUUGUUGUCUUGGCUCCGUUGUGUAGUUAGAAAUCUCGUUCUUUUGAGAUGUAGGCUUCAACCAAACUGUGUCGCUCUAACCCUGCAUUUCGAUGAGUGGUAUGUGAUAUUGAUGAUGCGAUGGUUGGCAUUAUUGUUCGAUGUGAUUAUGGAAUGAUGUUGGCUAUGGUUAUUGUAAUUAUGAUUAGACUCGUUUACUAUUGUGACUAGUGAAUAUGAUUGUGCUCCGUCAUUUGUUCUUUGUAAUAUUGUUUGAUGCAUUGUGAUAUAUUGUUGAGACAUAACGUUCUAUGUGAUGAAUAUUCGAUUGUAGUGAAAUGACGAACUACGAAUGGCUUGAUCCCUGUUGAGGGUACGUAGGCAGUCUAACGAGGAAGUUAGAUGCAGCCAUAAAGUAUAUGCAAAAUUAUUAUGCAUCUGGAUCUUGAAUUAUAUUUUGUACAUAUCAAAAAGGCGGGGUACGUUGAGUUAUGUGCAUUUAGUGAACUCACGUGUCGAUCUUUGAUGUAUGUUGGGAUCGGGGCGUGACACCAAAUUUCUACUCAAAUGGGGCUUCAAAACUGUCGCCUUUGAUAUCAGAUACGUCGAUAGAUUCGCAGCAAUGCCUUCAAGCUUCACGGUGUAGUUGCUGACUCAAAAGGUCCCUUCCAAUUCAUCUGCAGAAUCGGAUUUCGUUUGCGUUGUUCUUCUGCAGGAACAUUGUUCUUGCAUCAAGAUCCAUUUACCAAGUAUAUGGAACUAUGUUAAGAUUUGUAAGGGGAGCUCUCAUCUCAGGCUCUACCCUCAUCCCCGGCUCUACCGGCACCCAGGACAGGAUGAAUGCACCAAUUUCAUGAUGGCAAGCCCAGGCAUCUACCUGGUGUAGUAAAGUCUACUAAUCGAAUUCAUACAGCUCGAAUUACUGCAAUUCAGCCCAACAAUCGCUUCGUGUUCAGAAAUGUCAGCCUAGAAGCAAUCAGAGGAAACCAUAACCUUCAACCAGACCGACAAUAGAGAGGAAGAAUAUAAGCUUUCUCAUAACAAUUCUAUUAUUAUUCCCUGCCAUUUGCUAAAAGAAAAAAAGAAAAGAGCUUUACUUUUGUUUUGUCUGCCAUCUGCCAAAAGAAAAAAAAAGAGCUUUACUUUUUACAUCAUUAUGUUUUCUUAAAUUAUUUAUUUAUUAUUUUAUUAUUUUGUGAUAUUUAUCACAUGAUCACUAUCAACAACGUGGCAAAGCACAUCACGCAAAGUUUUAUUUUUAAAGUUGUGGUGAUGUAUCACUGGCUCCUGCACACUGCACAAUACAGAUAUGUAUGUUUAAAUAUUUUAUUAUAAUGUUAAUAGUCUUUCGGCACAUCACUAUUCCUAUGCCAUGUGACAUAAUCAGACAUCACAUCCUUUCAUUUUGUGGUAUUCACCUCAUAAUUAUCACACAUAUUUACAUAAACAAUAUUUAUUCAUGGCCUAGAAUAUUGUGACUGCCAUUAAACUAUGUCACUUAUACAACAUGUGAUUUACCACACGACUGAAUAAAUUAUUUAUUUAUAGAAGGCACAUAGUACAAUAUUUUGCCUUGACAAACUUUGUCAAUUUGAUUUAUUCAGUAUACGGUCAUACUUAUACUGUCAUUUAUUGUUAUGAAUUAUUGAGCAACUAGAUCCACUGAUCAACAUUAUUGCUGAUUAAAGAAGCCUACCGACACUAUUGAUCAGCCUAUGAAUCACUGAGCCACAUGCUUAUAGUGACAAAUAUUUAGUCCGAACAAUGAUCUCUUGUCUAAUCCGACAAGCGGACUCUCCCUCACCCUCAUAACAAGGUCUCACCUUCACUAAGAGAUCCAAAGAGUCUCAUAUUCAUCCUUCACAACAAUAGAGGGCAAUACCCUCUCAGCCAAACAGAGAGUAAAAUGGCAAGGGCUGCAUCCACAUAGAGCUCCAUUGCCAAUCUAUUGUAAUCCAUACAUUCAUACAGUAAAUGGAAUCAACAUCAGUGUGGACGUAGCCCAAACAUUGGGGUGAACCACGAUACAUCUUUGUGUUCUUGAGCGUUUGUGUGAUUCACCGCCGGAUUUACGUUGGUCCAAGAUGAGUACUGGUUCAAGACAUCUAGUCACUUCGACCUGUACAUGGAUUGGAUUUGAAGUCUCCAGCCAAAAGACUCUCUUGCCUGAAGACUUGGGGGACUCCUGUUGGUACCAUAUAUUGGGCCUCACCCCUAAGCCCAUGACAAAUGCAAAAGGGGAGGGAGCCCUUAUUCUAUAAAAGGGACUCUCCCUCACCCUCAUUGGGGAAGCCUCACAUCCAGAGAGAAACAAAGGGUCUCAGAUCCAUCCCUCACAACAAUGGAGGGGAAUACCCUCUCAACCAAACAGAGAGCAAAAUGGCAAGGGCUGCAUCCACAGAGAGCUCAUUUGCCGAUCUAUUGUAAUCCAUACAUUCAUACAGUAAAUGGAAUCAACAUCAGUGUGGACGUAGCCCAAACAUUGGGGUGAACCACGAUACAUCUUUGUGUUCUUGAGCGUUUGUGUGAUUCACGGCCGGAUUUACGUUGGUUCAAGAUCCUCCGAAUUUUGUGCAUCAACAAUAAACAAUCUACAAUACCAGUAAUUUAUUUUCCUCUGUCAUUCACACUUCCAGUGACCUUGUGAUUUAGUUGUUCUUACAUUUCUCCAUAUAAGUAAAGUCCUUAUCCUUAAGGCAAAGAAAGAACCUUAAUUUGAGCCACUCCCACUCAAUCGCACAAUCUCUUGGUUUGAAGUCGAAUUCAGGUGCAGCCUCAAUCAUUCAAAACCCGUUUACUAGCGGCAUCUAGUAGUGGCACGCCCGCACCCACCAAUUUCAUGUUUGAGUAAAUUCCCAGCAUGCCCGCGAGACUCAUGUCGAAUUUAGGGAGCAAACAGUAUCUAAAUAUUUUAAUUUAAAAUGUUAAUUUUGAAUUUAUGAAAUAAUUGUUAGGUUCUAUGCGGCGGAUGUGAGGGCGGAGAGUUUCGAGGUGUUUGACUAGUGCAAGUGGAAGGUGGUGGUGACGGCGAAUCCGACAGUGAUGGUGGAGCCGUUCGUGAAGGAUUUUCUGGGCGGGGACAAGGUGCUGGGGACGGAGAUCGAAGUGAAUACAAAGACGAAGAAGGCGACCGGGUUUGUGAAGAAGCCCGGGGUUUUGGUGGGGAAAUUGAAGCGUUUGGCGGUUCUCUCGGGAUCGGCGAUCGGAGCUCCGAUCAUGACUACAUGUCACUUUGCAAGGUUGGAUACUUCACAAAUUUAUCUAAUUAUUUGAUACUUUUGUUGUUAAUUUUGUUGUAGUAAAUUUCAUGCGACCCAUAAUCUUAACAAUCCCAACAACCAGCCAGCUAAAAUAUUGAUCCCUGUGUGGUCUAUUCAAGAAAACCUAAUUAGAAAUAAAGGAAAAAAAAGGAAAAUAAUUAAGGCAGUUGUUGUUCCAAUUAAAUUGGAGUAAACAAUCAUAACAUACUUUGUACAAUUGUUACUUUUCUAGUACACCACAACUAUAUAUAUAUAUAGCGUUUUAAUAAAAUUAUAAGUAAAAUAUAUAGGUAAUUGUUUUAUGAAAUGAAGUAAUUGACACAGUAAUAAAAAAAAAUUAUGAAAUCAUGUGAAUAACAACUUCUAACACAUUCAUUACAUGAAAAAUGUCGAAUUUUGACUUUUGUAUAAUAUUUAACAGUUAAAAGCCUCAAAGGGGAUACUCCGAAAUAUCAAAUAAAUCCUGUGAAUAACAAUUUCUAACACAUUACACAUUCAUGACAUGAAAAAUGUCAGAUUUUGAUUUUUGUAUAAUAUUUAACUGUUAAAAGACUCAAUGUAUUUGAUACUCCGAAAUAUCGAAUAGAUCAUGUGUAACAACUUCUAACACGUUACGCAUUCAUAACAUGAAAAAUGUCGGAUUUUGAUUUUUGUAUAAUAUGUAACUGUUAAAAGACUCAAAGUAUCCGAUACUCUGAAAUAUCGAAUAGAUCAUGUGCAACAACUUCUAACACGUUACGCAUUCAUAACAUGAAAAUGUCGGAUUUUGAUUUUUCUAUAAUAUUUAAUGGUUAAAAGACUCAAAGUAUCCGAUACUCCGGAAUAUCGAAUAGAUCAUGUGUAACAACUUCUAACACGUUACGCAUUCAUAACAUGAAAAAUGUUAGAUUUUAUUUUUUGUAUAAUAUUUAACGGUUAAAAGACUCAAAGUAUCAAAUACGACGGAAUAUCAAAUAAAUCCUGUGAAAAACUUCUAACAUAUUAUACGUUCAUGACAUGAAAAAAUUCGUAAAGUGAACGGCAUUGUUUAUAUUUCAUAUGCUAUACAUAUGAGUAUCAUUGUUAUUUUAUAUCUUCUGGUAAACUUCAAAUUCUCGUUUUCUAUGGAGUUAUGUCGGUACAUUUUUUGUCACUAUAUGUUUGUGGUAAUUAAUAUUGAGCAGAAGGCUACAUGGUGCCGCCUAGCAAAUCAGCCCGUCCAAUUUCAAAGAACCGUCUCAAAAACCAAAUAAAUUAGUAUUGAUAUUUGUGGAGAGUAGUUUAGGUAGUAAAUUUGAGUUUAAAGAGAUAUUGAUAGUUUAAUUAAAAAUGAUAUGAGUGUAGAGGUAAGUUAUAUGAGUUCAAAUAAAAUUUUCCUAAUAAAUUGGUAUUGAAUUCACCAUUCACGAGCUUUAAAUGUAAGGCAUUCAUUUAUAAGUGAAGAUAAAACAAAACUACAUCGUAGUACUAAGUGUCGUGUGAAAUUAAUCAUAAAUUAAAAUCUAAAUUGCUGAAUUAAUCAAAAUUAAGUAUUGAUAUUGACUACAUAAUGAUCAAAGAUUGACAACAAUACAAUCAAAUAUUGAAGACAUAUACAAAAUUGGCCGUUUUAGUAACUAAAAUUUGAAAAAUAAUCAUUUUAGUCAAUUUCUCAAAUAACUUGACAUUUAAAAACAUAAGGAAAAAAUAGAGAAAAUAAUGAAACAUGAGUAAUGAUAUGAAUGUAGUUUGUUUGUUUGGUUGUUUAUACUCCAUUUCAUCCAUGUAACUUCACUUCAAAUUCAUAAACAAUGUAGUUUCUUCAACUUACGACGUUGUUAAAACGAGAAGAACUAGGAAUAAGAAUUAUUCGGCCCAUCCUUGUCUAUCAUUUUUGGACGAGGAAAUAUUGGAUGUCAUUGAAUAUAAGGCAUAAUCUUUAAAUGAUCUCUCAAAAUUUAAUUUACAUUUCAUUCCAGCGUAACUGCAAUGCUUAAACUAAUGAAAAUAGCUUGAAAAUUAUAAGUUUUAAACUACAACCAAUGCUUAAACUAAUGAAAAUAACUUGAAAAUUUUAAGUUUUAAACUACAACCAAAUGAAACGUGUAAAAAUAAACCGAAACGUCGUCGUCUGUUGGCUAGAGUACCAAAAUGUCGUCGUUGUGAGAGUAAACGACUGAGGCGAUGUACUUGAAGAAGUCGCUAUGGAGUGAGGGGAUAACGCCGAAGCCCUCGUCGGAAUACGAACCAGAGCCGCCGUCCACCGCCGUAGGCGAUCUGGUCAACUCGUUGACCCGGCAGAGAGUGUACCGCGAGGUCGUGCUCGCGCUCCGGAGCGGCCUCCGCGAUGUUCGCGCCGAGUUCUCCUUCCUCCGUGUCCGCGGCCUCCUCAAGUUCCUCCGAUCGGUCGCCGAGUCCGAUUCCACCAUCAACCUCUUCUCUCAGACACAAUCGCUUCCUGAGCUUCAAGGUAAUCAGAAAAUUACAAAAUUCCUAGUUUCUACUUAAUCUUUUGUUUAAUUUUUCUGAUUGUUGAAGUUGAUUUAAUUAUCGUUUUACAGUCGUGCCGGUUCUGUUUCGGCACUCGCUGAACGAUUCGGACGAUGAGAUCGUACGGAAUUUGGAUCACAUAUUCGGCGUCGAGCCGCUGAAGAUCACAAGCCCUUCAACCGAUUCCGAGGUUUCGCUUGCGCUUAGGGUUUUGGAGGGUUGCUGCCUGCUCAUCCGGACAGCGCGGUUUUGGCUCAUCAGCACUAAAUAGCUUAACCAAAAUCUAUGGAGGUUGGAUUACUGAGAUGAGAAUGCAGUUUUUUGUAAUUGGGUUUUUGUAGGUUUUGAUGAAUAUAUUACCGACUUGCGGCGUGAUUGAGCAAGGAGCUUGUUUGGAUGCUUUGAUUGCUAUUAUGUUGGAUUCAUCAGCUAAUCAAAUGGUAAAGCUUCAAACUUCAGUUUCGAGUCAAAUUUAUGGAGUUUAAUUUUUGUAGAGAUUUUAUAUAAAGUUUGAUUCAAUUUCCUCGAAAUCUCAUGGAAUACGUGAGAUAUGUGGAUGCUUAAAAUACACUACGAAAUCUUUCCAAUUCCCUUGAAUUCUUCAACUUUUUAAAAUUCUUUAAAAUCAAUUUCUAAUUGAAUACACCUAAAAUGUUAUAAACUUCUUUAAAAUUUUAAUUGAAUACACUCGGAUUUCUAAGCAUUUCAAUAAACUAUCUCAGAAUCUUGAUUGAAUACACUUCGAAUUUCAGAAGAUAACUUAGAAUCCUGAUUGAUGAUUGAAUACCCCUAGAUUUUUUUAAAGAAUUAAAAUCCCACAAAAUCCCAAUUGAAUACACCCCUUAUUGUGAUUGGUUUCGGAGCGGUGAUGGGUUUUUUUAUGAUUCGAUUGUUUUCUUGUGUGUAAUGUGUAGGAUUUUGAGGCUUUUCAUGGUAUUGAGGAAGUUGCAGGGCUCAAAAGGGACAAACAAGUUGAUGAGAAUCUCAGGUUUUGAUUUAUUUCUCUUUGCUUGCUUGAUUCUCGUUGUCAUGAGUUGUGAUUUAAAGCUCUAUCUGGAUAAAUUCUGGGGUAAAUGUUAAAGUUUUGGCAAAAAUAGGUUUGUUCAUCAGACAAUUCUUAAUAGAAUCUCGUCUUUCCUUUUUUUUCUAGGUUUUUAGUUAAGCUAUGUCCUGUUGCUCAUUUUCAUGUUUGUCAAUUGAGUAACGAGGUCAUCUGCUAGGAAUUAAUUAGAUUUGAGGAUUCUGAACACUGGUGUGCCUAGGCUUGGUCCUUUCUUUGCUAAUAUAAUGCACACUGAAGAAAAACACUGUUGCUUUUGUUUAGGUUGAAGUGGAGAGUUCUUGCUGCUUUUGAUUGGUCAUGUAAAUGGGAGGGAUAGGCCACCGUUGGCAACCGUACAUGAGGACAUAAGACAUUUUUGGGUGAGAAAUCUGCUUCCUUGAUAUGGCCAGCGAGUCAGUUUGGUUCGACCCUUGAUCCGGAGCAGAGACUAACUGCUCAUCACAUCCAAGCUCGUCGUGUGAUAGUGUCCUUAGAUUUGUACUGAAUCUGAACAUAGAAAGCACCCUAGGCAUUUUGUUUUGUUUUUCUUUGUAUUUCAGUGAAAUACAAUCAGUAAUUUGUAAGAAAAUGGUCGUCUUCAAUGAAAUGUUUGCCUUGACAUUUUGUGCAGUAUAAUUUCAAAAUCAUACAACAUUCUACGGAGUGCCAUCACGGUAGCUAAAAUUCCUCAUGCGAGUCUGUGCCGACAUUCACCUCUCCCAGACCCUGCGUAAAGCGGGAGCCUUGUGCACUGGGUACGACCUUUAUACAACAUUCUACGGAGUGCCGUCACGGUAGCUAAAAUUCCUCAUGCGAGUCUGGAAGCCCUCGCAUUAACAAUAAACGAACAGUCACAAGUGAAUAAAACGCAAGGAACUGUUGUCGCUAAAAGUAAAAGACCCAAAAUCAAUAAUAAUAUGAGAGUGUUCAUGAAAAGAGCUUGGGUUAAAUUUAAUUUAAUAAAAAAAUCAUGCUAUAAUUUUAUUUAAUGAAAAAAACUUAAAUUUUAAUGAAAAACCCUUAACUUUUAAUAAAGAGGACAAAAGAACUUAAAUUUUAAUAAAAAUGACAGAAUUUUAAUAUUUAAAAAAAAAACUUGACGUGCCUAGGUGUGCGCGUCCAUCAUAGACAUUAUUUAUGAAAUAAUACUACACUGUUUAUGAAACUUAACAGUACUAUACUAUUUAUGAAACUGCAGUGCUAUACUAUUUAUAAAACUAAACGGUAUUACACUAUUUAUUAUCCAGAUUCAUAAAUAGUAUCUAGUUCUUGGUUCACUUUUGUAAAUAGUGUUUAGUUAUUGGAUCCUAUUUCAUAAAUAGUUUAUAGUAAUUGGUACAGUUUCUAAAUAGUGUCUCAUUUUUUAUCUGGUUUCAUAAAUAGUUUCUCAUUUUUUAUCCAAUUUCAUAAAUAGUGUCUAAUUCUUGGUCCACUUUCAUAUAUAAUGUCUAGUUCUGGAUCAUGUUUCAUAAUUAGUGUCUAGUUUUUAGUCUAGUUUCAUAAAUAGUGUAUAGUAAUUGAUACAAUUUCAUAAAUAGUGUCUCUUUCUUGGUCUUGUUUCAUAAAUAAUGUCUUUUUCUUGGUCCAGUGUUUUAUAUUGAACUCUUUCAAUUAUUUAUAUUUUCUAAUUAAACAAAGAACCAAUUAGAAUUGGAGGUAAUUGAAAAUUCAUAUGGUUCACAACUCAAAGUCUUUUGUUGGAGUUCCUUAUGUUAUGUUAAUGAACUCCACAAGUUCUCUCUAAGAAUGCUUUUAAGUUGGUCAAUUAUUGUGUGUCUUCAAAUCUAAUAACUCCAAGACUAAAUUUGUAAAGACCCCAGUGGCGAUGGAAUUAUUCGAAAUACCAGAAACUCUUGAGACCUUGCUGUCAAUAACCUUGAAGUAUCGCAUGGAGCAUGCAUUUCCACUUGCAUUGUAGAAAUUUUGAUUUGUUGGUCCUUCUUGUUCUCAACUUGUAAUUUACUUUGAAGUGUGAUUAAGACAAAUGACAAACGAAAGUGGAGAAGAAUCAUCUAUUUUGUUGGAGUCAUUCAUCCUUCCUCUUAUCCUCCAAAACGACUUUUGUGUUGAUUGUUGCAGGCUUUGUCAUUAUUUUGGAGAGACAAGUCAUCCUUUAAUUACUACACCUACCUACAGAAAAGUAGCUGGUCCACUCACACAUGUUCCAUACUUGACCAUUUAAGUCAAUAACCUUGAACUAUCGCAUGGAUUUCCACUUGCAUCGUGGAAAUUUUGGUUUGCAGGUCCCUAUUAUCAUCAACUUGUAAUUUCCCUUGAAGUGUGAUUAAGAUAAAUGACAAACGAAAGUGGAGAAGAAUCAUCUAUCUUGUAAGAGUCAUUCAUCCUUCCUCUUAUCCUCCCAGAAUGACUUUUGCUUUUUGCAACUUGUGGAAAAUAAAUGUGAAUAUAUCUCUCAAGAGCUAAAGCGUUUUCCGUGUAUUUUAGCCUAGUCCAAAUAAUGUGAAUUUCGCAUUUUGACUGUUUGCAACUUGUUUGGAAAAUAAAUGUAAAUUUGUUCUCUUAAGAGUUGAGACGAUUUCCGCGUUUUUUAGCUUGGUCCAAAUAACGUGAAAAAUUUAUGGAGUUUAAUUGAUUUGUAGAGAUUCCAUAUAAAGUUUUGAUUCAAUUCCCUUGAAAUCUCAUGGGAAGACAUGACAUAUUUGGAUGCUUAAAAUACAUCUCAAUUGAAUACACCCCCUUAUUGUGAUUGGUUGCGGAGCGGUGAUGGGUUUUUUAUGAUUGGAUUGUUUUCUUGUGUGUACUGUGUAGGCUUUUGAGGCUUUUCAUGGUAUUGAGGAAGUUGCAGAGCUCAUAAGGGACAAGCAUGUUGAUGAGAAUCUCAGGUUUUGUUUUAUUUCUCUUUGCUUGCUUGAUUCUCGUUGUCGUGAGUUGUGAUUUGAAGCUCUAUCUGCUUAAUGUCUUUUGAAUUAGUCCUCUUGAUUAACGAACAGUCACAAGUGAAUAAAACGCAAGGAACUUUUGUCACUAAAUGACCAAAAGUAUUGUCUUGAUCAAAUGACAGUGAUGAUUCUUCACUAACAGCAAUUUAGCAUAAUUUCUAUCCAAAUACAUUUAAGUCGGUCAAUUAUUGUGUGUCUUCUAAUCUAAUAACGCCAAGACUACAUUUGUAAAGACCCCAAUUGCAGCGUAAUUACUCGAAAUACCGGAAACUCUUGAAAACUUGCUGUCAAUAACCUUGAAGUAUCGCAUGGAGUAUCGCAUGGGGUCCAAGACAAGACAAUACAAUUCCACUUGCGUCGUGGAAAUUUUGGUUUGCAGGUCCCUAUUAUCAUCAACUUGUAAUUUACUUUGAAGUGUGAUUAAGACAAAUGACAAACGAAAGUGGAGAAGAAUCAUCUAUCUUGUGGGAGUCAUUCAUCCUUCCUCUUAUCCUCCCAAAAUGACUUUUGACUUUUUGCAACUUGUUUGGAAAAUAAAUGUGAAUAUGUCUCUCAAGAGUUGAGGCGUUUUCCAUGUAUUUUAGCCUAGUCCAAAUAAUGUGAAUUACGCAUUCUGACUGUUUGCAACUUGUUUGGAAAAUAAAUGUAAAUUUGUUCUCUCAAGAGUUAAGACGAUUUCCGCGUUUUUUAGCUUGGUCCAAAUAACGUGAAUUACACACAUAUAUGUUGUUUUCUAAUUCCACAAAAUACAAAAAGACUUCUAAAAUGUAAACAGAACAAAACAAUCAACGCCGAAUUGUGUUGAUUGUUGCAGGCAUUGUCAUUAUUUUGGAGAGAAGAGUCAACGUCUAAUUACUACACCUACGUACAGAAAAGUAGCUGGUCCACUCACACAUGUUCCAUACUUGACCAUUUGAGUCAAGACAACUCAGUGUGUGGAUCGUAUUGUGAACUAUUACGUACUCACCCAGCCUUAUAAGACACUCGCAUCUUUCCUUGUGCUCCUAAAUCAAUUCUGAUUGUACACUUCUUCUUCUUCGUUCUUCAAUCAUCUUUGCCUUGAUUUUGUUGAAUUAAGAUGGAGAAUGACGGAAUCAGGUGCUUGAAGAAAUUCUUUCACACUUUCAUUGUGGUGCUACUUUUUCUACAAUGUUUCAACCCUUCCCUAUCCUCUGGAUUCUAUAAUGUUUCUUUCGGUUUCGGAGCAAUUGGCCACCGGGUGGUGACGAGGUGCAUAGAGAGUGAAAGGGAAGCACUCAUUUCUUUCAAACAAGGUCUGAUUGAUGACUACAAUCUCCUCUCCUCCUGGGGAAGAGAAGAACACAAGCAAGAUUGUUGCAAAUGGCUUGGCAUCCACUGCAGCAACCGAACCAACCAUGUUACUCAACUUGAUCUUGGAUGGUAUCAUAUGAAUGAAGUUUACUCACUUCAACAGAAAGGACAGCAGGAGUAUCCUGAAUAUUACUUUCAAGGUAAAAUGAUGAGUCCUAAACUAAUUGAGUUGCCGCAUUUGAAAUAUUUGGACCUUUCUUCCGUUAACUUCACUGGGACCCAGCUUCCAGAUUUCAUUGGUUCUCUUUCCAAUUUAAGACACCUCAGUCUCUGGGAUGCUUCUUUUGGUGGUCGAAUUCCAACUCAGAUCGGAAACCUUACCCACUUGCAAUAUCUUGAUCUCAGCUCCAAUCACUUUGCUAAUUUUGAAAACCUGAAUUCAUGGCUACCUCGUCUUUCUUCUUUAACAUAUUUGGACCUGAGUUCCAACAAUCUCAGUAAUGUUCCUGACUGGAUGGAAGCAGUUAAUAAGCUCCCUAAACUUACAAACUUGUCUCUGUAUUCUUGCAGUCUUCCAUCUCCUCUAAUUCAUUCCAGUACUCUUUUUAACAUAAAUUCUUCUAAAU